rnacentral:lncRNA from 1 species
CAGUUCAUCAAGGAGGUGGCGGUUGUGGUACAUGGAGAACUGGUUCAACCACUCUAUGCACCCCGUUCCCGACUCGUAAUCCUCGCGCCUGUCGCUCUGGAACAUGGUCAAGUAGACGGCGACGCACCCGAUCGGGAAGUUCCCCGGCACAAUCAUGGUUCUCGCCCCGAGUUUGAUCAGUUCCUGGCGAUCGAACUGGAUUCGUUAGCCCGAUGAAAUCAGAGAUGUCGACAGCGCAAUGGCUAGCCGAGAACCGAGGUCACCUCGAUGGCGGAGCCGAUGGCGGAGACGACGCCGGGAACGAAGGUCUUGAUCUCAUCCACGCCUCUUCCUUGGAAGAAGGCGUGGUUGUAAUCGUUGCCCCCGAUCUCCCCUACCGAGAACAGCGACUCGCUCAUCAGAUCGCUGCAGUUGGUGGCACAGAGCGACGGCAGCAGAUGCUUGAACCACUCCAGCUGAACGCUCAACGAGUCGUUGGUCCACGACACCUCCAUCCCCUUCGAUCUGAAGAAUUCGUUGUCGAGCGCGGUGGCUCCGCCGACGGCGAAGUUCGCUCCGUACCUGAAGUCCUCGCCGUCGUGCGUGCCGGCGAGGUAUGGCUGCACCAUCGGCAGUCCAAUUGCUUGUGCUGCACGCACCAUCGGGCUUCGUCAGCGGAGCCGAUGCGUAAAGGAAGAGCGUGGACGCGUGAGAAGUGAGUGAAGGGGAACCAUUACCGAUGAAGUCGAGCAUCACUCUUCCGUCGGAGUAUCGGCCGGUGGGGUGGUGGAAGAAGGUCUCGCCGUAGGGAAACCGGCCGACGGGGUCGAAUCGGUGGGAGUGGAGGCGGUUACCGGUGUCGGCGAGCGAGUCCCCAAAGCUGAAGAUGGCGCUGUAGCAGCCGGCGACGAGCAUCACGUUGAGGGAAGCGAGGCAGAUGGCGAGGAGGAGAAGGUGAGGGCGGAGGCGAAGGCGAAGGCGGAAACCGGAGGCCGGGGAGGCCAUUGCCAUUGCCAUUGCCAUAGGAAGCAGGGGUCGGGUUGGGGCCUGGUUGACGGUAUAAAUAAGCUUGGGACGACAGCGGCUUGUUCAGCCACGCGUCAUCAUCAUCCACCGUCGAUUCUUGCAGGGUGGAAUAUUCUAAUUCCGCGUACUGAGGCUGCGGAGGAAGGGGAUCGGAAAGAGAACUUCUGAAAAUUGUCAUAUUGUCAUCAAAAGAAAAGGUAAACAAUUAAUUAUGUAAUAUAUAUUUAGAUUGAAUUAUUGUCACAAUCUAAAAAGUUAAUUUCUCAUUCGAUAAUUAUGUAAUUUAUUUAUUUAUUUUACUUUUAAAUCAAAGAACAAUUUUAUGAUAAUCUGACACCACUUUUAAGUCUGUCUGUAUCGACUCAAUUUUAUUCGUGCAUCUGAUUCUGAUAUCAUGUUGGGAUUUUCUAGUAUCUUUAUGUUAACAUGAGACAGACAUCGAAGAUUAGAGUACAAGUCAUUUGUUUUCAUGUCCGAACACUGUGUUGGGUUGUGGUGAGGCAAUGUAUGGUAUACACGGGUGCGAUAGAGCCAACAUAUAAUGGGGGGAAAGAAUGAGAUGACACGACGAUUUCAUCAAAUCCCCAAAUGAUGGCUGCAUCGUUUGAGCAACGAUGACUGACUGCAUGAGGUGCGAUUGAGCAGACACAACGAGAUCAAGUGAUUGCGUCGUGCACGGGACUCGAGAUCGUGCAGUGUUCUUACACUCGAUCGGUCUAAUCGUGCUCUCCCUCGUCGCCAACGUGAGUCGUCUGCACGUAAACUAAUGGUUAGAGAACGGUGGUGUUUGAGUCAACAAAGGUAGCCUCCUCGAGCUUGGAAGGCCUCAAAACUCUUCGACGGUAAGGAUCAUUUCAAUGGAUUAGGUCCAAAGUCAUGGAGAGACAAGAGGUUGGGUUGGUGAGAAAAUUAUGUCUGCUUGCCAAGUCCACAUCUUUUUGGUAAGAAAAAGACCAUAAACUUUGUCUUGUCUUCAUGUUCCACAUUAAUGUUUAGGAGAUUUAAGUUUGCCUUGGCACAUCCACAUGGAACAGAUAUGGGAGAUUAAAUCUCAACUUGUGGUGGUGGAUUGGUGUAUCCAGUCUUUUCUGCGCCGAUAACAAUUUUCUGUUCCUUAUUUGUUAGGAUAUCGCUUCAUUGAAUACGAGUAAAUAGAAUUUAAUAUUUAGUUCGAUUUGAUAUCGUCUUCUCGGAUUUGAGGUAAAUACGAUUCAAAAGUUCGAUAUACAGUUCAAUUUAAGUCCAAAAAUUUUCAUUUUUGAUAGAAGAAAUCUUAUUAUAUUAUCAUAAAAUAUUUUCAUUGUUGCAAGUCUAUUAAAUCUAUGUGUGCUGCCAGCAUCCCCGUAUGUGAUUCAUGUAUUGUAUAAUGAAUUACAACUUGAGAGUUAUAUUAUAAUCCCAACUUCCAAAUGAUAGGAAUAUAUAUACGAUGCUUCGAUUUUUUGUACAACUAAGAUACUUAAGUAUCGAAGAAACAUAGCCACCCAAGUUAUAAAUUAAUUUCACUUACCAUAACAUACUAUAAAAGUAACUUAAAUAUGCCAAUACAAUUCACAUGUUAAGCCACCUGCAUUGGAGAUCAAGCUGGAUGGAUAUAUGAUGAUGGGUCUUUAACGUCACGAUGAUGUAUGUCAUUUUAUUAAGCAAUUUAUGGCAGGGGAAGUAGAAUUAGAAUUAUUGUGGGGGAAUUGAGGUAGUUGGUGCAACCAAUUGGUGGGACAUAUAUACAUCCUCAUGGAGACUUGAAAAUAUAUAAUAUCGAUUUGGGAGUAGAAUUGCAUAAACAGAAUGCAUGUGCGUGCGUGAUAGAAAUGCAUAAAAUUUUCUUCGGCCAUCAUUAUCAUCAUCAUUUCGUGGUUUUUUGUUUUUCUACCUUCCGAAUUAUGUAGUCACCGGCUAUCUAUCUCAAUCGUUCCCAUAAUAAGGACGAAUUGGGUCACUUUCAUAAUCAAAUAUCCAUUUUCAUUAAGGAAUUAGUGUUGCGUUUAGAGAUGUUAAGUUCAGAACCGACUUCAUUGUCGCCGAUGCGGUGUGGGGUGGAUCAGAGCCCACACAGAAACAUGCACAAUCUGCACUCUGAAAAAGACACUAAAUAGUACCAGGGAAAGCGGUGUGGCAGCUGCAUACCUGAGUAGUACCUGCUGUCUGCACCCACGCAGUAUCCAGCCGAGCUUAGCAAAUUCCCUGUUUGGAGCAGACAAGCUGCUUGUGCCUGCCUUUGCUGCCCUCCUCCUGCACCAUUCUUUCUUAUCACAAACAAGUUACUCAUUAUUUUUUUAUUCUGGGAAACAAAUAAAAAGACUUUCUUCUGAUGACGAUAAAUCAUAUGUUGGUUAGAAACACAACAACAAGGUACUAAUUAGUGCAUCAACACUUGUAUCCUUGACAAAGCCUCGGUAGUUUUGCUUCCCAAGGCCUCCGAAACUUUUAUGCACAGAUAGAUGUCGUAGACAACAGAGGCAACGGAGGCAGUUAGGGGAUGAUGCUACAUCAGCCCUUUUUGUUGUUCCAUGUUACUAUAUGCUUCGCAGGGUAAGGUAUGCUAGCUAAGGUGGACGAUUAAGAGAAGCUAAGCAGCAGUGGAGCUACUAAACGUUGAUUAAUAUGAAUGGGUAAGUAAUGUCUCUAGAAAAGAUGCAUUGGUUCACUGGUAGGUGGUGGAGGGCGUGGCGAGGGAUAAAUCCGUGGUGAUGUUGCUUCUUCCUCCCUUGUGUGCAUUCCAGUUAGAAGCCGCGGUUGCUGACUCUGAUCUCGUGUUUCCCUCCGGCUCAUCCCCUACGCCAGGCAGCAUUGUUGGCGAAGAUGUUGUCUGCGCCCAAACCUGCAUCAGAAUGUUAGAGCACUCUCCGUUUCCUCUGAGAGAGAGAGAGAGAGUGACAGAGAGAGAGAGAGUACGCGAGCAACCAUGUGAUGGUACACAACGGAAGGACAGCUGUUGUGGGAGCUGCCUGUUUGCUGCAGCUGCAGACUGCAGUAGGGAGGAGGAGGCGGGGGGACCGCCACGACCUCUGGGGGACGUGUCAGGACUGGGGACGUCGGAGAAGGCAGCAGGAGGAGUCUGGGGGCCGAGGUGGCGGAUGAGGCCGAGGGAGGUGUGGGGACACCACCCAUCAGCAUCAGGUGCUCCUCUAUGGCCGCUGUCGUCAUGGCCAUCGUGGUGGUCAUCAUGGUGUUGGGGACCAACACAGGGCCCUGGGAACGCAGCUCCCCUCCGCCGCCGCCGCCGCCAGUGGCGCUGCCAUUGUUGCUGCUCCACAUGUCCGGCCACAGGAAUGUCCCCUGCGGCUUGCAGAUCCUGAACCCACUCCGGCGCGCCCCCGCCUUAUUGUUGUUUGUGGUGGUGCUCUUGCUACUCUUACUAGUACCGAUGGUGGUAAUGGUUUGGUUGGUUAUGUUGCUGCUGCUGUUGUUAUUGGUGUCGUUCGUGGUACUGUCAGUGGUGUUGUUGCUGUUGCUGGCGUCUCCAUUUCUCUUCUUCUCAUUCCCCUCCUGCUUCAUGGCGACAUCUUCUUCGUACUGCAUUCCCCUGUCUUCUCUCAUUACCUCUAUCUCCAUGUUCUUGUUUUCCUGCUCCUUCAUGAGUCGGAUCUCUUCCUGCAUCACCCAGCAAACAAUCAAAAGGUGCAUACGUAGUGUCGAACGUAUUCCGUGGAAAUUAGUAAAACAACCGAUCUUUGAAGUGCUACAUGGAUUCAAAGUAAAAGCUGCUUGUACAACCAAACGGAAAACUUCCGCAUACCUUCAAGCUCUGCAAACAAUUGUAAAUGACACUUAUUUCUUCAUCAAGCUUCUUACUCCUUUCAAUAAAACUACUGUAGUCCUCCUGGUAAUCAAUUACGCAGAUUGCUGAGUCGAGAGUCAUCAAUAAGCUACUAAUAAAUGAGGAAGCAAAUUCACGCAUGUGGUAUCCUAUAUUAGUUUACUCUCAUGUGCCCAUUGAUGUGUAUUAUUACUCUUUGCCAGCUUUCAGUGAAACGGUCCAGAAGACAAACAUGCAUGUGAUUAAGAAAAAGCACAGCUAAAACGACCUUUUCGACUUCCUUCGGUGAGCUCAGCUGCUCCAAAUCCCUGCAUGUGCCACGUUCAUUUCACCAAACAAGUAAAUGAACCAUGUGUAUGUGUGAGAGAGCGAGUGUGUGUGUGAGAGAGAAAGGUACCUCUUGAGAAUUAAUAUUUCCUCUCUGAGUUGUUUUAUCACAGGCUUGCACGCACCACCGCAGGCGCACGCAGACGUGGCAUCACCAGGCUUCCACCCUGGCGGAGGGACCCAGUAGGGAUCCACCACCCCGGCCUUCCGGCGGUCCUCAACCAGGUCCGCCGGCUCCAGCCAGUACUCCAUCACCCCCUCCGAGUUGUGCCGCCGGCGGAACCGCUCGGUGCCGUUCAUCACGACUUUGCCCGCCAUGUGCUUCAGCAGAUGAUCCAGGAGCCCCGUGUCCCCAAUGUGCUUCCUCGCCUCCUCCCUCAGCGCCUGCCGCAUGAUGGGCUUCCCGAGCCCGGCCUUCUUCACCUUCAUGAUUUCCAGCAGCUUCAUCUCCGCCGCCUCGUACCUCUCGGAAGACCACCGGUCCCUGCUCCCCUUCCCCUUUUGCUGCUCCUUCACGCACCUCCACUUAUCCUCGUUGUCGCGCCGAGGUUUUGUCUUCUUCUCACCCUUCUUUCCCCUUUGUUUCUCCUUCUUCUUCUCCGUCUCCUCCUCCUCGACGACCUCCCGUUUUCUUUUCUUUUCAUGUUGCUGCUCCUCGUCUUUCUGAUCGGACAUCGAUAAAGACAUCUCGCGGUGCCUCCCAAUGUACUUAACCUUUCUUCGGAUCCCCCAGCCAAGAAAGCCUGCGCGCUUGAUGGUCAACAGGCAGUUUCCAACUGGCGACGCUCGCUUACCGAUCUCGUCUUCUGCCGUUACUGAUCCGAUGGGCACCAUAGGCAGGGGGAACUCGUGCAGGUUGGAAGUCGACAGCCAGAAACUCUCCAGGUGCUUCUGUUCUUCCAGCUCUGACGGGGGCACUGGCCGUCGGAGUAUCCUUCCCGCCUGGUUCGAGCUCAUGACGAACCUCUCGUCCAGCUCCGGAUCACGGCCAGGCUCCGGUGAAAUCGCGAAGUAGUUCCGCAGCGCGAGCGUGCUUGGGAAGCUAACCGUUACGUCCAGCUUCGUCGCCUCGCCCACCUAUGUUCCAAUCACAAACACUAAGCAAGCAUUUACAGAACAAACAAGAACAGCUAAAACGACGGAAAUUUUGAAACCUUUACGACUCGAAUGGCUUUCAGCUGGAUCGGGGACUUGGGGGGAAGCAUUUCAUGAUCGAUCUCGUAGAAGGCGCCGAGCUCGAACACUCCUGCGAAACAAAUCGAAACACCAUAUAAUGCUCAGCUCGACUUCACCGAUUCCCCAAAAUGCCCACAUCUGUUUAAUUGUUGCAUUGCUCUUCAGGAGGGUAUUGUAGGAACAGAGGAAUAAGAGGAGAGAGUGUGUGUGUGCGCGCGCGCGCGCGGGCGUCAUGAUGAGAAUUGGCAUCAGGCAUGGGUAUGCAUGGUUCGUACCGUUGCAUGGGUGUGCAUCGCUCGAAUUGGCAUCGGGCAGCGCCUCCCUUCCCAAAGCCGACCGCCCUCGCUGCUCCGAGUCAUUCCUUUUCGAGUAAUAAUACUUCAGCUGUCCCCGCAAGCAGACAAGAACAUCAUGUUAAUAUCAUCAUCAUCAUCACCAUCAUUUCCCAUUUGUGGAACAAACAAAUCAGAUCUUUUGACAUUCGAGUACAAACAGCAGCGCUUUCCUUCCCUGAUGCGAGCAGAUGCGGCCCACAUGAGCUCACAGUCUCACCAGUCACAACGCAGGUGAUGCAGCGGGUAUAUACGUGGUAAAGGUGGACAGGUAUUGCUUGCACUAGUCGCGUCGUCAUCAUCACAAGCGCUCCCUCCCGUUUCUGUUUGUUCACCUUAGAACGAGAAUAUACGAUCUCCUCGUGGUGAUAACGACCUCCCAUCACCGCCCAAAUUACAAACCCAAGUCAUCACCAUUCCCACCUAAAUCUGGAUCGUCCGAUCACACCCGAUCCGCCCUAGUAUCUUGAUCCGACGGUUCCGAUCCUUCCUCAUAAAAGAUGGCGAAGAAAUAGAAGAUAUCUUUUUCUUCCUGCCUCUUUUCUUUUUAGUUUUGAUCAAAGACUUAGGUUUUGCGGGGGGGAAAAAAGGAAGAAUCAUACCGUACUACUCGCCGAAGCGGCAAGCGCAGCAGCAGCAGCAGCUUCCAUGCUCUAUUCUUCUUUUUGUCUUCCUUUGGUCCGGGACUUGGAAAAGGCACAAAUAGGAGGUUUUUAUGAUCUCUGCAAGAACUCACGAACUGAGAGAGAGAGAGAGAGAGAGGACAGAAAAGAAGCAUCAGAAGGAAAUGGUUUGUAGGUCAUAAAGAAAGCACGCCUUGACUCGUGGUGAGUCCAGCGAAGAAAUAGAAACGAACAAAAUAGUUGAGAACUGGAAGAUUUAAGCGUUUGCAGUGCUUCCCUCGAACUCAGAUCAUCUUAGGCAACUGCAUGUAAUAUGUUCUUAAUUUCCUAGUGAGUAUAAGAAGAUAAAGUGGGAAGGAUGUGCAGAUCAAGUGGCAUUACAUGGAUCAGUAAAAAGAAGGACGUGAUGAACUAAUCAGGUCCUGGUCAGCGCAAAGAACUCAGAGUUCGCAUUUGAAGUCAAAAGAAAUCUACUAAUCGGAGUUCAGAGUCUUCCAAAAACCGAAGAAAAAGAAACGAAUGCAGUACGAUACAUUAACCAAAACAAGGGGAGAAAAGGAAAGCUAUCAAGAAUGCGGACGGACCUUUUCCCGGGGCGCCUCCAUCCGGCACGAUCGGAUCCGAUCGGAUAGACCACUACGAACAAGCAAAGCAAAGAAAGGGUAUUUCCAUCAUCAGCUCACGGAGAGAAUACAACGCACGAAGAUCAAAGAACGGAACAGAAUACUGCAAGAAAGAAAGAAAAAAAACAAGAAAUAAGCUAAAUCGAGCUGAAUUCGAGGGAAGAGGGAGAGGAGCACCUCAGAAGAAGCGAUCUUGGGAGCUUCUUUGUGGAUCCGGAUGAAGAAAUCCGGAGCCCUCUUCUCUUUGAUUCCUCUUUGUCUUCUCCUUCUUCGUCACGAGGAGAGGGGAGGAGAGAAGACGAGCUUAGAACUGGUGUUUGUUGCGGACCAUUCUUCUGACGAGCGUGAGAAGAGACGGGGCCGAGGUAGUUAUAUAGAGGAAUGCGCCUUAGUAUAACAGUUUUCCACUUACCUCUCUAGUUUACCAGUUGAUGAUUGGAGGAUUUUAGAGCUCGUUUCUGGGCCCACCAUAGUGCAGUUAAUCGGGUCGGAUGGGUGUUUUGGUGCGCGACAUCAUCCCAAAAACGAGUUACUUUGCGAUAAUAGAUAGGAAGAAGAGGGAUAAUUUCCUUGGACACGUGCCCCGCUCACGUGCUGCGGCCAGCGUUUGGGGUAAUUGUGCGUCGCCUUUUGGAUGACGGUUCGACCCUCCAAAACUCUAUGGAACUACGAUUUCACCCCUCAUAAUUAAAAUAUGAACUAUCAAUGACAAAUUCUCGAAAAAAAAGCCUAUAAACUUUGAGAAUUUCCUAUAAUACGGCCCACCUUUGAAAUUUUUUCAUAAGCGACUCUAAUCAUAUGAAAAGAUCAUUUUAUCCUGUCGGAUCUAUUGUCGCCUCCUUCUUCUUACGUUACAGUCGUCAUCCCCCUUGUACCUACAUCGAAUCAAAGACAAUCGUGGGCACCCAUGCUAACUCUAGUCAUCCUAAAUGAACCCUAGGAGAAAAAAAUGUGUGGAGGAGGUUGGUCGGUAGGGUUAGCAUACACAUGAAGACGCAUACGAUUAUGAGAGGGGAGAGGACGACUAAUUAAGUCAGCUCAUGCAUGAAAGCACAUGUGGCUAGGGGAGGAGAGAGGUCGAUCGAUGAGAUUAGCUCAUGAGCAAAACCGUAGAUGGCCAGAGGCGGUUGGUCGACAAGGUGGAGGGGGCAAUGGGCUAAGUGGAGGGCAAUGACCGAUAGAGAUAUGAUGGUCAUUUUUAAAAAAUAUUGAAUUUUUUUAAGUUAUGACACUUUACAAGAAAUUUUUUAACUCAGCACCUUUUAGAAUUCACUCAAUUAUCAAUCUACAAAUAAAAAAAAUCAUAGAGGAGUAAUAUUUCAUUAAUUAGUUAAAAUUGUAUCAUAAAAAGGGUUAUCACGAUAAUUUCAUAUAUUGGGAUGAAUAAUGUAUUCUAAUAAAUAUCUAAUUCUAUUUAUUAUUUAAAUAUAAAAUAUAAAAAUCAAUAUUUUAAGUAUUAUUUUGAAUGCUUAAAUGACAAUAUCAUAAAUUAAAAUUUUAUACAGUAAAUACGAAAAUUAUGAACCUUUUGAACUUUAAAGAGGGAUUUAUAUGCUAUAUUAGUUUAAAUAUAGAGGGAAAAAAUAGCGACAUAUGAAUGUAUUCAUACAAUUAAUUUUUUUCUCUAUCUAAUUGUUUACGAAUGAAAAUUUUCUUUAGUUUAUCAUAUUUAAUAAUUAAGCCGAUUCAUCUCAACAUUUCAACACGCUUACAUUAACUUAUUAUAUAUGUUUGUUUUGCUAAUCUUCCAAUAUCUCGAUCAUCGAGAAAACAUGGUUAGCAUUACAGCUAUCUUAUUAUUAGUUAUAAUCUUGUUUCUAAAUGGGGAGAACACAAAGAAUUGUAUUGGGCUUUGAAAUCUUUUGAGGUUGGGACUUGCAAUAACCAUAAAUGAAAGGGUGAAAAUGCCAUUGUUACGUCAAUAAGGAGAAAUUGUUGAAGGAGAAUAAACAAAGAAUUAAGAAUAGAAUCAAUAAUAAUAAUAAUAAUAAUAAUAAUUUCUACAAUGGGUUUAAAUAGAUACAUGUAAAAGAUCUAAGCAAUUUCUUGCUUCGUAUUUAUAAGAUGUAUUCACACACUUUGGUAUAGUGUUCACAUUAUUAAAGAUGUGUUUACACUAUAUAUGAUGUGCUUAUGCUAUAUAAUAAAAAUAUUUUAAUUAGGUAAUAUUUAAUAAGAAAAAGGUUGGCUCAAUUAAUUAAGAGAAUCCUUAACUUAAUUAGGUAAUAUCUCUUGUCCUAUCCUGCCAUGAGCCAAAGAAGCAGGAAUUGCCUCAGCAGCAAACUUUGACCUGGGAGAAGAUGAUGCAAAUUAAUCCCCAUCUACGAUAACCCAAUCGAGAACAAGCAGAGAGAUGCCAUGGAGGGAGUAAAAUCUCUCUCUCUCUCUCUCUCUCUCUCUCUCUCUCUNNNNNNNNNNNNNNNNNNNNAAAAUCUCUCUCUCUCUCUCUCUCUCUCUCUCUCUCUCUCUCUCUCUCUCUCUCUCUCUCUCUCUCUCUCAGACACACACACACACACAACUCUCUCAGUUAGAUAUCCACCUGCAUAGACUUCUGCAGAGUGAUGCGUUUUCUUCCUGUUGCUGCUGUUUUAGAUGACUGAAAUCUUGUCAUGGAGGGAAGAACAUGUAAAUCUUACAUGAGAACAAUAGUCACAAGUCUAAUAAUAAUGUUGCAUCAUUGACAAAAACUAUGCUCAUCACUGCUCGGGGCUGUUGAAUUAAUGGCCCUUCGUAAUUGAAACUUUUGUCCUUGCACCGGUUAUCAUUGUUUGCCUCUCUCUUCCUUUGGGUGAGUACAGGCCAUCUUCUAUCUGGGGCUUGCUGUACUUUCCUCUCAACAAAGAUUUCAAUGAAGAAAAGAGAUUCCUUCACCAAAGUUUACAGUGAGAAUGGACCAUCCAUGCGCUGCAAUUGAUGCAGAUCAAUAAGAUCUGCAGAUGUGUGAAUCUUGUGCUGAGAUAUAUUUAUUGCUGAUAUUAUGAUUUGCAGCAAUCUUUCAGAAAGCAUAAUGCAUCACAGUGGUUCAUAUGACAACAGCUGCACCUCCUCCUUUCUUUCUUUCUCUCAAUUACUGCUAAAUAAAUUUCAGUAAAUAUAAUCUUUAAUAACUUUAAUAACUUAUAAUAAUUUAAAAAAAAUUAAGAAAUUAAAUUACAUAAAGUGACAUAUAUGAUAUUCAUAUGUAAGUUCAAACUUGAGAUCUAUCAUUUAUUUAAUAUAAUAAUAAUCAAUUCGGAUAUCUCAACAUAAACUAAUGGCUAAGGUUAUAAUAGUGAAAUGUUUACAGGUAAAAAUGAGCCUCAUUAAAUCCUGCAUCCUGUUGGCGCACGUAAACGCACCUACUAGUCCGUUACUGUCCCGUCUACCCGUGUCAGAACCACUUGCGCCUUGUCACAGCCCUCUGGGCCCACCAUCACGAUAGGGUACGGACGACCUUGCAAGUUACACCGGAUCCGAUCCAACCAACGCAAGGACCCAACCCGAAAUGGACGGCCGGUAGAUCCGAGUUCGUGCAAACGGACGGUCUGAUGUGAAGAGUGCUUCUACAAUAUCUUUUACAAUGUAGCUUUGAUCAAAUCUAUUGCUGGUCCGCUAGCCAUCUCAUCACGCAGCCCGCACGUAAGUCGCCUUCCUUCUUCCCGGUCGCCAUUUCUCGCGCUCUGCGCCGUUUACCACGUCCGCGAUCACGUCGCUAUGAUUACGUCGCAAGAGCACCUCCGUCCUAUCUCGUUGUUCAUCCGCAUCAAAACUUCCCAGUUUCUGCAGUUGCGUUGAGUUCCUACUCCUUUUGCUUUGCUGUUGGGAAGUGGAUGAGGUGGGAGACAGGGAUGGGCUCUCGCUGCUCCGAAGAGGACCGUGCGGAGGCGGCAGCAGUCCUAGGCGGCCGAGCUCUUGACUUCCUUCUGGCCCGAAGCCACGUGUCCUCCUCUGAUCAUCUCGAUGCCGUCGGCGAAGGCGUGCCCGACCUCCAGACCAAGCUCCAGAGCCUCGUCGAGGGCCACGGCUCGGUGUGGGCCUGCGCAGUCUUCUGGCAGAUCUCCCGGUCCCGGUCCGGCGAGUUGGUCCUCAGAUGGGGUGACGGCCACUGCCGCGAGCUUGUCUCCGGCGUUGACGACGAUGGCACCAACGGUCGGUACCCCCAGGGCGCCGGUCCCCUUCAUCGGAUGCGGAAGCGGGUGCUCGAGCGGCUCCACGUGCUCUCCGGCGGAUCCCACGAGGAAAACUACGCGCUCUGCCGCGACCGGCUCGCCGACUCCGAGAUGUACUUCCUGGCGUCCAUGUACUUCUUGUUCCACCCUGGCGAGGGCGCGCCGGGGAGGGCUCUGCUCUCCGAGAAUCACAUAUGGAUCCCGGAGACGGCGUUCCCGGGUGCCGAUUACUUCGUCCGGGCGUUCCUCGCGAGGACCGCCGGUGUCCGGACCGUCGUGCUCAUACCGAUCGACGCGGGCGUGCUCGAAUUGGCCUCCUUUGAUGCGGUUCCGGAGAGCCCCGACGAGUUGCAUAGGAUCAGGGCCGUCUUCGGCCACGACCUGAACAAAGGGGCCGCAGCGGCGUCAGGCGAGACGGAACGCCGCGGCGCCACAUGUUCGUCAUCACAUUCUCGCUUCGGCGACGCCGUCCGCCAGCAUCCAAAGAUCUUCGGCAAGGAUUUGAACGUCGCGCCGGCGCAGAUGAGCAUGAAGGUGCCGAAUUGGAAUCUAAACCACAGCGUCGAGGAAGCGACGCCAGUUCACGAAGCGUGUUUGCGUCAUGGUAGUGGCGUUGCCAGGGAUGAGGACCCUGUGACGAACCAAUUCCUGGCUGAGAAGCAGCAGCAGCCGAAGCCACAGUGUUCUAGCAGCAAGUCGACGGGUCGCUUGGGAACCCCAGCGACGCCGGAGGACCGUAAGCCGAGAAAGAGAGGCCGCAAGCCGGCCAACGGGAGAGAAGAGCCUCUCAACCACGUGGAGGCGGAGCGUCAGAGGAGGGAGAAGCUUAACCAAAGGUUCUGCGCUCUGAGAGCUGUGGUGCCCAACGUCUCCAAGACUGACAAGGCAUCCCUGCUCGCCGACGCCAUAGCGUACAUCACCGAGCUGCAGAGGAAGCUCAAGGAGAUGGAGGCAGAGAAGGAGAUGCUGCGGCAACCUGCAUUCAUGGAUCACGACAGCCACACGCAUCGCCCCAAGCUUAACGUGGAGUUGGUGCAGGACGAGCUGAUGGUCCGAUUGAGCUGCCCAUCGCACACGCAUCCUGUCUCAGGAGUCAUCCGAGCUCUCAACGAGUCACACAUCAACGUGGUGGAAUCGAAGGUCGUCGUGAGCGACGACACAGUGAUGCACACGUUUGUGGUGGAGUCCCAGCAAUUGACGAGGGAGAAGCUACUCGCUGCUAUUACUCGUGAGGUUAACAGAAGGAAGCCGCAGUGUUUGAGCCUGUGACCCACAGGUUGCUGCUGCCAUUGUUGCAGUCUUCGGCUCCUUCAGCAUGAUCUUUCCAUGUCUGUGAUCACAAGCAGAUUUGUUCUGGUUCUUAUCGGUCAUAGUCUUCAAAAAAGGAACAUGUAUGAGUCUCCAAAUUCUGGACAGAUAGUUCUACUCAAAUUCAGGUUAGCUUGAUGAUUUUCUUUAAUGAAUUAUAUCUAUCUAUCUAUCUAUCUAUCUGGAAAUGGAUAAGCGAUGUGCUUUGGGUCUUCAAAGAACAUGGGAUCCACUGACCUGACAUCAGCUGCUAUAUAAGUUGGAUCUGCUUCCUGUCUUGCCAGCUACUUGUGCACACAAAAAACACAUGCAUUAUUGGAUGACAGCACAUGUGCCCUCGGAAAGCAUGGCAUCUUUAGUUCUCAUCUUCUUUCUCUCCUCUUUGGUGUGUUGGUGGUGGGCAAUGUUUCACAGGUACCAUUUUGUAUUCAUAUUGCAAGCUUCCUCACCUGUAAUCGAAGUCUUAACGGAGAGAGGAGAAGAAACAUGCUUCCAGUUUACUUACUGUGGUUUGGCUACCAUCUCUUGUGUCCGUGUUAGGGCUGUUGGUGUGAGAAGAUAAACCAGAGAAGGAUAGCAAGGGGAUGUAGUAUGGGUAUGGUGGGCUCAGUCUUAUCGGGACACGAUCGUGUGUACCAUCGUGUGCUCAAAGAGCUUGUGACGUUGAUGUAGUCUCGAGGUGGGGGGAUAUGGAUGCAUUUUGUAGGUGAUAAGGGGGAAUGACACUUACAUAUUCGACCAAACAUCACUAUAAUUUUCCAAAAGAAAAACUGUUUCCGAAAAUAUUUUCUAUAAAAAUGUAGUAAUUAAUUCGCUAUAAUUUUCCUUAAAAGAAAAAGUUCAAAAUAGAUUUCAAUUUUUCCUCUUUUGACUUUCCAAAUUCAGAUUCACUUAAAUAGGUUAUUCUUGUGAUAAAAAAAAAGUUAUAAAUGUACAAACAUAUCUAAGUGUAGUGCCAUAAACAUGAUAGAAAAUUAUAAAAAAUUAACAGAAUAUUAACCUAUAAAUGAUGCAUAAAUUCAUCCUUUUAUUGGAACGACCAACUCCAUCGACACUCAUAUUGAACACAUUUGUCUCAAGGAGUCAAGAUUAACAAACAAUCAAUCGAGAGUACCAACAAAAAACACUAAUAUUAAUUUGCAUGCAUAUCAACUAAACUGCUUGAAUCUGAUCAAACUGUUGUGAUUUAAGAAUAUGUAGUGACAUGGUCCUUGGCGAUGGCUGCUCUUCAACUCGCCGAUCGUUGUAGCCUCGCCGGUGACUAUGUUGUAGCUGAAAAGCUUUCGUUCGGUCGUCGUAAAUUGGGUUUCCAGGAAGAGCACAUCACCUCCCCUCGAUAGAAAGGCACGAAAGAUCCGUAAGGCACCGGGUCCUGCACGGCUCAGGAAGUACGUGGUUGAGAUGGUACGAUUCUGCACCCACUCUCCUUCCUCGUUGAAUGCCCAUAUAUUUAUCGUGUUCUUGAACAUGACUCGAGUUAGCGUCAAAAUCCCUCGGUCGUCUCUGGCAACCCCAAUGUUUUGAUGAUACAUGAUUCCUUCUUCGUCUAACGGUGGCAAACGCGAGUUGCCUGCGACUUCCUUAUCGAGAUCGAACCACAGCAGGUGGGUACGACUGUUCCAGUAUAUGACGUUUCGUAUGGAUAUAUUGUUCAUGGGAUACAAAUUUGUGAUUCCUUGGAUGACAACCUUGUGAUCCGAGACCGUCCACCUUCUCGUGCUCGAGGAGUAGAUGUCGAAUGAGAACUCUUGGAUUUGUCCAUGCAAUUUCCAUUUGAUGUUUAUAAGCGUGUAACGAGUAGGAGUGGUGGAGGGAUCGAAGGCCAGUCCAACAUCUCGAUAAAAGCAAUUCCCAGGGAUGAUAUGACCCUUUUUUGUCACCACAUCCCACACGUAGUUUAAAUGGUAUAGCGGAUUCUCAUCCAUCUCUUUUCGUAACACCACCAAGAGGAGGCCAUCGACGAAGGCAACGAUGCUUUCAAGGGUCAUGCCAUCAGGAAGGGAGGGAAAGAAGGAGUCGGGCAUGCCGAUGUUGACUUCUCCUGGGAUGUCCAAUGGGAAGAACUCGAUAUGUUUGUCACAUCUGUAGACCAUGCCGGAGGAGAUGGGUGACUCAAGUUGCAACUUCUUGCGUGCGAAUACUAUGUCAUGGGAGAAGAGAUGAUACCACUUCUUGCAGACAACCUUGAACCUUGCGAUGGUCUUACAGGGGAGCCAUGGGAAGAUAUCAUAAUGGCGGAUGUCUUCGGGGAUCCUUGCCAUUGUCGUCAUCGUAGCGGCAUCACUAACAUCCAUAUUUCUCGACUACAAUGCACAAUGAAACAACAAAAGUAAAUGUCCCGAAGCAAAACAUGAUCGAGCAUCCAUCCAUAAAAAGAAAAAAAAAACCAAGAAUUGAUGAAAAAAUAAAUCUUAUAAUAUAAGCAAACGAGAGAGAGAGAGAGAGUUGAUACCCUAUGAAGAAUUGUUUAUGUAGAACUUCAAGUCCCAGUUUCUAUUAUAAUUUGAUUUUAAGGGUAGGAUUAAGUGAGAAUCAAAACUUUCCUAUUGCUGUUUCCAUUUUUUUCUCUUUUUUCUGUUUUCUUCCUCUUUCCUUCUUUCUCUUUUUCCUUUUUUUUAUUAUGUCUGACUUUACAAAAUCAAUGUCGGUAGGAUUAAGUGAAAGAAAAUCAAUAUUUUAUUAUGUCUGAUUAAUUAAUUGAUUGAUGUAUUGUCGUUGAAUAUAAAUAAUAGUAGUAAUUGGGUUAACUUCUAAUGAAAUUAUGCAAUCGUUUAUAGAUUCUUAUUGGUAAUCAACAUGACGAUUUAUAGUUAUUCAUUUGUUAAUGUUCUAUUAAUAAUUAAACUUUUUGUAAUUUGCUAUCACAUUUGUGCUCCACACUGAGAUAAUUGUUUGCGCAUUUAAUCCUUAUCUACCACAAGAAUAACCAAUUUAAGUGUCUGAAUUUGGAAAGUCAAAAAGGAAAGUUCGAUAUCUAUUUUGGCCUUUUCUUUUAAGAAAAAUUAUAGCAAAUUAAUUGCUACAUUUGUUAUAAAAAGAAAUUACUUUUGGAAACAGGACAUUGAUUUUCAAACUUUAAAGAAUCUUUUAUGUGAAAAUUGAAGUAUUGAAAUUUAAUUUUUUUUGAAAUUUUAAAAAAAGGAAAUUAUAAAAUUUUUGAAAAUUUAAAGUAAAAGAACUUGGAUUUCUUUAGUAAUUAUAAUAAUUCUGAGAUUUUUCCUUUGCUUAAAUUUGCUAAUCUUUUUGAAAAAGGAAAUCUUAAAUAUAAAUUAUACUAAAAAAAUUAAUUUUAAAUUCCGAAUUUUCUCAAACAUAAACUAAGAUUUUGAAAUAUUGGGAAAGUUAUAUUCCUGAAAUAAUUUUUAUAACUGCUACAAACUUAAAUAAUAUUUUUUAAGUUAAUUUUGAUUUGUAUUAAAUCAAAUAAUCGAGCACCUGUUUUUUAUCCUUUUAAAUCAAAUAUUUAAUUCACUAUUUGUUAAGUCAGAUUCUAAUUGUCUGAGUUAGAGAUGUAGGUCGUAGUUUCUCGAGGCAUUGACACUAUAAGAUUGAGUCGGGGAUAUUUAGGACAAAUGUUCCUUCGAAGAUCAAAUUAGUUGUCAAAGUCAGAAUGUUGAGAAUUAGUUGGAUUGGUUCGACUACCUAAUAAUAUUGAAAUAGCAAAUAUGUAUCUUGAGGUCCCUUUAUAGGUGGUUUGGAAAUUAUUAUGUUUGAAAUCAGUAACAGUGAUAGGAGAUCGUGUAACAUUUUGAGCAAAGGUACGGUAUAAUGUUAAUCGUUCUGAAAGCUUAUUUAUUUGACUAUGUGAGUCGAAUAAUCAAACAUUUGGUUACGUGCGAUGCGUUUGUGACCAUGUGUCCUCGGAUAUGACCAUCACAUGCCGUUCGAAUCUAAUUGACAGGUUGCUUGGAUCAUCGGCCCAUCAUUUAGAUAUUAUCACCAUUCAAACUAAUUAUUUAUAGUUCUUGCUACAUCUAAUUUGAUAGUACGAUGACAAACGAAAAUUUAUCAGGGGUAAAUAAUUUAUAGUGCAUAUGUUUACUUCAAUUUUAUUUUUGUGCACACAAAUAAUAUUUUAUCUUCUUACUACAAACUUCUAAGCAGUUUUAUUUCACUCAUAUAAGUAUUUAUUUUAAUUCAUUCACAAUAAAAAGGAAAAUAUUUAUUCAAUACAUUCAGCUUCUUUCCUAUUCAAUAACUAUAUGUUUUAAGAAGUAAUUUUAUUUAAUUAUAUUUAUAAGUAUAUGUGAUAUUUAAUUGUCAUGUACAUCCCUAAAGAUGAUAUUUAGUCUAAAUUAUAAAUUUGAGCAGAAAUGUUAUAUAUAUAUAUAAUAUAAUAUAAUAUAUAUAUCCAACCAAGUGUUCAUGGGCUCCAUGAAAUGGGCUAAAGCAUAGUCUAAGGGUAUUAAGUGGGCCUCUUUCUAGGAACGCGCAUUACGGCGCGACGAGUCCCUCUCCGCUUCUGCUACGGAGAAACGAUCAAUCGAUCGAUGAAGCUGAAAUGGUAAUGGGGCGAACGAAGCAUCCUCGAGGAGGAGGCGGAGAUUCCCAGGCUAUCGACUUCCAAUGCUCCGUGUCGGCUUCUCUGCAGGGGUACCACGACGAUCUUGCCUUUCCUCUUCCACUAACUCGUUUCCGGUUCCUUUUCUGGUGCAGAUCGAGGAGGAGGCGUUGGCGGUGUCGAGCACGACUCCCACGCUAUGCACUUCCGAGGUUGGAGAAUUCUUCUUCCCCUAAUCAUUCCUUGUAGGCUCGGCAUGACGAUCUUGCCUUUUUCUCUUACACCAAUUCCUUUCCGAUGGUUCCUUUUCCGGUACAGAUCAAGAGGAGACGGUCCGGGAGCACGCCCGGUAGAGUAACCUUCUUCUAAUCCAUCCGUUCUUGAACCCAUUAUCCUCGUCCCUUUCCCAAAAUACUGUUCGUUUUCUUGUUGACAGCUGUUUCUUGCAGUGUGUUUGUUGUCGGCUCCUGGUCCACUCCAUCUUCCACCAAACUUGGUAUCCGUGGGGAACUGGUAACGACAUGUUAAAUGCUGCUAAAGAAUAUUGGUCUCUUUUCCUAAUAGCUUAAGGUUUUAGGAUUUGUGGCUAUCCAAUUAAAACUUUAAGAUAGUAUAUUGGGCUCAUGAGAUGGAUAGGAGCUCAUGAGAUGUGAUAUUAAAGUACAUAUUGGGCUCUAUUGGGGAUGUUAAAGCGUAUAUUGGGUUCUAUUCUACCUGCUUACAGGUUCUAGCAAGUUCUCACCCAAUUAAAUCUUUAAAAAAUGUUAUCAAAAUUCUGUAUGCUUAUUAUAUAGUUCAGAAAAUAUGAACAUCCAAAAACCUUGUAGUUCAGGUUGUUCUUGCAAAAAUGUUGCUCUUUUUGUUGUCUCAGGGCAAAGGAUCAUGCACUGCUUCAGCUUGUGUACAGUGCAUCUAAAGUGCUCUGUAUUAUCUAUCCCUCAUUUAUGGGAUUGUGUCAUAAUAGGUUGAGGGUGAUAAUAGACUGUUUGCAAAGCUAGGUGAGGUAUUUCAUGUUCAUAUUGAAAUUGUGCAGGAACUUUCUUUUGACUGAUGAACCUGAUUGACACUACCAAUCACCGAAAUCCAUGUAUUUGUUCCCAUCCAAAAUUUGGAAUUGUGCAUUCAGGGCCAUAUUAUUGUGAUAGGUUUCUCCCAAAGCCAGACCUUGUACGAGUUGAGGCUAUUUGUUGAAAACAGAAACCUUGACGAUGCUUCUCAAUCUUUACGUUGAUGCUAUCAGAAACAUACUACUAUGAGAAAAAAAAGCUAGCAUCUGGACCAUUCAUGUAGUUUUAUUAUUAUCUUAUCUAUUAAACCACUUGUGUUGUCUGACGAGAGUGAUUGGGGUAGUGAUGCUCUUGAAAGAAACUUCAAGCUGUUUUGUUAUGAUUUAUUUAUGAUGAUUUAUCUUCUUGUAGGCGAUAACAACAACAAUCGAAUGAGAUGCACAAGUUGGCUUAUUUUAAGCAAGAAAUAGAAAGACUAUGGAUGCUGAUAAAGUAAACUUAUGAUGCUCCAAAAAAAUAUUAUAGGAAACGUCAUAAGAUUUAAGUUUAGUGCAUGAUGAGUCAAUCUGGAUAGCCACUCUUAUCUAGAUUUUUGUGUCGCAAUCUCCCUCCUUUCUCUUUUAUUCUAUGCAGGAAUGAUCCAAGAGGACAUCAGUAAAUAAAAGCAUCACAAGCCGCAGGUGGAUUGGAGGAUCUCAUGCCAUACAUGAGCCUGACUUUAUUACAUCCUGGUUAACCCUCAAAAGGUACUGCCUCAUCAUGUUCGACGAUCAGGAUUCUAAUUACUAUGUUUUGCCUGUCUUUUUAUUUCAUUCUCAAUUGUCUCAGGAGGAUGCAAACUGAUUAUUCUCUCUAACAUACUUGCUAAAUAGGCCAACAAUUUAUCGAUUAGACAUCAAUCGAGUAUUGAGAUAAAGACACUGGGAUUUGAUAUUUUGUUGCAUGACACAAUGGGACCAAUUGCAGAAAAACUUGGCCAUCAUUGUUGAAGCGUGCAAGCAAUAGAUAUGUGUUAUAUAUAUAUAUAUANNNNNNNNNNNNNNNNNNNNNNNNNNNNNNNNNNNNNNNNNNNNNNNNNNNNNNNNNNNNNNNNNNNNNNNNNNNNNNNNNNNNNNNNNNNNNNNNNNNNNNNNNNNNNNNNNNNNNNNNNNNNNNNNNNNNNNNNNNNNNNNNNNNNNNNNNNNNNNNNNNNNNNNNNNNNNNNNNNNNNNNNNNNNNNNNNNNNNNNNNNNNNNNNNNNNNNNNNNNNNNNNNNNNNNNNNNNNNNNNNNNNNNNNNNNNNNNNNNNNNNNNNNNNNNNNNNNNNNNNNNNNNNNNNNNNNNNNNNNNNNNNNNNNNNNNNNNNNNNNNNNNNNNNNNNNNNNNNNNNNNNNNNNNNNNNNNNNNNNNNNNNNNNNNNNNNNNNNNNNNNNNNNNNNNNNNNNNNNNNNNNNNNNNNNNNNNNNNNNNNNNNNNNNNNNNNNNNNNNNNNNNNNNNNNNNNNNNNNNNNNNNNNNNNNNNNNNNNNNNNNNNNNNNNNNNNNNNNNNNNNNNNNNNNNNNNNNNNNNNNNNNNNNNNNNNNNNNNNNNNNNNNNNNNNNNNNNNNNNNNNNNNNNNNNNNNNNNNNNNNNNNNNNNNNNNNNNNNNNNNNNNNNNNNNNNNNNNNNNNNNNNNNNNNNNNNNNNNNNNNNNNNNNNNNNNNNNNNNNNNNNNNNNNNNNNNNNNNNNNNNNNNNNNNNNNNNNNNNNNNNNNNNNNNNNNNNNNNNNNNNNNNNNNNNNNNNNNNNNNNNNNNNNNNNNNNNNNNNNNNNNNNNNNNNNNNNNNNNNNNNNNNNNNNNNNNNNNNNNNNNNNNNNNNNNNNNNNNNNNNNNNNNNNNNNNNNNNNNNNNNNNNNNNNNNNNNNNNNNNNNNNNNNNNNNNNNNNNNNNNNNNNNNNNNNNNNNNNNNNNNNNNNNNNNNNNNNNNNNNNNNNNNNNNNNNNNNNNNNNNNNNNNNNNNNNNNNNNNNNNNNNNNNNNNNNNNNNNNNNNNNNNNNNNNNNNNNNNNNNNNNNNNNNNNNNNNNNNNNNNNNNNNNNNNNNNNNNNNNNNNNNNNNNNNNNNNNNNNNNNNNNNNNNNNNNNNNNNNNNNNNNNNNNNNNNNNNNNNNNNNNNNNNNNNNNNNNNNNNNNNNNNNNNNNNNNNNNNNNNNNNNNNNNNNNNNNNNNNNNNNNNNNNNNNNNNNNNNNNNNNNNNNNNNNNNNNNNNNNNNNNNNNNNNNNNNNNNNNNNNNNNNNNNNNNNNNNNNNNNNNNNNNNNNNNNNNNNNNNNNNNNNNNNNNNNNNNNNNNNNNNNNNNNNNNNNNNNNNNNNNNNNNNNNNNNNNNNNNNNNNNNNNNNNNNNNNNNNNNNNNNNNNNNNNNNNNNNNNNNNNNNNNNNNNNNNNNNNNNNNNNNNNNNNNNNNNNNNNNNNNNNNNNNNNNNNNNNNNNNNNNNNNNNNNNNNNNNNNNNNNNNNNNNNNNNNNNNNNNNNNNNNNNNNNNNNNNNNNNNNNNNNNNNNNNNNNNNNNNNNNNNNNNNNNNNNNNNNNNNNNNNNNNNNNNNNNNNNNNNNNNNNNNNNNNNNNNNNNNNNNNNNNNNNNNNNNNNNNNNNNNNNNNNNNNNNNNNNNNNNNNNNNNNNNNNNNNNNNNNNNNNNNNNNNNNNNNNNNNNNNNNNNNNNNNNNNNNNNNNNNNNNNNNNNNNNNNNNNNNNNNNNNNNNNNNNNNNNNNNNNNNNNNNNNNNNNNNNNNNNNNNNNNNNNNNNNNNNNNNNNNNNNNNNNNNNNNNNNNNNNNNNNNNNNNNNNNNNNNNNNNNNNNNNNNNNNNNNNNNNNNNNNNNNNNNNNNNNNNNNNNNNNNNNNNNNNNNNNNNNNNNNNNNNNNNNNNNNNNNNNNNNNNNNNNNNNNNNNNNNNNNNNNNNNNNNNNNNNNNNNNNNNNNNNNNNNNNNNNNNNNNNNNNNNNNNNNNNNNNNNNNNNNNNNNNNNNNNNNNNNNNNNNNNNNNNNNNNNNNNNNNNNNNNNNNNNNNNNNNNNNNNNNNNNNNNNNNNNNNNNNNNNNNNNNNNNNNNNNNNNNNNNNNNNNNNNNNNNNNNNNNNNNNNNNNNNNNNNNNNNNNNNNNNNNNNNNNNNNNNNNNNNNNNNNNNNNNNNNNNNNNNNNNNNNNNNNNNNNNNNNNNNNNNNNNNNNNNNNNNNNNNNNNNNNNNNNNNNNNNNNNNNNNNNNNNNNNNNNNNNNNNNNNNNNNNNNNNNNNNNNNNNNNNNNNNNNNNNNNNNNNNNNNNNNNNNNNNNNNNNNNNNNNNNNNNNNNNNNNNNNNNNNNNNNNNNNNNNNNNNNNNNNNNAUAUAUUAUAUAUAUAUAUAUAUAUAUAUAUAUAUAUAUAAACCAAGAAGAAAGCUCCUGUGAAGGACAAAUUAGUCUUGGAUUUCUACUGUACAUGGAUCAUCAAUUACAGUGACUCAUGCUGUUGCAAUAAUUCAUGAUAGGUUCGAGUGAUGUUGCUUUCUUUGAGGUUCACCAAUUGUAAUGAGAGAAAAAGAUAGGAGUCUUAUCACCUUGGAAUAUGGAAUCUUGGACAUAGGCCACACAGUAUGAGAGAGGGAGAGAGAGGAGAUUCCAAGUGGCUGAGUGCGCCAGGAAUGUGUGCGGCAAAACCUGUUGUCAUCACCUGAUGUAGCAGAAGUGCAGAAGACAAGGAGCCUAUCGGUUGGCUUGCCUGUGAAGGAGAAGGAUGAACAACUGUUAUUGGGUCCACUAUCAAAAAGCUUAGAUCCACAACACAGAGAGAGAGAGAGAGAGAGAGAGAGAGAGAGAGAGAGAGAGAGAGAGAUGGUUGUGUUAAUUUUUCUCUCUGCAAAUUAUUGUGUACUCUUAUCAUUCUUAUAGAUUAGGAAAAUAAACAUCGACUAAGUAGUCGAUUUUUACCAUGGAAUUCAAGAGGGUGGUGAAGUUUCCACGAUCCUUCUCCAUCCACCUCUUGGAGGUUCAUUGAACCCAGACUAUUUUUGAUAUAAAUCCAUGGAAUUCAAGAGGGUGGUGAAGUUUCCACGAUCCUUCUCCAUCCACCUCUUGAGGUUCAUUGAAUCCAGACUACUUUUGAUAUAAAUCCUUAAAGCCCCGUAUGAUGUUCUAAUAUGCAAAAUAUGAAAUAUGCUUGAUGCAUGUUUACACCCACAGGACCAGAUCUUAUUUCAUGAUACUUUCAUAAGUUUCUCUUUCUUAUUCUUAAGCGGAUUUGUUUAAUUUCUUUCGAGAAAGAUAUAAUUUAUUUUUUUAUUAGUUUUAUUUUGAUUGAAAUAAACGGAUUACACGUGUAUCCUCCUAUUCAUGGUGGAUUAACAAAAAUAUGCAAUAGCUCUAUUUGCCUCUGCCAUUUUCUGCCUUUUCGUGUAUGAUAUGGUCAUUUCCAUCUAAUUUUUUCUCUCUCUUUCGGGUAACGUAGGUGUGUACCAACACCAGCUAUCGGGAAAACAAUCACUUUGGAUGAUGCAACAACGUGAUUUAAAAUAAAAAGGAGCCUUUACAUGGGUGUCACCGACGGAUUCUUAGAUGUUUAGUUUUUACAUCUGGUCCUAUGUCCCUCCCUACUGACUGCAGAGCAAUUUUUUGUUUGCCGACAUCAUCGUGAAGGAAGAGUGCAAUACAAGUAGCAAUCAGUCCAUCCAUCCCAAUCUCUGGUUCCGUGGCUUAGUAGUAGUGGUAGUGAUUAUUGCAAGGAAUGGAUUGACAGCCGACAAUGAAUCUCCAUCUCGAUCAGUGAACACUAUUUGUUCUGUGGUUGCGUACACAACAAAAGAUUCCUUCCAGCUAAGGCUCCGUAGAAAAUUUUGGUUCUUCCAAUAUACUUAGUUCUUGGGUAAGCGACAUAGAAAUCCAUGCCCGUUCUAGAUGAUGAUGAUGUCAAGCUUUUAAGCGCUUUUAUAUUCGACUGAAAAAUGAUGAUCCAAUACAUAAGAUUUUUGUCAAUAUCCAAUCAAUAAAGAGAGUCAACUUUCUUUCUCUUAGUCCAUUAGAUAACAAGGGAAUAAUCCCUGCUUUGAUACCCACACGAUAAGCAGGGUGGAUUCCAAAUCAAUGUAUUAAAUUGAACCCAAGACAUGGAUGUGCUUGCGCUCAUUCUUCCUAACCCCUGCAUUGGAUCCGAAUCUAAAUGGGCCCCACGGGUUCGGAAUCUGUCCAAAUUUGUUUGAUUCGAAUGGAUUCGAGUGUGCGUCUUGACCCGCAACCUGUCAAUACUUGUGUGGAAUCUUUGACAAGCUCAUCAUGCCCACUAAUAUGGACAUGUCCUUUGUUUUAUAAGAGUUGGGAAAUUAUGUUGUUCGUUUAAGUGAAGGAAAUAUACUUGAAUACCUUUAACAUUUUAAUUGCAUAAUGGGUUUCCGAAUUAUAUUAAUGUAAAUUAAUUUUUUACAUGCAUAAUAAUUAAUUUGGAAUAACUAAUAAAGAUUAAUUACAAUCCGAUCUGAUCCAUGUCUGACAUAAUAUGGUUGAUGUCUAGAUUAGUAAACUAAGAUUAUCGUUAGAGGGUUUUCUAUUUAUAAUUUUAAUUUUAAGAAUAUUUUUUUAUAUAUUUUGACAUGAGAGAGGAUGACGAAUAUUAUCACUAUUAAUAGUAAUAUGCUCGUUAGUUUUGGAUGGAUAAUUACACUUCAUUGUCACUGAAAAGGAUAAAUAUAUGAAUUGAGUGAUUAUUACAAGAGACUUUUUUCUAUCAAGCCUCAUCUCAUCAUCUUCUAUUGGCAGAAACAAGGAGGCAUUGUGUCAUCAACAAAGAACACCCCCCUCACUUUUGACAAGAUGUAUGAGACUUUUUGUCUUGUUUCUCCGCACAACUUGUUGUUAAAUUAGAUGGAGAAAAUGCAUCAACUUGUUCAAAGAUACUUUUGCUGCAUGCACCCUUUUGAUUUCUUAAAGAACAAAAGAAAGAUAAAAAAGACACUCAUGAAUCCACCCCCUGUUUCCAAUACUUUGCCCCCAUACACUCAGUCACUGUUUGCUAUACUCGUUGCUCAUAGGGUGGGAGUCUUUUCUGCUUCCUUCUGCGUCAAGUAAGUGACCACUGAAUUGGACGCCGACCCCCCAUUCAUGUUGGCUUAAUUCAUUGAAUUGGUUCACAGUAAAAUGUCACCUUCUUGCUGAUUGAUAGUACUGAAAAUAAAGGUGAUACUGUUGUCAAAAGAUUCAAAUAACUAUUCAAGCACAAACUAUUUCUUUGGGAGGGUUUACAUGUCCUCUAAAAUAUUUAUUUAUCGGUAUCAUUUUCAGAACAUUAUGUUCAAAUCAUUUAUAUUAGUAAGCACAUAAAGCCCACAAAAUGAUAUCCUUACGCAGAUGAGGAUUGAAUCUCUUCUUCCUGAAGAGAGAUCUUCAUUAUUUCACAUCUCUGCCUUUUAAAAUAUAUCCUAUUUACACUUAAUAAAUUAUUUUCACCAAAUUUUCUUGGUAACUCUUACCAAUUGCUCCGUUUAAACAGAGUUGAAAAAUACAUUUCAUAUUUCUUUGCUGUACUUUUUUUUAUUUAAGAAAACGGAUGUUGUUAUUGUCAUGGUUACAUCACUUCAUAUCUUUUUCUUUUCUUGAAAUUGACAUGAAAUUGUUGUGAUUAAUGUAAUUUAUUUCUAUUCUAUAGCUCAUCAAAACGUAGUGUAAAGAGAAGGAGUCAAUUUGUCACUAAAAUUUAAAAUACUAUAUAUAUAUAUAUCUCUCUCUCUCUCUCAAAGAUGUUCAAGUCAGUAGCUCAGACUACGUUACCGUUCUUUGCUCCGCGGGUCUACUACAUCACGAGGCCUCCUUUUCUUGGUGGGUCCCGCACCAAACUUGCAAUCAACUCCGAUUCCACGGCGAACCGCUACGAUUAGUCCAUCAGGAACAGCACGACCUUUAAAACAUGUGCCACGGGGUCGUCCGUGGGCCACGUUCCAAGAAUCGAGCCGCUUAUAAAAGGUCCUCCGCACCCCCGCUUUUUCAUUCAACCCCGCCGCCGACCGGACCCGACACGACACGUCACGAUGGGCAGCUCCGCCUUCGGCGCCCCCUUCGCCGCCGUCCUCCUCCUGCCGCUGCUGUUGCUUGCCCACGCCCGACCGAACACGAUUCGGCUGCCGUCCGAUCGCGCCGCAGGCCUGCAUAUCGGCGGCGACGAUGACGCGGUGGGUACCAGGUGGGCCGUCCUCAUCGCCGGGUCCAACGGAUUCUUCAACUACCGGCAUCAGGUGGCUGUCCUUCUUCCUCGAUCCCUUCUUUCUUCUUUCUUGCGCUUGUUGUGUACCUUUUUCUCUUUGGGGAGAGUAUAAUGUUUGCUUUGGCAUGGAGUAAUCUUUUACUUAUUCUCCUUUCUAAUAAAAAAGUCAUUUAUUGGGGUGAUCACCUUUUACGACAUCAAGGUGGAUUUUUCUAACUCUAAUAUGUUGAGACCUUUAUAUUGUUGUGCUUUAAUUACUGUUCUUGGUCUGUGAGUUUAAAGAGCAGAGUUAGAAUAAGAAAUAUUUUUUGUUUUUCGUUUCUUUUGCAUGAGUCUUAGAAUUGGAAGAUCUGUGGAAGACUUCAUGGGAGUUUGACCUCGAGGGAUACAUGAUAGAUCUUUUGUUGUAACGCGUCUUCAUGUGCUUGUUCCCUAUUUCAUUCGCUUCAUUUGGUCCACUCUUGGGUGUCUGUCGUUACCUGAUAGCAUAUGUAGCCCAAAAAAAGACUCUACUUGAUUAGAUGUUCGAAUUUCAUGUUGCUUAAAAUUUGCUUAUAAAUUACUUAUUUAUGUGAAAGAAGUACACAAUUUUAUUUUAUGCAAAAUUGUAUAUAUAAAAUUAAAUGUCUCUCUCAAAAUUGUUCAGUGAUUUUCUUAUUUAUCCCUUUAAAUUGAAGUUCUGCAUAUAAAACCCUCCAAAACCUGAAAAACUUGUAUAUAUUCCAUUGUAGUUAAUGCCCAUCAGCCACUAUAAGUUAGUUGUUAGUUGAAACUCAAACUUGCAUCAAUUAUCUUUAAAAACUAUAUAUAUACAUAUAUAUAUAUAUAUACAUAUAUAUAUAUAUAUACAUACAUAUAUACAUACAUACAUAUAUAUACAUACAUACAUACAUAUACAUACAUACAUACAUAUAUGUAUAUAUAUAUAUANNNNNNNNNNNNNNNNNNNNNNNNNNNNNNNNNNNNNNNNNNNNNNNNNNNNNNNNNNNNNNNNNNNNNNNNNNNNNNNNNNNNNNNNNNNNNNNNNNNNNNNNNNNNNNNNNNNNNNNNNNNNNNNNNNNNNNNNNNNNNNNNNNNNNNNNNNNNNNNNNNNNNNNNNNNNNNNNNNNNNNNNNNNNNNNNNNNNNNNNNNNNNNNNNNNNNNNNNNNNNNNNNNNNNNNNNNNNNNNNNNNNNNNNNNNNNNNNNNNNNNNNNNNNNNNNNNNNNNNNNNNNNNNNNNNNNNNNNNNNNNNNNNNNNNNNNNNNNNNNNNNNNNNNNNNNNNNNNNNNNNNNNNNNNNNNNNNNNNNNNNNNNNNNNNNNNNNNNNNNNNNNNNNNNNNNNNNNNNNNNNNNNNNNNNNNNNNNNNNNNNNNNNNNNNNNNNNNNNNNNNNNNNNNNNNNNNNNNNNNNNNNNNNNNNNNNNNNNNNNNNNNNNNNNNNNNNNNNNNNNNNNNNNNNNNNNNNNNNNNNNNNNNNNNNNNNNNNNNNNNNNNNNNNNNNNNNNNNNNNNNNNNNNNNNNNNNNNNNNNNNNNNNNNNNNNNNNNNNNNNNNNNNNNNNNNNNNNNNNNNNNNNNNNNNNNNNNNNNNNNNNNNNNNNNNNNNNNNNNNNNNNNNNNNNNNNNNNNNNNNNNNNNNNNNNNNNNNNNNNNNNNNNNNNNNNNNNNNNNNNNNNNNNNNNNNNNNNNNNNNNNNNNNNNNNNNNNNNNNNNNNNNNNNNNNNNNNNNNNNNNNNNNNNNNNNNNNNNNNNNNNNNNNNNNNNNNNNNNNNNNNNNNNNNNNNNNNNNNNNNNNNNNNNNNNNNNNNNNNNNNNNNNNNNNNNNNNNNNNNNNNNNNNNNNNNNNNNNNNNNNNNNNNNNNNNNNNNNNNNNNNNNNNNNNNNNNNNNNNNNNNNNNNNNNNNNNNNNNNNNNNNNNNNNNNNNNNNNNNNNNNNNNNNNNNNNNNNNNNNNNNNNNNNNNNNNNNNNNNNNNNNNNNNNNNNNNNNNNNNUAAAAACUAUAUAUAUACAUAUAUAUAUAUAUAUACAUAUAUAUAUAUAUAUACAUACAUAUAUACAUACAUACAUAUAUAUACAUACAUACAUACAUAUACAUACAUACAUACAUAUAUGUAUAUAUAUAUAUAUGAUGCUGAAUUACUUGACUCCACAAGUUUUGGUUAGAACUGUGACACGAAGGCUGCAGGAAUCUAAAAUCUUUUGCUUAUGUGUCUCAAGGUGAUAAGGGGAAGAGUUACACUGGUUGCAAGAACUUGAUGUAGGUAUCUUUGAUGGUCCUUUUCAUAUCCUUUUGGACUGAUUGUAACUGUGGGUUAUCUGUACAACCUAAUUAGAGCCCAGGGACCACACAUGGAGCAUAAUAUGUUUGGAGAAAUGAGUGAUACUUCUUUAAGUAUGGUGGGGUCGGAUAUUCGAAAUGCAUCUUGGAAGCACUUGUAGAGAAGUCUCUUUUAUGACCUUUAGUAUGAUUAUUUGGAAUCUCAAUUUUUCCUUGUUUCCAGACUUCUUAAUCCCUUUGACUUUGCUUUUUUUUUUUUUCUUUCUUUCUUUGUAUCAGCUUUGCCUAUGCAGCUUGCACGUAUUACAUGGUUUGUAUUGCAAUUUUACUGGUUAACUAUUUCCUUGUUCUCCUUUUUCUUUCUGUGAGCUUUAGGUGACAUAAGAUUGUGUGUUGUCUUUAGCUAUCAACAACAUUAGUUAAAAUUUCUAUGAGCUUUAGGUGAAACCUAGUCUCAUUUUGUUAUAUUUUUGUCAGAUGCUUACGACUUAGAAUUUCUAUAUAAUGCCAUAUCACAAACAUUGUUCACUCAAGGUUUCUUUUUGUCCAAGCUUGAUGUGGUAAAUCUUAUAUUGCUUUCUUUUUGUGUUUCAUUGGUACAUGAAACUCUUGAGCAUAAACUAAGUUCAAAUUGUCUACAAUCUUUUUGAUGAUAUGGAAGGUGGUUAUAAUUUCUAUUUUUUUGCUGUCUGCUGAAAUACUUAAAUAAUUCGUCUCAAUUAUAAAAACUGAGAUAGUGAUUUUGGUUCUGAUUGGAGAUUUUGGAAUAUUAAAAUUUAUGUCCCUUUCUUCUUGUUAUGCAAAUUCACCUUAGCUCUGCACUUUGUGCCUUCUGAUCCUUGUUCUUGGCAGAGAACAUCCCUUUUCAAAAUUUAUUUAUCUUUAAUAAAAAAUUCAAGAAUCCCAUCUCUUUUGUGAAUAUUCUAACACUUCUCAUUUUAAACAUGAACUCAGGCAGAUAUUUGUCAUGCAUAUCAAAUCAUGAAGAAUGGUGGACUGAAAGAUGAGAAUAUUAUUGUUUUCAUGUAUGAUGACAUUGCAUACAGUGAGGAUAAUCCUAGACUGGGGACCAUUAUCAAUCACCCAGAGGGUGGGGAUGUUUAUGCUGGAGUUCCAAAGGUGCACACUGUAUCAUAGUUCACCUUUUAUUUGUGUCAUUCACCAGUGAUUCAUUGUCUAAGUCUGGGGAUAUAACUCCUUGCAGGAUUAUGUUGGAGAUGAUGUCAAUGUGAACAACUUCUUUGCUGUUCUUCUUGGAAAUAAAACUGCUCUAACUGGAGGAAGUGGAAAGGUUGUUGAUAGCGGUCCAAAUGAUCAUAUCUUCAUAUUCUACUCUGAUCAUGGUGGACCUGGGGUUCUUGGUUAGUAACUUGAUUAGCUGAUAUCAAGCCAUUACAUAGUAGAUAUUACAUGAUAUAUUUUUUUAAUUUUUCCUAAUUUCUUGCUCGAAAGGAAAUUAUUCUUUCUGCUUGUCAAGAAAUUUGACCCAUACCAUAUGGAUAACACUUGACUUCCCUCUUGUUCUCCUUUUCCUGAUUGCAUGCUCUAAAGACAAUCAUAGUUUCUGCUUUUUAUAAAGUUUGAUCUAACCCAAUAGCCAUGAUUUUGAUGGUUGUAAUACUUUUAUAUCAUAUUAAGCAAAAUUCUUCUUUGUUUCAUUUGAGAAUUUCCCAUUUAACCAGAGAGUACCAUUAGAUAAUAUCACGGGGAGAACGGGUUACUAACUUAUUGUUUAUUGUUACUUGUAGUAUAUGUUAAUAAAAUCUGCAAUUUUGAAAAGCAUUAGACUGACUGAAACUUUGCAGGGAUGCCCACCAAUCCUUACCUUUAUGCUGAUGAUUUGAUUUCUGUGUUAAAGAAAAAGCACGCGUCUGGAUCUUACAAGAGCAUGGUAAGAUUUCUUUACAUCUCAUAGUUGCAUAGAACUGCCAAGUUUGAAAACCUUCUUUUGCUUUACUGUUUCAGGUAUUUUAUCUUGAAGCUUGUGAAUCUGGGAGCAUAUUUGAGGGUCUUCUCCCUGAAGACAUAAAUAUCUAUGCAACCACAGCAUCAAAUGCCUACGAGAGUAGUUGGGGAACUUAUUGCCCUGGAGAAGACCCUAGCCCUCCCCAAGAGUACUAUACCUGCUUGGGAGACUUGUACAGCAUUGCUUGGAUGGAGGACAGGUGCAUGAACCAAAUCUAUUAAAUGAAAUUUGGUUAAGAUUUUUUUAUUGAUAGAUCAUUAAAAUCUUAAUUUAUGCAAUUAAAAACUUACAAACAUUUCUGGUAUAUCCUUCUCAGAUAUGUAUUUAUUAUAAAAGAUAUUUACAGGUUAUAUUACCUUUUCAUGUGAAAAUAAAUUAUAAAUUAUUUUUCUGGAGGCAUAUAUAUAUGUUGAGACUUGAGAGAUGUAUUGUUAAUUCUUGUAAUUGAUUUCUUUUUUUAGGUACAAGUUUCUAACAGUAAUACUUGAGCAACAAAAUUUUUGUUCUGUUUCUGUUUUCACCUCUGUUUGGCAUUAAUGUAAAUCAACUAAAAUUUCCCUUUUGGAUUUGUCCAAGUAAUUUUUACAACUUGCAGCAUUUGACUGUGAUGGUUAAGUAGAUUAAAGAACUGUGGUUCUAUAGUAUAACUAAUAAAGUUGGAAGAUUUUGUAACCAAAACCAAGAAUAGGAAUGAUCCUAAUCUUGUCCAUGUUAAUAUGGAUUAGCUUGAAUUUAUGAAAAUUGUUUGGUUAGGUUCCUUUAUUGAAUUCUGAGGUUCUGUAUCUUUCCUUAAGAUUUAAAUGGAGAAAUGACUCAUGUGGCUUCUGUUGUAUAUCUGAAGUUUAAGUUUUACUUUCAUGUGCAGUGAUAUACACAAUCUGCGGACUGAAACAUUGAAGCAGCAGUAUCAUCUUGUAAGUGCUUGAGAUUCUGCUUCCUUAUUGCAUAUCACCUGUCUGGAUGGCCUUUGGGUCUGAUAUACUUGUUCUAAUGGUGUUUGCAGGUCAAGACCAGGACUGCAGUUUCUGAAACAUAUAGGUUUGGUUCACAUGUCAUGCAAUAUGGGGAUCUAGAACUCAACAUGAAAGACCUUUUCUUAUACUUGGGUUCAAAUCCUUUAAAUGAAAAUGCCACAUUCGUUGAUGAUAACUCAUUAUUGUCAUUUUCAAAGGCUGCUGUGAACCAACGGGAUGCAGAUCUAGUUUAUUUCUGGCAUAAGGUUGGCAUUAUCCUUUAUCUGUAGUUUGCUUGUAGUUAAUUCUUCUGAUUAUUUUUGGUCUCUGCACACAUUACAUGGUUUUGGAUCAGCAAAAUUUCAUGUUUAUGACCAUUUUCUUAUUUCUUCAUUUGUUUAUGACUGAAAUCUUCUUUUCUUUAUUCAAGUAUCGGAGGGCGCCCGAAGGCUCUUCUCAUAAACUCAAUGCUCAGAAGGAUUUGCUCGAAGUAAUGUCCCAUCGGUUGCAUAUAGAUAAUAGUAUAGAACUCAUUGGGAAGCUGCUGUUUGGUUCUGGGAAAGCGUCAGAAUUGCUGAAAUCUGUUCGAACUGCAGGCCAACCUUUAGUGGAUGACUGGUCCUGCCUCAAGUCAAUGGUGAGUAGACUGAUUGGUUUACUUCUGAAAAAUUUCGGUCUGACUGGUUUAAAAUUGUUUGGCCUUUCAUUUUUUGCAUUGUAUGCUCGCAUGGAAGUUGUCAUGAGGGUUCUUAUAAAUGUUAACGUCAUGUUCUAGACAGGCCUUUAUACAUGUUCUUGUCUUGAAUUAAGAAAAGAAAAUAGCGUUAAUAAUGUUAUUAGCAAUUGGGCAUCCUUGAGGCUUUACGUGUCAGUAUCGUAUUUGUUAGACGUGGUACAAUUUUUUAUCUAAGCUAAGCCUCUUGUGUUGGAUAUUUUACUGGCAAAUCAAUCGGUGUGUUUUAUCCAGCUCUUUUGGGCAAAUACAGCGAGGUACAAUUUAGUGACACAAUGACCUGAUGCUUCUUCUCUUUUUCUUUCCAGGUAAGGACUUUCGAAAGCCACUGUGGAUCUCUAUCGCAAUAUGGGAUGAAACAUAUGCGGUCUUUGGCGAACAUCUGCAAUGCCGGUGUUAGCAAGGAGACGAUGGCCGAGGUGGCUGCUCAAGCGUGCACCGCUGUCCCCUCCAACCGCUGGAGCUCUCUCCACAGGGGAUUCAGUGCCUGAUGUGGACAUGAAAAACCAUGAUUAUGUUAGCAAAUUGUUCCUACUCUCUAAGGAAGUUGCUUAGCAAUCUUCUCCUGCGAUGCAAAUAUACUGCUGAAGGCUGGAGAAAUUUGAAUAUGACAAGUUCAUUUAAUUCCAUGUAAUUGUGUACAACGUUCAUGCUCGAUUAUUGAGGCCUAAGUAUGUAAAUGGCCCUUUCUCAAUAGUCGGUCCUGCGAUUAAACUUCAUGAUAUACUAAAAUUAUGGCUUGUAAUAGUGAUAUAUAUAGGUGUUAAUCAGAUGUUAUUUUAUUGUAAGUUCUGAAUUAUCAUGACGACAUAAUAUCCAGCUGCCUUUUGCUUCAAAUAUAAUCUGGUUUCUCAACGAACGCCUACGCUUAGCUAAACAUUAUAUGUAAAGUAUAGUUAUAUCAAUCAAGCUCAAUAUUUUCAUCUACCAAUACAAAUACUUAGAUCGACCAAAGCAUGAAUAUUUUAAUAAUUAGCCUACAAACAUUUUCUUUUACUAUCUGUUUUAAUUAUCUGAUUUUUUAUUAAUAAAUUUAAGGUGCUAAAUAUAUUAUUUUUAAAGUAUAUAUAUUAUUUUUAAGGUGCUAAAUAUAUACGUUACAUAAAUAUUAUGUUGUUGUAUUCGGGUGAAUCGAUGCGACGAAAUCAGACAUUUAUGUUCUUUUUUCCGACGUGGCGCACUAGUGCGUGUCUCCAAAUGGGUGCGGCGGCUUUCGCGUCUUGGCUCAAUUACCAAAGAGGAAAAAACGCCUUUUAUCCAUUAGCUUAAGCGUGGGACCCAAAAACAAAGAGACAGAGAGAUCGAUGUGGUGGAACCCAGGGGCGCGUUUUGCUGGAUGGCGGCUUAGCCUAGAUGGCUGAUCGUUGGCGAAUGAGACGGAGCAACGCGAGGCUAUAACAAGAGAGGAGUCCCCGAUCCGAUGCCACCUUCUCCUUCUUCGCGUCCGGGCUCUUUACCCUUUCUCCUCUCCGUCUCUCUCUCUCUCCCUGGUUCCGAUUCCAUCGUCGCCCCCGUCCUUCAUUAGCCGUAAGUUCCGAUGACUCUUAAUUGUAUCAGUAAUUAGUCUCUUGAAUAAUUCAAUGUUUUAUCCCUUCUGGUUGAUGCCAUUCUCGUGGAUUUCUUCUCCGAUUUGGGUUUCAUCUCACUAUUCCUCAAUAAGUUCUACCACGAUCUUCAUUUGUUGGUUUAAUUUCCAGAUUCUUUUGGUUUUUCUUCUUGCAGUCGAAUUCUUGUAUUUCGAUUACGUCGUCCUUGGAUUUGAGGACUCUUUUUGCCCUUCUAGGGUUAGGAUUUUUGACGCAGGAUAAUUAUCGGUUCUCACGCAUCAGGAUUCAUUGAUCACUAGGCUUAUGUGAUGAAUGCGUUUUCCCCUUUGGUAAGAUUGCUAAUAUGUUUUAGACAUUGGAGUCGACUUGGGUUUAGCAGCGUACGAUCACGAUGAGCGAGGUAUUCGAUGGUUACGAGCGCCAAUACUGUGAGAUCUCGGCGUCUCUCUCGCGUAAAUGCACAUCUGCUGCUCAUCUCGAUGGAGGUAUCAUUAUUUUAUUAGCGAAUUUACUGUUAAUUUUCCCAUUGCCUUUGCCGUGAACAAUUAUUUCUGAUCUAAUUGUUUUGAACAAAAAAAUGGAUUCUUUUGGCAGAGAAAAAGAAGCAGAAGGUCUCGGAAAUCAAAGCUGGCCUGGAUGAUGCAGAAAAUUUGGUAAUGUACCCGAUUGGUAUACUUGCUACAUUCAUAAGCAAGAUCUUUAUCCUGAAACGUUUGAAGGAUUGCUUUUAUAGAUUAGGAAGAUGGAUCUUGAAGCGAGAAGCUUGCAGCCAAGUGUAAAGGCAGGAUUGCUGGCAAAGCUGAGGGAAUACAAAUCAGACCUUAACAACUUGAAGAGUGAACUGAAAAGAAUUACCACCCCUAAUCCUACCCAAGCUUCAAGGGAAGAGCUGCUGGAGUCGGGGAAGGCUGACAUGAUAGCGGUAUGACAGGCCUCGUACUCUUGUUUUACACUUAUUAGAGUUUGGGCACCACACCGCAUGCAUGUUAAUCCACUAGCCAUGCAAUUAUAUGUUACUUUGUUUCUUUUUCUAAUUCUGUGAUUUGUUACAUUGGUAUCUGGGACCAACAGGCCGAUAGGGCACCUAUUUGCGAUCCUAACUUUUUUGUUGUCUCUAUGCUGUUUCCAACUCGCUCUUGGAAUUUUUUAAUAUUUAGGCAAUUCAUUAUUCUUGCCUUGGUAGUUAGCCCUACACAGUAAGCAAUUGGAAGAAGGAAAAACCUGUUGCAUUAUAAAUUACCAAGUAUAGGUAUUUUUUUUGUAUCUAUAUGCAAUUAACCAAUUAGCAGCACUGGACUCUAUGAAUGGGUGAGAUUAAUCAAGAGCUUCAAAAAUGUCAAUACUUUAGUAAGAAUUAAAUAAGACUAAUCUAGGUCAACUCAUAUGAGGUGAAAUAAAAACUUAUGGUAGAAAGUUGUUUUCCAUGUUUUUCGUCACCAUUUUAAUUUUUUGUUUUUUUUACAUCAUGCCUUUGUGAAAUUGAAUGUUAUUGAACACUAUGAAGAAGAAAGAGUGGAAAAAAAAGCUGAAUCCCUUUUUAUGUACGGGUUAUACACAUUAGGUUGGAAGUGUACUCUAAAUUCUAAAACAAUGUGAUGUGCAUAACUGACUAUUUGGAGAUGACAUGGAGCUGGAAGGUGUCUGGCAUAGAAGAAAAGAAUAAUUAAUACUUCACCUAAACCUAAUUGCUGGAUUUUCACUUGGUGGAUUUGGAUGUUGUAGUUUGGGCCUGGUUGGUGGCAAUUAUGGUGGAUAUAUCAAGAAUGGUCCCUUGCUAGAGUAGCGGUAUUUCUAUCCUUGUUUUUUUUAAUGAUACCUGCAUUGUUUCUAGAGAAAGAGAAUCACGUUAUCAAUAGAUUUGUAGGUUCGAAUUUAUCGAGUACAUAGUAGCAUAUAUAUUAUGAGAUGUGGAUCUAUGUAACUAUGGGUGUUUCAUAUCUUAGCCUCAAGUUGUACCAGUGAUUUAAAUAAGCACUCUAACGCUCGCCCAGGCACUCGGGUGAGUCAUAGCGAGGCUCAAGCACCUCAUAUGAGGACCAGGUGACGCGCUUCAAUGAGGCGCCGCCUGGGCGCUCGCCCGAGCCUAGGCGCCGGGCGCUUCGGGCUAGCCCGCGAUUCAUAUAAGGCAACCGAACUCGACUUUUAAGUCUGGUUUAGUUCGAUAGCAGUUAGUUGGUUCGAUUGAACCAAGUAACGCAUGUAGUUCCUUACCUCAAAAGCUGCACGCGACCCCGACUCCCCAAGCCAACCCUAGUUUGUGUUUUCUCCUGCUGCCUCCGUUGCCGACACUUUCUGCCGUUGCCUCCGCUGCAGACGUAGCGAACUGAAUAUUUCUCUAUCGCCGACCAAGUCUUUCUCCCGUUGCUUUCGCUGUUGUUGUUGUUCGCUACCGUUGCUGCUGUCCACUACUGUCGUUCGCAGCGCUGCCACAGCUGUCUUAGACUAAUCCUCUGCCACCAUUGCUUCUCUACCUACUUUCCACUGUCAGUGAUAUUUUUUAUCCCUUUACUAAUUAUAUUAUAUAUUUUUUAUAUUUUAGAGCAUCUCGUUUCACUCAAGCAAACGCUUGGAUGAGCACCUAGUGUCUCGGGCAUUUUGGGACCUUGUCGUUUUUUGGCGCUUAGCGCUUUUUAAAUCACUGAACUGUACAAAAUGAUUUUUACUUGUGCUUUGUCAACAUGUUAACAUGCUUAUCAGACAUUAGAGGUUAUUAAGUGCAAAAUGUUCAAACCUUUCCGACUGUAUAUGCCAUUAUAUUUGGAAUAUUUUAUGCUGCAGGUCUCUGCUGAUCAAAGGGGACGGCUAUUGAUGUCAACAGAGAGACUUAAUCAGUCUACUGACAGGAUAAAGGAGGGUAGAAGGACGAUGCUAGAGACAGAAGAACUUGGUGUUUCAAUUCUUCAGGACUUACAUCAACAACGGCAAUCUCUCUUGCAUGCCCAUAACACGGUAUGUUUCUUUGCUAAUGAUAUUUUUCUUGUUAUCACUUUUUGGUCUUUAUCUAUGAGUUAAUCUAUCAUAUCAGUUUCAUUAAUAGUUUAAUGCUUGUUUAUGUGAAAAUCACAGUCCAAACCAAUCUGACGGUGAAUCAUAAAAUUCGAGACUGUAAAAAAAUUUUGGUUUCUUUUUUCCGGCUAGGAUUAGUGCAUGCUAGUGAAAUGAUAUUUAUUCAUAAGCUGAAAUUGAUGUCAUAAAUGUAGUUCAUGACUGCCGUAGUUGGGGUUGGCUUUUCAUCAAUCAUCUAAUACUUGCCACAUGUGAUAUUUGUUUUUAUGGUUUAAUGCUGAACAGAGGGAAAUUAAGUGCCAAUGGUUUCAAGGAUUACAAACAUAAAUGACUUUAUCUGGAAACAUGUGUUGCAAAUCCAAAACUUUCUCCAGUGCAAAAGUUUUUGAAAUUUAGUUCUUCCAAAUUCUGAAUAUGAUCUAUUGAAUAAAUGCUUUAGCAGUUCCUAGGGACUGUGUUGGUUAUUUUAGUUAAAUCAUAAACAUAUUUCCAAAAGGUGAACUUAGAAAUGUCGAUUACACACACAAUGCACUCUUAGAAUAUGUUGCUUUCAAGAAAAUUCCUUGAUUUCAUUUAUAUAUUAUACAAGGGGUUUUUGGCUUGUUAAGUUGAUCAGUCAUUGGCAGACAAAUGGCAGACAUCCACGUAGAUACUUCUUGUCUUCAACAUGCUGUAGUUUUUACAUGAUCAUGAAAGCAAGCUGCUAUGGUUUUUGAGAGUUAAAUUAACUUUUAAAAAGGAUACUUAAUAUGAAAUUCUUUCACAUUGGAUAGGACAACCUGGAGGGGCAUGAACACUCCUUCCAAGUGUUGUAGGCUUUCACUAAUGCAUUUAACCAGAAUAGGUGUUUUUAAGAACUGUAUGGUGGGAUGCCUUUGGUAGAUUUUUAGUGUUGGAAAAAUCCAAACGUCGGGUUGCUUUAACGUCAUCAUUGUGAAUUAGGGAUUUACCUGACAAAAUGUAGACUUCAUCAGUGUUGCAUUAGGGAUCAACUCACGGGUGUUACAUUUGGGAAUCAAGUAGAAUCCCUGGGUUGACAAUGCCAGCUAGGUUGGUGGCCGAUGAUUAUUUUAAUCUGCUUUGUUGGAGUUCCAUCCUCCAUUGAAGUCUGUUUUUGCAACCUUUUCUAGGCGAAGACUGUGUUUCACCAGUAAGUUGUUUUAGCCCAUUGUUGUAGAUGUAGGAAAACAAAAGGGCUCUGCAGAAUCUAUUCUGCAUGCAAUGAACAAAAGCUCUCUAUUCCGCAUAUGAUGUACGAUGAUAUGUGAUGAUUCUUAGUUCGUGUUGGAUUGCAGCUGCAUGGAGUCGACGACAACAUCAGCAAGAGCAGGAAGAUCCUGACUGCCAUGUCAAGAAGGAUGGAUCGGAACAAGUGGAUCAUCGGGGGAAUCAUGGUGGCUCUGGUUCUGGCGAUUCUGGUGAUCCUGUACUUUAAGCUCACUCAUUGAAGACCUUGCCAACUCAUGGUUGGGGUUCUGAUGAGUGUGCCGUAAGUCUUGCUAUGGUUGAUGUGUGUUUCGUUUGCAUCGCAUGAUCGUUUAUUUCCAUGGAAGAACUUCUUCAUUGGUUGAGCUUCUCUUAUGCGGUGCUUCGGGUGUGUGGUGACGACUGCUUCGUUGACCAGCCUCGUCUGUUCUCGACAGAAACGCAACACGUUAUCUGAUGGUUGAUGAUGUCGUUUUAGCAUAUCUUAAUUUGAUCAAAUGUCUAAAGCCAAAUAGAAAUCUGUCUGCGAGUCGGAUGAAAUAUGCGAAUCUGUUUGACUGGAACAUGCAAGUGUGUUAAAAAUGCCCUAUCGUUUCUUUUUAAACAUUUGCGUAAAAUGAUGCGCAUAGGGAGGUUGGAAUUCAUUAGAAAUUAAGAUCUUAAAGAUCAAACUUCUUGACCUGAAUCAACAUUAGGGUGGGAAUGGCUGCCGGUUUGGCUACAUGUAUUGUGUAUAUUUCAUUUGUACUUUGUUAGCUAUAACGUAAAUCAUGUCGAUCUUUAGGGGAUUGAUUGCCGGACGAGAGGAUAAUAGUAAGACGUCUACAAUUACAUUUUUUAUGAUCUUGUUGCAUCACCGUGCGAUCUAAGCUACCCUUUCGGUCGUGCAGGGAAUAACCUUGUGUUACGAUCAUCGCAACGUGUCAACCUUAUGGGGCCAAAAUAAUUUUUUUUUGACGAUUUUGUCUAUCCAUCUAUAGGUCGACUGCGGUUAUGCCGAGCAGCACAUGGGUUUAUAAUUGUUUGUAUAAUUGUAUACAAUUUUUUUUUGUAUAAUUAUUUGUCUAAGAUUUGACGAGGUAUAACUGUUGAUCGAGAUGCUAUAUACUAAAAUCAUUGAAAAAACGCAAUGUGUUCAUGGUUGCAACGGACUCAGAGUUCCAUAUAUAAGGAACUCUUACGUUCAACGUGCUUCAACAGAGGUUCUACUGGUCGACAUUAUACAAGUAUGCAAUCACCUAUGUCUAGAGGUGUCAUAGGUGUCAGAAGUUUACUCAACGUGCUUCAACAGAGGUUCUACUGGUCAACGUGACCCUUUACUGGCAGACUUUUACGUUCAACGUGCUUCAACGGAGGUUCUACUGGUCGACAUUAUACAAGUAUGCAAUCACCUAUGUCUAGAGGUGUCAUAGGUGUUCGAUAGUCCCUCUAAGCUUGAUCGAUUGCACAUGACCCUUUACCUAAUGAGGCAUGGACCUCGUGUAAAAGAACAUUAUCACCCGCUUCGAAAUUCUGAAGACCCUCAUCACCAACAAUGAGAGUCGAUUUAACAACGAGUUCUGCCAAUCCUACGAGAUUCAACUAAGGUUUAGCUCGAUGGCUCAACCCCAAACCAAUAGUCUCAUCAAGAUCACCAACCGAACCAUUCUUGAAGGAUUAAAGAAGAGGAUUGUUGGAGCAAAGGAUACCUAAGUGGAUGAGCUACUAAGCAUUCUGUGAGCCUCCUAUACGACACUAAAGACGAGCUUGAAAAAAUCACCAUUCAACUUGGCAUUUAGUAUGGAUUGAGAGCUUUGACGAAAAAAACCCUCCAAAGAGGAACUUUGAUUUGGGCUCGCCCUGAUAAGUGAAGUUAGAGCUUAAGCAAGAAAAAAAAAAUCCACCACGAUAACCAAAGGCUAAAUGCGCCCGAGGUAUAUGAGUCAGGAAACCCGACUCGAACCAAAAAAAAUCCACCAUGACGUCUCAAGAUGAAAUACGCCCAAGAUGUAUGAGUCAAGAAAGCCCUCUAACAAGAACCCAGAAACACACCUUAUUAAGGAGAGGGAGAGAACAUAUGACAAGGAAUAUCUAUCAUCUGACAUAUAAUCAUGUGAAAACUAUUGUGAAAAAAAAAAAUCUAAAUCACUCUCCAUCCCUCUAUCAACGUGGACAAAAAUUUAAAACAACUAUUCACAGCUAUCUCCCUCGUGCUGUCCACAUUGAUAAAACAUCAAGAGAGAAAUGUUAAGAUGAUUAUAAAUUAUUCCCUUAUAAAAGUUAAUCUCCACAGAAAAAAAAAAAAACCCUGAUCACUAACUUGAAUGCCCAAGGAAACGAAUGAAUCAAAUUUCUCCCCGCAUCGAACUGAGCACAAAUGAUGCCUUAAAAGCUCGAUACCUCACACUACUACGCCCUCGAAACUGGGUUGACUCAAAACGUCGACACAUGCGAUGACCUCACUUUUGGCAACGCAAAGCAACUCAAAGGCUGGUGUUCCUUUACACCGCGAACCGAGGUGCGUGCUCCAUUUUCAAUUCUUCCCACUUCCAAUUACAAUUCUCUUUCCCCCUAUUUACCCAAAAUUUAAACCCACAACGAUAAUAACGUGAACAGCUCUCACCUAAGAUUCCUUACACUUUAGUAGUUCAACGCAAAGUCUACCAUAAUCUCUAGCGUCAAUUUCCCCAUAGCAAUAUUUGGCAAGGAUUUCACAACCAACGAAUGACAAACAAAGCAUAUCAUAAAUCCAUUAACAAUGGGAUCUUAAUCAAUCUCAUCAAAAUUAACACACCAAUGCAACCAAAAACUCCCCACAACUUAACAAGUCACAGGACAUAAGACAACACUUUCAAUCCUUAUUGAUAAUAAACUACAAUAUCUCUUUUUAUCUCACAUAUUUUUAUACCUUUAUUAUCGAUUGUCUUCUCCUACUUCUAUGGUUUUCUUAGAACGGUACAUUCCCUAAUUCUUCACCACAUCAAUAUUUCCAACAAAGCAAAAUAAGAAUACAAUUUGUUUGAAGUAAAUGUGUAUGAUCAAAGACAUUUAAUAAAAGACAUAAAUAUAAUAAUGUCACAUAACGCCAAUACAUGAAACUGAAAACAAAAUAGUGAAAAUAAAACCCUACAUUCCAAGGCAGCAAAACCAAAGCAACGAUGAGAUCUUUCACAAGAAAAUAAAUAUCAUCAAAGACGUUGAAUAGGCUCAGUUUAGAAAGCAACUCCAACCCCCAGUGAAAAGUAGACACCCUACAAAUCCAAGGCACCAAAUCUAAAGCAAAUAUGAGAAGUUUCAAAAGCACUGAUAGCAUUAAAUUCCAAGAAAAUGCAUAUCAUCAAAGACAUUUAAUAGAUCAUCACCAUGCAUAUAUUAGUCCAACAUACUGAAAGCUAAACCCUAUAUCCUUUAUGCGACAAAAUCAAGAAAGCAACUCCAAUCCAAAGUAGUUGAAUUCGUGGAUCAUCACCACGCAUAAAUAAGCAGUACAUUGUCCUGAAACCUAAGCCCUACAUGCUUAAUACGAAAACAUCAAAUGCUCCAAGUGCUUCUCUCCUGAAAACCUUUGUCUCCCUACUUCUCGGAAGAGUUGGGUCCUCUCUUCUUCCCGAAUCCAACAACUGAAGAUUACAAGAGAACAAGAAAUAUCCGAAUGACUUUUACGCAUCACAAUCAUAUAAUCGAUAGCUUAUCUAUCAAAAUUAGAGGUCAUGGAGGGAGGGAAGGUACCUGCGGUGACGAACCGGCGGUUGUACUGCAUCCGCUUGUAGGCCCUGCCCCUGGGCUUCUUCUUCUUGUCCUGCUUCGCCACUUUGGGGGUUUGCCCCCUCACCUUCCCGGCGCGAGCCAGAGAUCCGUGCACCUUCCCUGAGAAAAGAUUUACCGGGCAAUGAAAAGGAGAAAACAAGAAUAAGAAAAGGUGUGACUCGAGAGUUCGCAGAUCGAAGAAGAGAAACGAACGCCCUCACCCAUGGCAGAUGUGAAUCAGCUCCUUCAGCGCGGCGGCGAGAGACGAGCGGCGUCAAUGCAAACCUUUGGAUUAGGGUUGGGUAUCGAGGUAAGUGACGUUAUUUAUAGAGCGGCGAUAGAGUCGAUCACGUGAGAUGCACGUAAGUUAUUCGGAGGCGUUAUUUUGCCCGUCUUAUGUUUACAAAAGAACAGGUUUCGCCCAAAACCGGUAUACUAUCGUCAUUCUCCCGUUACUUUAGCGGUCAGAAUAAAACGGCCUAAAUGUUCCUCUCUCUCUGAUUCCUUCGACGGCUCCUCUCCAAACCCUAAUCGGUCGAUCUACUCCCCAUCAAGGCUCUGAUUUGCUCGUUCCAUGGAGAUCUGCCGAUCCGCAUAGGUGAUCUAUCCCUUGUCGUCGAUUUCCUUUAUUUGAGAUUCGUUUUGCGAUCUCUGUCGAAUCCAUCCAAAGUUUCCGCCAUGGUGCUCGGCGAACACGACUCCUCCUCCCCCGUUGAGGAGCAAACGGCUAACCCGGAUCCGCAGCCAGUUUCAGAUGCCCCUCCGGCGAGGGCGGCGGCGGCGGCGGAGGGCGACGGCGAGGUCGAGUCCCUGGCGCGCAGGAUCCAGGAGGCUCUCGCCGUCGGGAGUCGGCACCGAUUCUGGGAGACCCAGCCGGUGGGGCAAUUCAAGGACGCCCGUGAUGGUAGCCUCCCGGAGGGUCCUAUCGAGCCACCGAUCCCCGUGUCCGCCGUCAAGCAGGAGCCCUACAACCUCCCCGCUCUCUACGAGUGGACCACCUGCGACAUCGACGACGACCAAACCUGCGCGGAAGUCUACAAUCUUCUCACCAACAACUACGUCGAGGACGAUGAGAACAUGUUCCGCUUCAACUACUCCAAGGAGUUCCUCCGGUGGGCGCUCCGCCCGCCGGGCUACUUCAAGGCCUGGCACAUCGGCGUCCGCGUGAAGGCCACCAAAAAGCUCGUCGCCUUCAUCACCGGCGUGCCCGCCAGGAUCCGUGUGCGGGAUGAAGUCGUCCGGAUGGCUGAGGUCAACUUUCUCUGCGUCCACAAGAAACUACGCUCAAAGCGGCUCGCCCCCGUGAUGAUAAAGGAGGUCACCAGGCGGGUCCAUUUGGAGAACAUCUGGCAGGCAGCCUAUACAGCCGGGGUCGUCCUGCCGACUCCCAUCACGACCUGCCGCUACUGGCAUCGCUCGCUGAAUCCAAAGAAACUCAUCGAUGUGGGGUUCUCCCGCCUCGGAGCUCGGAUGACUAUGAGCCGAACGAUCAGGCUUUACAAGCUUCCAGAGGCAACUGUGACACCCGGGUUCAGGAAGAUGGAGCUUCGCGAUGUCGCAGCAGUCACCCGGCUGCUGAGGGAUUACUUGAGCCAGUUUGUGGUUGCGCCAGAUUUCGACGAGAAUGAUGUGGAGCAUUGGCUUCUUCCUUUGGAGAAUGUGGUCGACAGUUUUGUGGUUGAAAGCCCUGAGACUCAUGAAGUGACGGACUUCUGUAGCUUCUAUUCUCUUCCUUCUUCGAUUCUGAAUAACCCAAACUACUCGGGAUUGAAGGCUGCUUAUUCAUAUUACAAUGUGGCUAUGAGGACUCCUCUGCUCCAGCUGAUGAACGAUGCACUUAUCGUGGCGAAGCAGAAGGACUAUGAUGUCUUCAAUGCACUUGAUCUCAUGCACAAUGAGGUCUUCCUGAAGGAGCUGAAGUUUGGGCCUGGUGAUGGACAACUCCACUACUAUCUAUACAACUACCGGCUUAGGAGUGCUUUACAGCCUUCGGAGCUAGGGCUCGUUCUUCUGUAGGUUGUUGUAGCCAUGCUGGAAUUAUGGUGGGUAAUUGCCCUUUCAUUUUUGUCCAUGUUGCUUUCAUUACAAUUUGCUGCAUUAUGUGGUCAUCAUGCUAGUCGUUGUGAGUCUGAAUCAGGAUACUUGCAUUGAGUCCAUCAUGGGCUGGGCUUUUAGUUACUUUUGCAUUCACUGUCGGAGAUGCGAUUGGAACUUGAUUAAAUGUGAAAUUUAUGGCGUCCUUUUUCCAACAUUGACCUGUUAUUCUUCUAGGUUCCAACUGUCUUAAGGCAAUCCUGAAAGGUGUGGCAAGACUUUCCACCGGUAAAAGCAUCAGACUCUCAUAGUGAAACGAAAGUAAAGUGUAAUAGUUGCGUUGUUUUGCUGCUAUUGAUUGCAUCUGUCUGUGUGUAUAUGUGUGCUAGAUUUGCGGGCUUGUGCUCUCUGUUUAAAUUGCAUAUGGUUUUGUUGCAUUAGUUUCCAAUCUCUUGUCGGAACUUUUGGUUCUAAGCAGUUCUUUGUUUCUACUGUGUGAUGUAUCCUAUUGCUGAUGUAGCUUUUAUUGUUGUUACAUCAAUAAGCAUGUGUUAUUGUAUGUUAUUAUCUCAAAAAACUGCAUGUUGUGGAGCUUUAAACCAAAGAAAUAGGUGUCUUCAUCAUCAAUCAACUCGCUGAGUUUUUAUCAUCUGUGGACAUACUUGUGGAACAAUGAUGAAGCAUGAAUAUUCAUAUAUAACAAAGAUGCUUUUGAAAGGAAAUAUCAUUCUUGAGAAAAGGAAACCUAGUAAGUCGAAUAUUUGGCGGAUGAGUAUGUAUCUAAAGACACUUGGUAAAUUAAAGAUCAUCUAAGCCAAUGUGAUGUUCUCUUAGAAGUGCGCCCAUUGCAUACAUAACAUAACAUUGCAUUUUCCAUGUUUGGAUGAAAAUAGCUCUUAGUUUUGGGAGUGCCGCUUUAUCAUUGGGUGAAAAUAGUGGUUUAUUUUUCUUUCAGAAAACCCUUCUUUUCUUUCACUUUGAUUUCUUUGUGCAAAUUUAUUUCCUGUUUCUGUUAUAGUAUCAAAUUUUAUAUGGUUCCCCAAGCAGGACAAGUUUAGUAUUGCAUUCUAGGCUAUGGCAACUACCAUUUAAGGAGACAUAUUUUGUUUGAUUUAGACAUUUUAUAAUAUGAGACACAAAGUCUAUAAAAAUGCGGUUUGUUGAAUAGAUCCUAUCCCAUGAAAUGCAACAGCAAAUACAGUCAAAGCGCAUGGGUAAGAUGCACAUGGAAAUUACAUCGUCUACUUGGAGUGUGCACAUUAUGUAGCUAUUUGUAAAACACAAAUUUUUAUAACUUGGACUAGUAUUUCUUUUUGAAAUAUUGUGUUAGUGUUAAAGAAUAGCUUCGUCAUCUUUUCAAGUCUUUCUGUCUAAUACUGUGGUCCACAUGCGACAUCAACCUUUGUUAACAGUCUUUAGGUUUUACAUUUUUGCUGUACUAUUGUGCAUCUGUGGUUGGAUCAUACCAUAUGAUUCUUGUUUUUAUUUUUCUUUCUGACUACAUCACUUAAAGUUUCAUAGCUCUCCAUUGCUUUCAUAUAUGUUCCAUCACACUGUUAUAUUUUACCCUCAUUUUUCUGUAUUUGUUUCACUUUAAAUUAAAAAACUGCUUGAAUGCCAGUAUUUUCAAUUUUCCAUGUCAAGUUGGAAAUCAGAUGCCAUCACAUUGUGGCCCAAUGUGAAGCUAAAUUUGAUGGCAAUUUAUUGCUGAAGCUUGUGCAAUCCUCACAUAUCUUAGUGUAUCACCUUUCUGGAUUUGGUUCUUCUCUUGCAUGUGGUAGGUUGAACCUCCCUUGAGCUAUCUGCCUUUUGGAUUGGCAAACAACAUUUGAUCUCUGAUAAUGAAGUAUGUUCACCAUUAAUGUCUGUGCAUAUUGUGAUCAUACUUUUCUUUGUUUACUUAGCUUUGAUACGUCUACAGACAUAUGCCAACUUAAAAAGAGCAUUUUGCUUCGUCGUUGCUUACAGAUGUCGCAAGUUCCUUAUCACAAUAGUGAAGUUGUGUCGAGUUUCCUGGCCAUCUACUUGUAUUAUUAACAGGUGAUUUAUCCAUCGGUGAGGCAGAGAGGGCUUGUUGCCUGGGAGUUACUGCCUUGUAUUGCUUUCCCCAAAGUUAGGGUUCACUAAGGCGAUAGGUUUUCGCACGUUCAUUGCUGGUGAGGGGUGAUGUGGGCUGGCCAAGAUCGACAUCACCAUCAUUUAGUAAAACUACUCAUUAGAGUAAAACCUUUUUUAUCCAAUGUCACAGAUGGUACGUGUCGAUGAUGAUGAAACCAUUCACAAAAGGGCAAAAAAAAAAAAAAUCUAGCAGAGCGAUAUUAAAUAACUUGCUUGAUAUGAUGACUCCACCCAACAAAAUAAAAAAAAAUAUCAACUGUUUCUUGGAAAAUCAUCAGUAUUAAAACAGUUGUGGCCCUACUUUUUGGCUUUUCGACAACUCUCAUAAAAUAAGACAAAGACAGGUAACUGCAACCACUAACACCUGAUUGUAGGCUCUAAAGCAACUUGCAGAAAGGAGGAAACAUGUGAGUCCGAAGCUCGUUGUCGAUCAUUGCUUAGUCCAUUUGAGCAAAAAUAUCCAACAAACCCAGAGAACAACAUAGUGAAUCUUCCAGGCUGUGUGUUGAGAUUACCAUUUUAAUCAUAUUAAUAACUUUUAUUCCUCAUUAAAGAUCAUGUAGGCUAAGUCCAUUUGAGCAAAAAUAUCCAACAAACCCAGAGAACAACAUAGUGAAUCUUCCAGACUGUGUUGAGAUUACCAUUUUAAUCAUAUAAAUAACUUUUUAUUCCUCAUUAAAGAUCUUGUAGUCAACCCCACAUGAUCAGGGCUUACCUGGUAAAAACAUCCCUACGAGUGUGCCUAUAGAAUAAUCAUAGUAGUCAUGUUACCACAGGUUUCUCAAGGAGUCAGGGGUUCAAAAGAAUUGCACUUGCCUGUAGCAGCUAAUGACUGAUUUGCACAUGACAAAGGUAAUUUUACCACACAUCAUCAUCUCAGCCUCAAGAUAAAUAUUUAGGUGUGAUUACAUAGUAUUUUCCUGCCAUGAGUUGAUGCACAGAAGCUAUCAGACAAUUUUCAUACAAGAAAUGGAAAAUAUAGGGAGAUAAAGGCCAUCAAUUAAUUUGCAAAGAGACAUUUUCCUUACAGGCUUCCCUUUGCGCAACUAUCACAUACUAGUAAGGGGAGAAACCUUAGGCCUCUAAUAUCAGCAAACAAGUACUCAAGUUAAUGUGCAAUGAUAUCUAAAACUCACUAAUAAAUUUUUUUAAGUUAAUUUAUCUAAAACGAUAAUUUGUGAUACAUGAGCUUAUUAUAGUUGACGUGGUAAUACCAACUCUUUUACAUGUAAACAUCCAAUUUCAGGAUACAAAACUUUCCAUAUUCAAACUGCCUUCUAUCCAACCAAAUUUGUAAGUUCCUUUCUGAUAAUCACAAAAUAUUAUUUACCACUACUAUAGAUCAGAAAUGUUAAAACUAUCGCAUGGGAUUCUCAGUGAGGGAUUAAAAAAAAUUCUAGGAAACUGAAACCAGCAUGAAAGAAGACAUGGUUGAUCAGAAAUAAGGAAAAAUAAAAAGAAAAAAAGGAACCACAAAUGGUAUUCUGUAAGAAAUAUCAUCUAAAUUGUAAUAAGCACUUCAUUCUAGAUUCAGCUUGAGGAACCACAAAAGAUCCUUUUAUGCAUUAAAAGAGAAGCAGAAAGCAUCAAGAUACCAUUUACCACUCAAAUGGUUGGUCUGGAGCUUCAGUGAGUUCUAUAAUUGUUGCCUAUUCAUCAGAUGAGUAACAUUGACUUCGUGGGAAAUCAUCUUAACACUGAAAACAAGAAAAAGUAUUCCCCUGCUUUGAUCUGUUAAGCUCUCAUAUAAAGCAGAGGCUAAACUAAAUUUGUAUGCAAUGAAAGAACCUAAGUUGAAAGGUAAUCAUAACAAGUAUAUAUAAUACUAUGAUCCAUGUACAAACUAUGUGAAUAAGAGACACAACACAAUAUACAGUCAAUGUAAUUAAAUGAUCUUUUGACUUUAAAUCCAAAAAACCAUGUUGAUGCAGGCUUUAGACAUUGAGUAGCACUCUUGAUCCAAAUGCUAAGACUUCACACUUUAUAUUUUAAUUUUACAAAUGAUAAGCGAUGAAUAUGAGAUUUGAACCAAGACCUUACAAUGAUAGAUUUUUUAUCAAUUAAGCUAACCGAUAUUUUCAAAAUAUGAUGGAUAAGAUUUGAAACAUUCAACCUUUGAUAAUUGAAUCUAGUACCCUAUCAAUAUUUAAGAUAUAAUUAUAUCAGAUGAAAUUUUAAACCCUCAUUCCAAACUAAUAGUUUGUGUGUAAAUAGGAUGAGGAUGUCUAAAUCCAACCUUAAAUUAUUCAAACAACAUACAGUUAAUAUCCUACAAUAGAUAUUAAAGUUAUAAUGAACAGUUUCUCAUGCAGAAAAUUCCACAAACAAAGCCAUAAUCAAGAUAACAUUAAAUAUUGAAAACUAACAUUUUAAUGUAAUUGUAAAAUACAGAAAAAAAAAUUUACAAACAACAUACUAAAUAGCAUUGAUGCAAUGAUAGAAAUCAUGAGCCAUGGCAACAACUCUAAAUAAAUGUACAGCCAUACCACGGGCAUCCAGAAGCUGGACAUCAUAGCUCCUCAGAUCCACCAUCAAUCUUUUCCUGUCUAUGGGGACACUUCCUCUAAUCAGCAGGUCUAGAGACCAACUCAUGGCAAGGAAAUGACUAAUCUUACUCAUGCUCUGUUAUACAUAUUUACAGAGUGAACGUAAAGCAAGGCCACGGCAGCAGCUUGGUUUACAACACUAGUAUCUGAUCCUCUUAUCAUGAUCGAAGCUAAGACCCCUGAUACCUUUGAGGGUGAAUUCAUAGUUCUUAGUGUUUGCUAAAUUCCUUCCAGAGGAAAUGCACCUGGGAUCUGCAGAAUCGAAGGGGGAAUUCCCCUCGGAACUUGAAACUUUACAGAUAGUCCGAGGACUCUGCUCCGUGGUGUGAGUGCAUGAUUGAUCUGCCCCAGAGCCCCACAUGUCCUGGCUGCUAGAAACAACAGCUCGCCUUGAAGAUCCGCUUGAUUGCCCCAGAAAAGUCGAACUGGAAAACUACAUGCAUGCCUCCAACAUCAGGAGAUAUACUUAAUGCAGAAAUACUAGUUAAACAGUUAACAUUAAUCAUAUCAUGCAAAUGCAGUUGCCGUUUAUCAAGAAUUUUGCAUCGUAGUCACAUGUCCCACAAAUGACUUUAACUUGGAAAAGAUCAAACAAUCUCUAGGAAAAAAUUCAUGUGCUUAAUUUACCAUGGUACACAGAUAGACAGCAGGAGGAAAACAAACAGCUUUACCAAUAGAGAGAGCACUAUAAAUUUCUGACAACUGAAUUAUUAUUGUCACCUUGAAAAUGAUUCCUUAUAGUAACAUUUAUAACUACUAAAAAUUACUUAAUUCAGAAUUUGCAAACCCAAGACAACAGUGGAUGUCAACCUAAGUUUGCCUGGAUUUAUCAUUUUAACUGUACUGCAGCUAAUUCAAAAAAUGAAGUUCCCAGUUACCUUCUCUUAAGUGUGGUAGUUUCAGGAUUUAUAACCAAAUAGAUAUUUGGGAAUGAGCAAAACUAGAAAAAGAGUGCUACUGUUGUAGGAAACAAAAGAAUCUAAAAAGCAUAAACAAUAUUAUAUAUGGAAGGAAGUCUAUUGAUAAAAUAUGUUGUCACUAAAAAAAGUUAUUUGUCAAAAUAAAUAUGAAAAUGUAUCUUCCUUCAAGACAAAAAAAAAAAGAAACGAUUGUUAUGUCUUGAUUUACAUCCUGAUUAUUUAUCUUCUUUUAGUUUUCUUUUUUUCCUGUAAAUUAAGAAAAGUUGAACUGACAGAAGUUUUCUCCACAAUAUAUAUGUGGUGUGAGAUCACAUCCCUAGAAUGAUUUCAAGAGCAAGAGUGAGUCCAUCCAGUAGUUAUCCCAAUAAUGUGAUGUUUUCUUCCACAUUUGAAUUGUACCUCAGCAUUCAUUUCUGGACAUUAAUCCCUGAGUGAUGUAUGAUUUUAUCAUGUUUCUAUCUUCUUUAAAACUUCUUUUUCUAUUCCACAACCAUCAAAGCCUAGUUUAAGUUUUAAUUACAAGAGAACUUCAUACAUCAAUUCUACAUCAAAUUGAUAUCAGUGUCAUUUGUCCUAUAACAGAUUGGCAUAAGAGAAACAUGUUGUACAUCAUAUUGGUGUCAAAAACACCUACCCUAGAUCAAUAAUACUACAACUCAAAUUUUCAAUACCUAAUGAGCCUCAAACCCCAAAAGUUCCAGAUUAAGAAUGUGUCAAGAACCUCAUUAUCUUACAAUGCCUAUGUAAUUUAUAGUCAAUGUUUCGUAUGUGUAUAUCAUAUCGAAAGAAGGCACCAUAUAUCAUGUUAUUAAGUCAUACAAGUUACACAUUUAUGUAGCUCUGCUUAUAUAUCAAUGAUCUUCUAGGUGUCCAAUAACAACCUCAAUUACCAUCCCACAACCUACCAUACUGGGAGAAGACCUGUGCACCAAACAAUAUUUUAUUGAUUGACUAUCAACCUCAUCCAGCACGGCACCAGACCAAUAAAAUAUAGCAUAUUAUCGAGUUUCAAGCACCACAAAUUCGACAUCUCUAUUGGAGUGAAAGAAAGAAAUAACAAACUCACCGCAGCUUCUUUGUUGACAGAUGGUUCAUUACCAAGAGGAGUCUUCUGUUUUGCCAAGGUCCCUGCAUGUACAGCUGGAGGUGGAACUCGAGCAAGAUGGGGGGAGUCUGCUGCUGGCCAGCCACUUAUCCUUCCUUCUUCACCACCUAGAAUACAAGUUGAACCAGUAAAUAUCAUCCUCUAAAAUUAAGAUGAUUGGAUAUACUUUCAUCAAUAUGAGUCGAUAUGCUAAACAACCAUGAAUUGAAAAUCAAACUAAAAUAAAGAAAUCAAAACAUAACAGGCAACAAAUUAGCACAAAUAGCAGACAAGUGUGACAAGACAAACUGAAAACUAAAGAUAAGACUAGCUUCACGGAGUCACUUAGUUCCAUUGAUAUCAAUAGAACAAUUUAAAGAAGUAGCUUACCAGAAUGUUUAUCAUUUGCAGUGGCAGGAACCAAACCAGAGCUAGGUCCAACACCAGAGAUCUAUGAAACAUGAUAAAAUAAGAACCAUUUCUUCAGGGGAAAAGAGGGAUUAACUAAAAAAUAACACAUGCUCUUGACUAACAAUAGGACGUGGAGGAGCACUAGCAUUCUGUGAUUGCUGAGACUUCAAAACUGUCCAAUCAAAAACGUAAUCAAACUGGAAGCCUGCAUCAUAAAGAAGUAGUAAACAAUCAUUAUCCUGAACAUGAAAAUUCUGCAUCUUCAGUAAUAUAGCUUUUGCCAAUUGACAUGUAUCUAUAUUUGAAAUUUAAAAUUUAUUUGAAGAAAUUAACCUUCAUGAAUAAAAAGGUCCCUGAACAAUCUCUUAAGGUAUGCAUAAUCUGGCUUAUCAUCGAAACGUAGCGAUCGACAAUAGUGGAAGUAUGAUGCAAACUCCGAAGGAUAACCCCGACAUAAAGCCUGAAAAUAAUUUGAAAUUCUUCUAUUAUCAAAUAUAAGGGAAGAAAGACAUAAUGACUGCAACAAGUGACUUAAAUAAGAGAACUUACUUCAAUGGAUGUGGCUACUUUUCUUUCACUAAUUUUUUCAUAUUUCUGUUUCUUAGUUCCAGCUUUUAGACCCUGCCAUGGAAGACUGAAAAAAAAAAAAGGGAAAAGAGACAAAAAGUUUAGAGUAAUGAAUUCAAGGAAGGAGAAAGAAGGCUGGAGGAAAAUUAGCAGACCUUCCUCUUAAGAAGUACAUAAGAACAUAUCCAAGAGAUUCCAUAUCGUCUCUCCUGCUUUGCUCUUGGCAGUCAAAAGCAUAAAGAUAACAGUCAGACUAAAGAUGUCAAAAUGUGGAGAGAAAAACAAGAAGGGCAACAUAAAGAUGCACAAGAGGCAGGAGCAACAGAGUACUAUCUAGUAAUACUAAGACAACAUAUACAGGAGAUAUUCAGAAAAAAUAUUUAAAAAGUGAUGUGAAAAAAGAAGACAGCAUACCGAUGCCAAGAUGGGUGUUAACACUUGCAUACCUUGCUGUCCCAGUCAAGUUCUUGUUCUCUCUGCAAUAGUUCAUAAUAACAUUAUAAUACAAAAAGGAGCUUCAAGUUCAUUCAAUAUGUUGUAAGCACUUGAUCCACAAUCCAAAGAGAGUCCAAAAAGGUUCUGGAAAAGAGUCAUGCAUCCUAGCAUCAUCUUGGACCAAGUAGAUGUAAACUCAAUGUUGUCAAACAGAUAUUUUCAACUAAACCAGACCCACCAACAAACUACAGCAUAGCUAAAUACAUAUUAAAUGAUAUAUAACCAACCAAAAUCUUAAUGCUGCAUUUUGUUAAGGAAGAAAAGACCACAUAAAUGAACAAACUUAACUGAUAAUUAAUUUGAAGGCAGAUAAAGAACAAACUGAAUAAACAUAUUGAAAGCAAAUGCAUAUCAUUCUAAAGUUUACUCCAUAUUUAUAUAAAGAUAUGAGCAGGUGUGAACACAAUUGAACAAAUUAAACAAAAUUGGUAUUCGCUUAAUAUACUUCCACUUCUCUCAAAAUGCAACCUUCCAACUAUGUACGAGUAUUUGCUAUGCUUCCAGUUCUCCCAAAAGAAACCUUUGAGCUCUUGGAAAAUAAGGGGACACAGCAAUGUGGAAACUGAUAGGAUAAACUAGUUACUCCUGUGUCAUACCAAGAAAGUUGACAGCGAGUGCCCCUAUUUGUUCUAGAAAAUGACUGUCCACCUUAUCCAGUAUGCAAGGCCAUACCAGAGGCUCAUUUGGACAUAAGAACAGAUCACUAUACUUGGAAGGACUGUAAUCAAUAACAAAUCAAAAUUUACAAAAAGUACACAUUUAGGAUGGUUAAAAGCAAAGCUCGUGGGGUCCAGCCAAAAUGCUGAUAUGAAACAAGCAAAAAAUAAAGUUCCUUGUCCACUUUCAUUCCACAUGGCACAGAUGAACUUGGAUUAUCUCAAAAUAUGGAACUGUAAGGUCAUCAUUCUACAAUCUACAGGGUGAGAAAGAGAGGGGCGGAGGACUAAAUGGUGUCAGGUAACACAUGCUUUAAGGAGGUAUCCAAUUUUUUCUUUUAAAAAAAAGAUUAAAAUACUCUUAAAAAGUAAAUAAAAAAUGACUAUAGGACCAAUAUUGAUUUUUUAAAAAUUGGUCAAUUAUCAAACUGGACAGGCCAAGGAUCAGGUAACUAGUCAGACUGGCCAUUCAAGUGCCCGUUUAGUAACUAUGGUUAUAAAAAGUUCAGUGCAACUCCAAAUUCCCAGUGAAAAAACAUAUUACUGAUGGUAAGACUACUUGUUAAUGAUAAUAUAUGGAAUACAUCUUAUGCCUUGAGACAACUGAUUCACUGCAAGCCUCCACCAGAAAAAUACUGAAUCAUCUCAAAGCAAAGGUUACAAGGUAUGUUUCAAUAGAAAUCUCUAAAUUCCAAACAUGUCUUUGCUACUUGCGAACAUUCAGAGCAAUAAUUCUAGAGAGAAUACAUUUAUAAAAGAAUUGGUUAAUAAGAACUUACCUAUAUGGAAUAUGCUGAUGUGUUGAACUAUCUCUGUACUUCUUGGCAAGUCCGAAAUCAAUAAUGUAAACCUAAAUAAAAAUGAAAAAAACCUUAACAGAAAAAGACAAUACACCUGAUCGUUUUACAUAUAUAAAACAGAAACUAAAUGCCCCACCUGAUUAGCUCGUCUCCCAAGACCCAUAAGAAAGUUAUCUGGUUUGAUAUCACGAUGUAGAAAAUACUUAGAAUGCACAAAUUCAACUCUAUUGAUCUGUAAGUGAAAAAUAAAAAAUUAAAUUCUCAAUUGAAAAGAAAAAAAGUUAAAGAGUGGAGCUUGUAAACAAGGGUAUGGUGUGAGAUAAAAUCACUUCUAGUUUCAAAAAAGAAAAUGUUAAAGGAUGGUGCUUGCAAACAAAGUUAGGGUGAGAGACGGCACUGCUUAAAAUACAAAAAUUCCAUUCUGACAAAUUGCCACUAGUGAUCAUAGACUGUUUAUCAACAGAAUCAAAUAUGAAAGCGUACCCAGAGAGAUAAGCAGAGCUAACAGACAAGAAAGCUGAAGACGAGGCUUAAGAUAUUAUAUGUGAAUACCAUCAAAACAACUUUGUAAAACAGGCAUCUUUAAUGAAAUUUCAGUUAAAGUUGAAAACUGUGGUCCAUAAUAUUAAAAAAUGCCCAGUAUGCUAUUGUGAUACCAUCUGAUCUGCAAGCAUCAAAACUGUCUUUAAAGAAAAUUUUCUGCCGCAAAAAUUGAACAGGUCUUCAAGACUUGGCCCCAAUAAGUCCAUCACAAGGACAUUGUAUUCACCCUCAAUCCCAUACCAUCUCACGUUUGGAAUUCCAGCUGCCAAAACAAAGAAAAAGAAGAAAUUUGCAAUGAUGAAUAAGAAAAGUAGAAAAACUUGUUCCAAACAAUCAAAAAAGAAAAAAAAUUUCAUACUUCCACCCUGUAAAAUCUUGUAUAGCUUUGAUUCGUAUAACAACUGCGGAUGCUUUGUCUUAACAUUUUCCUAAUAAGAAAGAACACACAACCAUCUUAAACAAGAAAAAGAUUUGAAAACCCACCAUGGCUACAGCAGAAAACUUUUACAACCAAACAAUAAUCCCUUUCUACACUCUCAACAAGUCAAAACAAUACAAAACCAUGUCUUGAACUUAAAACAAUUAUUAAAAAAUAUGACAGAUGAUAUCUGCAUCAAAUCACACGGGACAGAUAGAAGAAUACUAUGGGAAACAAGAAAAGAGAAAGUUCUUUUAUAACAGCAACAAAGAUAUUUGACUUCUUUUUCCUGAAUUAAGAUGGUACACAAAUCAGUUCUUUUAUCUCAGCUGUUAAUGAGAAUGGAAACAGAAUCACCCAACUAUCAUAUAAGCUAGUUCCCCUUAAGCAAAUCAUUAUACAUGCAACGGGCUACAAGACAAGUGAAACCAUGUAAACUUAGCAGUCAUAUCCUUGUAGUUCUGGAAACAGAAAAAAAAGGCAGACACACAGCAAUAAGACAUAUAACAACUAUAUUAUCCAUUUACUAUUGUUCCCUGGAGUCUGGAACCCAGGUAAUUAUCCAAAUAAUGUAGCACCCUUUCUCUGCAUUACCAAUGGGAAUCAAGGAACAUAUUUUGACUUCAAAUGCCCUAAGCUUAGCAUAAGUUCCUGACAGAUGAAGUUCCAUACAUAUUGCUUAAGGUACAAGGACCUCUUGCACAACCACCGGGCGACUGCAAUUUUGUAAACCAUGCACCUUAAGACCAAGAGUAAAAUAUAAGCAGGCAAUGAAAGAAUUCAGCAAUUAUUUUCGAACCCCAUCAACAUAGAGUAUCUACUAAACGAACAAUAGAUUAUCUGCAGGGCACCGAACAGGGAAAAAAAUCGGAAGCUAUAAUCCUCGUUAAAAGGCAAAACUUACGAGCUUUAUGGCAACCUCUUCGUUUGUUUGGAUAUUAAUUCCUGCAUCAAAAGAUAACAACAACAANNNNNNNNNNNNNNNNNNNNNNNNNNNNNNNNNNNNNNNNNNNNNNNNNNNNNNNNNNNNNNNNNNNNNNNNNNNNNNNNNNNNNNNNNNNNNNNNNNNNNNNNNNNNNNNNNNNNNNNNNNNNNNNNNNNNNNNNNNNNNNNNNNNNNNNNNNNNNNNNNNNNNNNNNNNNNNNNNNNNNNNNNNNNNNNNNNNNNNNNNNNNNNNNNNNNNNNNNNNNNNNNNNNNNNNNNNNNNNNNNNNNNNNNNNNNNNNNNNNNNNNNNNNNNNNNNNNNNNNNNNNNNNNNNNNNNNNNNNNNNNNNNNNNNNNNNNNNNNNNNNNNNNNNNNNNNNNNNNNNNNNNNNNNNNNNNNNNNNNNNNNNNNNNNNNNNNNNNNNNNNNNNNNNNNNNNNNNNNNNNNNNNNNNNNNNNNNNNNNNNNNNNNNNNNNNNNNNNNNNNNNNNNNNNNNNNNNNNNNNNNNNNNNNNNNNNNNNNNNNNNNNNNNNNNNNNNNNNNNNNNNNNNNNNNNNNNNNNNNNNNNNNNNNNNNNNNNNNNNNNNNNNNNNNNNNNNNNNNNNNNNNNNNNNNNNNNNNNNNNNNNNNNNNNNNNNNNNNNNNNNNNNNNNNNNNNNNNNNNNNNNNNNNNNNNNNNNNNNNNNNNNNNNNNNNNNNNNNNNNNNNNNNNNNNNNNNNNNNNNNNNNNNNACAAAUACAUUUGAUGCUUUAUAUAUUUUUUAAUUCCGAAUGAAUAUAUUGUGUUAAAAAAAUAUUUUAAAAUAUAUUAAAAAUUUUAUUUUUUUUCUUGAUGAAUGCAUCACAUGUAAAUAAGAUGUUUUAGAAUGUUUUAGGUGUUUCAAAUACUUUUUUUAUCUUGGAUAAAUACAUCGUAUACAAAAGAAACAUAUGGGUCACGCGCAACGAGAACUCUCGACUUGAUGAAUAUCUUGAAUGAUUUUUUUAUUAUAGACAUAGCUUCACAAGCAAAAGAGGGAUAUUCGUCAUAUGAUAUGUCUUGAAUUUUUUUUUUCACAGAUAGAUAUAUCAUGUAUAAAGAGGAUGUGUUGGUCGCGUCGAAUACGUUUUUUUGAUUUAGAUAAAUAUAUAAGAAUGUGUUGAUAAAAAGGAUUAAUAUACAUUUAUAUUAUAGUUUUUGACAUAAAUGAUGGUGUGACGGUGGUGAAAAUUCUCAAUCAUUAAAAAAAAAAUAAUAAUAAUAAUAAUCUCGAUCAGAAUGAACAUAAACUACGUUUCUUUUCUUUCGUGAGUGGAGAGAAGGUGGAUUUGACCAGAUGAGAUUGGGCGAUUGAGUUGGUUGGCCUGACGCAUCGAUGAAGAAGAAAGUGGAGUGAGAGAGGGAAGAGUUGGAGAAAGUCAUACAUGUAUAUAAGCCUUUUGUCAAUCGUUUUAACACGUACAGAGGUCGGUAUGGGUGAUAAAGGGAGAGAAAGAUGGCAGUGGUUUAAUUAGUUAGAGGUGAAAAGGAUUAUCUUUUGUGAGACUGUGUUGAAAAGAAUAAAGACUUUUAUUCUUCUUUUUUUUUGGUGAGGGUGAGAGGUUGGGACUACGUAGGAAUGGCUGUGUGGGGAGGAUGGAGACUUCUUUUCUGAGGUUGAUAGGUGGGCGACUGUGUAGGAGGAAAGCCCGACCUGUUGACAUUGGGAUCUAAGAAGAUUGGUUGGCCCGACUUGGAUUUCCCUAUUUUACACUUGUGUUACAAGUUUUAAUUAUUAUGGGCUGAUGCUUAACAUGGCGGUAAACAAUUUCAUUUUUAGACUGAAUAGUGAGUUGUAAUCUUCCAUUAGCUCCUCACAAUAAUUCUAUGAUCAAUUUAACGACUUAGUCAUCUUGAGCAUAUGAUCGUGUUUUACGGGUAUGAUCAUUUUAAGGAAAGUGGUUAUAUGAUCAUUUCGAGAUUUUGAAAGACGUAAUUGAUUCGAGGAGUGAUCAUCAGUUGACUCGAGGAUUGGUCGAGUUGGAGUGAGAUCCAACCUUGGGCGCAUAUAUUUGCCUCAUUGACAUGAUGAGAUAAUAGAGAUUAAGAGUUUCGGUUGUCGAUUUACCAUUUGGAGUAGAUUGAAAUUAUUGUCAAAGUUUAAUGACUAGCAAUUGCAUGGAUUAUCAUCUUAGACCAUUAGUGAAUACAUAGAUCAUUGUGGGUGAGUGUAAAUGACUACUUGCCAAGUCUUAUCAUUAAACCUUAUAACAUAGCCAACUAGUGAUAGACAUAUUUUAGAUCCCGAUCAUAUCACAACCCACGUCGCAUCAUGCUCCUGUCAUGUCAGCACGAGAGGUGCUUCCUCGCGUUGAGCCGAAGCCCAUACAAGGAGACGCCCCCUAGGUGAGUCUCGUCCCGAAAAACUCGGAACAAUGUCGCAUGGCGCCGUUCCGUGCAUAUCGGGCGAUGAUCGUAUAAUGGUACCAUCUCAUCACUUGGGAAAUCGACCGUCAUGUCAAAUCUGCGUACGACUGAUCGUCGAGCAAUAGUAUAAAAGCCUCUGACCGGUAUCUGACCAGGGGAAAGAAAAAAAGGCUACUGACUUAAUUUACGAGGGGCUCAAGUCGGGAACCUCCUGACUAGGGUGCGACCAUCCCGACCAAGAGAUGCAUUCCCAAAGAUGGCGUUAACAUCCCGACCCCUGAUCCAAUUGGUGUCAGCACUUCUUCCAAAUGACUGAGAGACGUAUUCCUAGAAGACGAUGUUAACGUCCCGACCCCUGAUCUAGCCAACUCUAGCACUUCGCCCAACCAACUGAGAUCUCUGGACAUUUGACUCGUGGACCAAAUCAUGCUGACUCCUCGGCCACGACAUAUAAGUUCAUCAAUAAUUAGGAAUAAAUCAUUACCUUAUCGAAUGGUUAACAGCACCAUUGCAGACUUCUUGCAUCUUUCUUGCUUAAGAAGUAGACUUUGAAUUCUUUUACUAACUAUCUAAAAGAUAUGAUCGGAUGAAACUGAGAGUAUCAUUCCCGAGCAUUUCCCUUAAGAAAAGAGUAACAUAUGAGAGUGUGAUACAUGGUGUGUGGGGCCAAUUGUAUCAUGAAUGCAUCGUGAUGAUCCAAAGGGGUCAUAGAGCUUCAAAAGUCUCUAGAUUUGAUAGAUGGAAAUUGGAGGGAAUAAGUUUCUCAUGAAUUUAAUGAGUGAUAGGAGUUUUGCUCGACAGAACCACUUAGUUAAGCUCUUAACCCUUUUGGAUCUUGUGUUACAUGUCAUCAACUAUUCAUGCAAAGUUAGACUUGUCUUGUUGGUGGAGUGCACCUCAUAUUGAGGUAGAGAUGGUUGAGACUAGACUCGAUUGGCCUAUUGAGGAAGCAAUUAUGAUGGUGAAGGACGAUGACCUGGAGUUCUCUAUGAUGCUCAAAAUUGAUCUCGAUUAAGAAUUUUUUUUAUGAUUUAUCAACAAUUAUAUUGUGUGUUAUAAUGAAUUAUGUCAAUUAUGAGUGAAAGGGACAAUGGUCUAUAUCAUCCUAGUCGAGUCUUAUUGGGUGAAUCCAUACAAGUCCUUUGCAAGCUGGCUUAGAGUUAGAUUUCCAAUUGGAAAGAAAAACCAUGAUCACUUAGGACUCAUUGAUAGCAUAUAUCUAGAAUCAAUCUGGAUGCUCCUUUAAAGAGGUCGACUAUUGUAAUAAAAAUUAAGAGACAUGUUUCUUCGUCAAUAUGUUCUUAUGGGACUUUCUAUAUUUGAUUUUCUUAUAAUAUUAUGUCAAUUUUGGACGAAUAUCGAAAAAGAAAAAAGGUGGUGGUCUGGUCUAAGGAGGGGAGGUGGGCGUGGUGGAUGCGAUGUGCGCCGACCUGUUAUCCUCCCACCGUCAAGAGAGAGUGGUGAUCGCUGCUCUGUGAAGCCAGCCUGACGCGGUGCCCUCUGCUCUAAGAACCAAGAAGCACAGGCCUUCGCCCAAGCCGCAUGGCUCAAUCUACCUGACUUGGAACGGGCAGGCCAGGCUUCUACACGAUCGCAACCAACCCAGAUGUGGCUCCAUAGACCAUUCCAAACCUCAUUUGCCCACGCUUGUGUUACAAGCCAACGCUACCUGGCUCGGCGAUAGAAGCGCUUCCAAAGCUUAAGAUAAGGUUUAUACAUCUAAUUAGAAUGGCGAUGUGGGACUAAUUCAACAUUCGUCCUCAGCGAUUCAUGCACCAAUUGUUUAUUGUCUUUCUCUUCUUUGACGUAAAAGCUUCGGUUGUCAUAUAUUGAUUUAUCAUUCGGAGUAGAUCGAAAUUAUCGUUAAAGUUUAAUGGCUAAGGAUUGCAUGGAUCAUCAUCUUAGACCAUUAGUGACUGCAUAGAUCAUCAUGGGUGGGUGUAAAUGACUAUUUGUCAAGUUUCGUCAUUGAACCUUAUAAUUAGUUAUGAACAAAUCAUUACCUUAUCGAAAUGGUUAACAGUACUAUUGUAGAUUUCUUUGUGUCUUUCUUACUUACGAAGUAGACUUUGAAUUCUUUUACUGACCAUUUGAAAGAUAUGAUCGAAGUAAGAUGAAAUUGAGAGUAGAGAAUUUCUUUUAAAAAAAGUACAACAUAUGAGUGUGAGAAAUAGUGUGUGGGGCCAUUUGCAUCAUGAAUGCAUCGACAUGAUCCAGAGCUUCCAUAAAAAAUCUCUAGAUUUGGUAGAUGAAAUUAGAGAGAACAAGUUUCUCAAAAAUUUAAUGAGUGAUAGGAGAUUCGCUCGAUAGAACCACUUAGUAAAGUUCUUAACCCUUUUGGAUCUCAUGUUACAUGUCAUCAAUUGUUCAUGCGAAGGUAUACUCAUCUUAUUAGUGGAGUGCACCUCAUAUUGAGGUAGACAUGGUUGAGGCUAGACUUGAGGCUAGACUUGAUUGGCCUAUUGAGGAAGCAAUUACGAUGGUAAGGGAGAGGCUUGUGAUAUUGGGUGUGGGAUGAUCGACUCGGAGUUCUCUAUGAUGCUCAAAAUUGAUCUCGAUUAUGAAUUUUUUUAUGGUUUAUAAAUAAUUAGAUUGUGUUGUUAUGCGUUAUAUCAAUUAUGAGUGAAAGAGACAAUAGUCUAUAUCAUCAUAGUCGAGUCUUAUUGGGUGACUCCAUAGAAGUCCUUAGCUAGUUGACUUGAGCUAGACUCCCAAUUGAAAAUAAAAACCAUGAUCACUUACGACUCUCAUUGAUAGCAUAUAUCUAGAAUCAAUCUGGAUGCUCAUAUAAAGAGGUCGACUUCCUUUUAACAUUAUGGUAAGAUUAAAUUUGGUCAUCAAUUCAAUUUGAUACAAAUGAUUUGACUUAAUCUGUUUUUGAGUAUGAUAAAAAGAAGUCAUUAAGUAUUUGAACAGUAUCAUGCGUCCCUUAACCCAAUUGGAUUCAAGAAUCAAUUAUAUUUGUACCUUAUAUCAUGUUUUUUUUUUUUAAACUUUAUAGGGUUUGUUUGGUAAAAUCACUCUGAUGAUUAAAUUAGUGUACGUCUAUAAGCAUCUAAAGCCGAUGUGUGUGUUAAGUAAAUUUUGAAUGAAAUCAUAGUUAAGAAGAUCACCUUAUAUAACAUCAUUCUAAUAAUUAUCUUGCUUCUUACACAAGGAUUUGUCUAGUAAAUUAAUAUAUGCUCAUAAGCAUCUAAAACCAGUGAGUAUUUAUUAACUUCUUCAUCACUUUCGAUAACUAAUAUAUAACAUGUCUAGCCUAUAUAUAACAUGUUAUAUGUUAUAUAUAAGUUAUAUAACAUCAUGCAAGCUUAUUAAUUGCAUGCUCUUUUGAAGCAAAUUGUUUCUUGGAAAAUCUAUUUGUUAGUGAACCGAUGCACUGCUGUGGUUGAUGAGUUAGCACGACUUAAUUCACGGAUCGAUGUCGGGAGUCUUCGAUCGUCUGAGCUGGUUGCUGAGGUCGGAAAGCUGGUUGGUGGCUCUUACUCGAGACGUUGGUUGAUGGUUCUCCGCCGGGAUGCUGGUCGGCGCGUAGGGGGAGGCAAUCUCUCUUGAUCGAAAUGAUCUUGCUUUGGGGAUGAUCGCUCUCUUGCACAGAAGGACCCGUCGGGUGAUUACCGAUUGUGACCCCUCAAUCAAUCAAUCAGUGUGGAGUUAUCUUUUUUCCUUUUUUCCCCUUGGCCAGAUGCCGCCAUGAGCUUUUAUACUAUUGUACGAGGGUUGGUCAUACGCGGGUUUGGCAUGACGAUCGAUCCUCGAGAGGUGAGAUGGUACCUUUAUGCGACCGCCGUCCCAGGCUUACCGGGUCGGGACAUACCGAGCAACGUCUUAGUAUGAUCUUUGGCUCAGUGUGUGGGGGUGCUCCCCUGACUUGACUGUAGCGUAGCAUGACCUCGAUUGUGACGUGGCCUGAAGCCAAAAUGUAUCUUAUCACUGUUAAUGAUAGAUUAAUACAUCUUUAUCGAAUGGAAAUGAUGCAAAUGUUUACUCGUAAGGAUAGGUGAAACCAUUUCAAAUUGAAUUGGACGUCAAUUUAAUUCAAAAUUUUAAAGUUAAUAAAUUAUAGGUUAGACUCGAAUAUAUAUCAUUCGGCUUUCUAUGUUUAUCAAUAUGAGGCUAUUUUCUUCGUCAUCUUUUUCAAUCUCUCCUCACACAUGAAUAUCUUCUUUGAACAUAAUUACCUGAAAUGAGCUUGCAUCAGAUAACUAAAACCAGAUGACUCAUGUGGCAUUUUCUUGACAGUGUUCUAAGAUGUGUUCUUUCCGUAAUAGAUGCACAUCUUUGUCUUGUAUGAUGGAACAGUAGAAAGCCUGAUGAACAGUAGAAACCAUGCACCUCAAGACCAAGAGUAAAAUAUAAGCAGGCAAUGAAAGAAUUCAGCAAUUAUUUUCGAACCCCAUCAACAAAGAAUAUCUACUAAACGAACAAUAUAUUAUCUGCAGGGCACCGAACAGGGAAAAAAAUUGGAAGCUAUAAUCCUCGUUAAAAGGCAAAACUUACGAGCUUUAUGGCAACCUCUUCGUUUGUUUAGAGAUUAAUUCCUGCAUCAAAAGAUAACAACAACAACAACAACCCCACACGAUCAGAUUUUUAUCAUUCCUGCAACAAAAAAAAGGAAAAAUCUGCACGAAGUAGCACCCGAAUUGAGAAAAGAUCGAAACCGAAAGAGGCCACAGACCUAAAUAGAUCUCUCCAAAGGAACCGCUCCCGAUCUUGCGACCAAGGCGGAACUUGUCCCCCACGCGAGGCUCCAUCCGACGGAGAUCAGAAACAGGAGCGACCGCAACGCUCCCGACUCAAACCAUGUCCAAAGAAAAAGAGGGUCCAACAAGAACGGCGAAGCCCCACACUCGAUAUCACGAAGACAUCAUCGACUCACCGUAACGAAAGAAGAAGAUGAUACAAGGAUUCCGGCAAUUCGAUCACGCAAGGAUUUCGCAAUCGAGAUUAAUCGAUCGAGGAAUUAAGACGAGGAUGUCAGUGUCAUUAAGACGAGAGAUCUGCUUGCAAAAAAGUAGGGUUUGACGGAGAGGGAGAGAAGGGGAAAGAGCAGAGAGUGGAAGGGAAGAAGCAGAGGAUAACGUAUUCGGUCACGCUUUAUUCCCGUUGGUGUUGGAACAGCUUGUACGGAAUAGCGUACUAACCAUACAGCAAACUCCAACCUACGUAUUAGGCAAAAUUGUAGUAUUGCGCAACUUUGGAGUCAUGUUUUGGCGUCACCUUUGAGGUGAGGACUUAUAGUCAUCAUUACAUUCAUAAACGAUUUAAUUAUGCUUUAUUUAUUUAUUUUUAUUUUGGAUGAAUAUAUUGUAUGCAAAAAAAAAAAGGAAAGGAUUUUAGAAUGCAUCAAACGUCUUAGAUUUUUUUUUUAACUAUGGACAAAUGCUUUUUUUUUCCUGCAUAAUUGCGUUUUCUUUGAUGUUUGAUGCUUUAUAUAUUUUUUAAUUCCGAAUGAAUAUAUUAUGUAAAAAAAUAUUUUAAAAUAUAUUAAAUAUUUUAUUUUUUUUAGAAUGUUCAAAUGUUUCAAAUAUUUUUUUUAUUUUGGAUAAAUAUAUCUUAUGCAAAAGAAACACAUGCGUCACACGCAACGACUUGAUCCCAUUGAAUAUCUUGAAUGAUUUUUUAUUUUAGAUAAAGGUUUAUUUAUCAUAUCAUAUGUCUUGGAUUUUUUUUUUUUCAUAGACAGAUAUAUCAUGUACGAAGAGGAUGUGUUGGUCGUUUCGAAUACGUUUUUUGAUUUAGACGGAUAUAUAAGAAUGUGUUGAUAAAAAGGACUUAUAUAUGUUUAUAUUAUAGUUUUUGACAUAAAUGAUGGUGUGGCGCAGUGGUGAAAAUUCUCAACCAUUAAAAAAAUAAUAAUAAUCUCGAUCAGAAUGAACAUAAACUACGUUUCUUUUCUUUCGUGAGUUGAGGAAGAUGGAUUUGACCAGUUGAGAUUGGGCGAUUGAGUUGGUUGGCCUGACGCAUCGAUGAAGAAGAAUGUGGAGCGAGAGAAGGAAGAGUUAGAGAUAGUCAUACAUAUAUAUAAGUCCUUCGUCAAUCGUUUUAACACGUACAAAGGUCGGUAUGGGUGAUAAAGGGAGAGAAAGAUGGCAUGGUUUAAUUAGUUAGAGGUGCAAACGAUUAUCUUUUGUGAGACUGUGUUGAAAAGAAUAAAGACUUUUAUUCUUCUGUUUUUUGGUGAGGGUGAGAGGUUGGGACUACGUAGGAAUGGCUGUGUGGGGAGGAUGGAGACUUCUUUUCUGAGGUUGAUAGGUGGGCGACUGUGUAGGAGGAAAGCCCGACCUGUUGACAUUGGGAUCUAAGAAGAUUGGCUGGCCCGACUUGGAUUUCCCUAUUUGUGUUACAAGUUUUAAUUAUUAUGGGCUGAUGCUUAAAAUGGCGGUAAACAAUUUCAUUUUUAGAGUGAAUAGUGAGUUGUAAUCUUCCAUUAGCUCCUCACAACAAAUCUAUGAUCAAUUUAACGACUUGGUCAUCUUGAACGUGUGAUCGUAUCUUACGGGCAUGACCAUUUUGAGGAAAGUGGUUAUAUGAUCAUUUCGAGGUUUUGAAAGACGUAAUUGAUUUGAGGAGUGAUCAUCAUUAUAAUAUGAUUGACUCGAGGAUUGAUCGAGUUGGAGUGAGAUCCAAUCUUGGGCGCAUAUAUUUGCCUCAUUGACACGAUGAGAUAAUGGAGAUUGAGUGAGAUCCAAGCUUGUUUAUUGUUUUUCUUUUCUCCGAUGUAAGAGCUUCGGUUGUCAUAAGAUUUACCAUUUGGAGUGAUUGAAAUUAUUGUUAAAGUUUGAUGACUAGUGAAUGCAUGGAUUAUCAUAUUAGACCAUUAAUGAAUGCAUAGAUCAUCGUGCGUGGGUGUAAAUGACUACUUGCCAAGUCUUGUCAUUGAACGUUAUAACAUAGUCGAUAAGGUAUAUUUUGGAUUCUGAUCACGUCACGACCCAUGUUGCAUCACGCCCCUGCCAAGUUAGCACGAGGGGUGCUUCCUUGUGCUGAGCCGAAGCCCGUACAGGGAGGCGUCCCCUCGGCGAGUCCCAUCCCGGAAAGCUCGGGAUGGUGCCGCAUGGCGCCAUUCCGUGCAUACCAGGCGACGAUCGCACAAUAGUACCAUCUCAUCACUCGGGGGAUCGGUAGCCAUGCCAAAUCCGCAUACGACCGAUCCUUUGGCAAUAGCAUAAAAGCCAAAGAUCGGUAUCUGGCCAGGGGGAAGAAAAAAAGAGAAAAAAGGACUAUUGACUUAAUCUACGAGGGGCCCAAGUCGGGAACCUCCUGACCAGAGCCUAUGUACAAGAACUCGGCCACCCCCCAGAGGCGCAACCAUCCCGAUCGAGAGACGCGUUCCUAAAGACGACGUUAAUAUCCCGACUCCUGAUCCUACCGACAUCAGCACUUCUUCCAAACGGCCAAGAGACGCAUUCCCAGAAGAUAUGACGUUAACAUCCCAACCCCUAAUCCAACCAACUCUAGCACUUUGCCCAACCGAUCGAGAUCUCCUGACAUUGACUUGUGGAUGAAGUCAUGCUGACUUCUCGACCACGACACAUAAGUUUACCAAUAAUCAGAAAUAAAUUAUUAUUUUAUCGAAUGAUUAAUAGCACCAUUGCAGACUUCUUUGUGUCUUUCUUGCUUACAAAGUAGAUUUUGAAUUCUUUUACUAACUAUCUAAAAGAUACGAUCGAGGCAAGAUGAAACUGAGAGUAUCAUUCCCGAGCAUUUCCUUAAAGAAAAGUACAACAUAUGAGAGUAUGAUAGAUGGUGUGUGGCGCCAUUUGCAUCAUGAAUGCAUCCACAUGAUCCAAGGGGUCAUAGAGCUUCCAUCAAAAGUUUCUAGAUUUGAUAGAUGGAAAUUGGAGGGAAUAAAUUUCUCAUGAAUUUAAUGAGUGAUAGGAGUUUUCCUCGACAGAACCACUUAGUCCAGCUCUUAACCCUUUUAGAUCUUGUAUUACAUGUCAUCAACUAUUCAUGCAAAGUUAGACUCGUCUUGUUGGUGGAGUGCACCUCAUAUUGAGGUAGAGAUGGUUGAGACUAGACACGAUUGGCCUAUUGAGGAAGCAAUUACGAUGGUAAAGGAGUGGCUUGUGAUAUUGGGACAGUUGGUGGGAUGAUCGACUUGGAGUUCUCUAUGAUGCUCAAAAUUGAUCUCGAUUAAGAAAUUUUUUAUGGUUUAUAAAUAAUUAGAUUGUGUGUUGUUAUGAGUUAUGUCAAUUAUGAGUGAAAGGGACAAUGGUCUAUAUCAUCCUAGUCGAGUCUUAUUGGGUGAAUCCAUAUAAGUCCUUAGCAAGCUGACUUAGAGUUAGAUUUUCAAUUGGAAAGAAAAACCAUGAUCACUUAGGACUCAUUGAUAGCAUAUAUCUAGAAUCAAUCUGGAUGCUCAGGUUGACUGUUGUAAUAAAAAUUAAGAGACAUGUUUCUUCGUCAAUAUGUUCUUAUGGGGACUUUCUAUAUUUGAUUUUCUUAUAAUAUUAUUUUAAGGGCCUUCCUUUUAACGCUAUGCUAAGGUCAAAUUUGGAUGCUCAGGUUGACUGUUGUAAUAAAAAUUAAGAGACAUGUUUCUUCGUCAAUAUGUUCUUAUGGGGACUUUCUAUAUUUGAUUUUCUUAUAAUAUUAUUUUAAGGGCCUUCCUUUUAACGCUAUGCUAAGGUCAAAUUUAGUCAUCAAUUCAACUUGGUAAAAAUGAUUCGACUUAGACUUGUUUUUUAGUACUAUCAUAUAUGAAAAAAUAAAUUAUUAAGUAUUUAAAACUUGGAUGAUGGAAAUUUUUUUUGAAUAGUAUCAUGCGCCCUUAUCCCAAUUUGAUUUAAGAAUCAAAUAUAUUUAUAAUUUUAUUAGAGCAAAUAACAUAUCACUAGUCAAAUUUAAUUUAUUGACUAUAAUAUCUUUAAAAAUCUUCUAUAAUAUUUCUAAAUUUUAAAAUGCUUUUUAAUUUUUUGGACGAAUAUCGAAAAAUAAAAAAGGCCGUGGUCUGGUCUAAGGAGGGGAGGUGGGCGUGGUGGAUGCGAUGUGCGCCGACCUGUAAUCCUCCCACCGUCAAGAGAGAGCGGUUAUCGUUGCUCUGUGAAGCCAGCCUGACGCGGUGCCCUCUGCUCUAAGAACCAUGAAUCACAGGCCUUCGCCCAAGCCGCAUGGCUCAGCUACCUGACUUGGAACGGGCAGGCCAGGCUUCUACACGAUCGCAACCAACCCAGCUGUGGCUCCAUAGACCAUUCCAAACCUCAUUUGCCCCCGCUUGGGUUACAAGACAACGCUACCUGACUCGGCGAUGGUAGCGCUUCCAAAGCUUAAGAUAAGGUAUAUACAUCUAAUUAGACUGGCGAUGUGGGACUAAUACAACAUUCGUCCUCAGCGAUUCAUGCACCAAUUGUUUAUUGUCUUUCUCUUCUUUGACGUAAAAGCUUCGGUUGUCAUAUAUUGAUUUAUCAUUUGGAGUUGAUCGAAAUUAUUGUUAAAGUUUAAUGGCUAACGAUUGCAUGGAUCAUCAUCUUAGACCAUCAAUGAAUGCAUAGAUCAUCAUGGGUGGGUGUAAAUGACUACUUGUCAUUGAACCUUAUAACAUAAUUAACUAUAAAUAAAUUAUUAUCUUAUCGAAUGGUUAACAGUACUAUUGUAGAUUUCUUUGUGUCUUUCUUACUUACGAAGUAGACUUUGAAUUCUUUUACUGACCAUAUGAAAGAUGAGAUUGAGAGUAUCAUUCUCGAGAAUUUUUUUAAAAAAAAGUACAAUAUAUGAGUGUGAGAAAUGACGUGUGGGGCCAUUUGGUAGAUGGAAAUUGGAGAGAACAAGUUUUCCAGAAAUUUAAUGAGUGAUAAGAGAUUCGCUCGAUAAAACCACUUAGUCAAGCUCUUAACCCUUUUGGAUCUUGUGUUACAUGUCAUCAAUUGUUCAUGCGAAGUUAUACUCAUCUUAUUGGUGGAGUGCACCUCUUAUUGAGGUAGACAUGGUUGAGGCUAGACUUGAUUGGCCUAUUGAGGAAGCAAUUACGUUGGUAAAGGAGAGGCUUGUGAUAUUGGGUCAGUUGGUGGGACGAUCGACUUGGAGUUCUCUAUGAUGCUUAAAAUUGAUCUCGAUUAUGAAUUUUUUUAUGGUUUAUAAAUAAUUAGAUUGUAUUGUUAUGUGUUAUAUCAAUUAUGAGUGAAAGGGACAAUAGUCUAUAUCAUCAUAGGCGAGUCUUAUUGAGUGACUCCGUACAAGUCCUUAGCAAGCUAAUUUGAGUUAGAUUCCCAAUUAGAAAGAAAAAUCAUGAUCACUUAAGAUUCUCAUUCAUAGUAUAUAUCUAGACUCAAUCCGGAUGCUCCUAUAAAGAGGUCGACUGUCGUAGUAAAAAUUGAGACAUGCUUCUUCAUCAAUAACUUUUUCAUCAUCUUUGCUAAUUAAUAUAUAACAUAUAUAGAGUCAUAAUUGAUCGAAAAUAAUAAAGAUAUUACUGAUAAAUCUCAAUUCAAUGACUAGAACAUAUCUAACUUAUUUUAUAUUAUCAAAUUUUAAAAAUACUUUUAUUACUUGGAUGAAUAUCAAGUUAAUAUUUGAUCGAGAUGUACUGUACAUAAAAUUAAAAUAUAUGGGGAUAAAUAAUUUAUUUAACAUAUUUUAUAUUAUCAAAUUUUGAAAUACAUUGAUUAUUUGGAUGAAUAUCAAGUUAAUAUUUGACCGAGAUGUACAUCAAAUUAAAACGUAUGCAGACAAAUAUUUCAUUUUAAACAUUACAAGAAUAUAUAUAUAUAUAUUAUUUUCAGCACCUCUAUUAAAAAUAUACAUAAUACGGUAAAAAAAGGUGGUGGUUUGGUCAAAGUGGGACAGGUGGGCAUAUGGUGGGUGCUGCAUGUGCCGGCCUGUUAUCCUUCCACCGUCGAGAGCGGGAGGUAGUCGCUGCUCUCAGGCAACGCCCAAACCUUAAUAUAAGGAUUUUGAUGACUAGAAGCAGUAAAGAUGUGGGACAAAGACGACAUACUUCCUCCCUUCCGUCUGCAGCGAUUCAUGCACCAAAUGCUUUGGAGAAGAGACGAACUGCGUUGCGCAUUUGGGAUUUUGGGAGAGGCUGGAUUUAGUUGUAUUCUUCGUAGAGAUGGAGGAAAUUUCUCAUCUGAUUAACAACUAUUAGCAAUCUGUGUUUUGCUCUUCUGUUCAGCUUCCACAAGUCAUCAGAUGUGUCUGCUUCAGAUCGAGGAAGGCAUUGGCAACAACUCUGAAUCAACAUAUAUACUUGAGAAAUAAUUUUUUGUGCAUGAUUUAUGGGAGGCUAAACGAAAUCUCCAUAGCCAGAAAUGGAGGGAUGACAAACAUCUUGUCGCAGGAAAAUGCUACGAACUUGGUGAGUUUUCACAUGGUUCAAGAAAACAACAGAUACAGAGAUAAGACUUGAUUGACUAGAACUGUAGCUCAUGGACUGAUGCUUCGAUGAACUCAAAAAUAUGGUGAAACUGAUGUGAAGUUAUGAUCAAGUCGGGGCGACAUGGCCAUCCGUCUUCGAGGACACGAAAUGACUCGAGGAGCAGUCAUCUUAACGAUGCGGCCAACUCGAGCAAAAGAUCAUCUUGAAGAAGCGGCAACCAACUCGAGGAGCGAUCGAUUGCCGAUAAAAUGGAGUUCAAAUUCUUUCACUAGAUAUCUGAAAGAAGUGAUCGAGGUGAGAAAAAGAAGAGAGUAUUAUUUUUUGAUAUUUUCUCAAAAUGUAAUAGGAAAAGCUCGACAUACGAGGGUGUUUGGAGGUGAUUGUUGGUGCCAUUUGCACCCUGAAUGUAGCAGCAACAUGCUUUGAGGGGUCAAAGCUUCCGUCAAAAAUCUCCGUAUUGGGCAGAUGAAAAUUACAAGGGAUAAGUUCUUGAAAAGAACAAUGACUCGAACUAAAUUCAAGAUAGGAAAAUGAUUACUAUAAUCACUUAAAGCUAAUUACUAGUAGUGUUAAUUUUGAAAUCGAUUCAAAUACUCCUACGAAGAGGAAGGUAGAGGCCUGUUAUCUAACAUCGAUUCGAUUGUUACAACAAAAAAUGAGAGAGAUAUCUCUUUAUCAACAUAUUUUUUCAAGACUUGUUAUGUUUAAUUUUUUAUGAUAUUGUCAUGAGGAUUCUCUUUCUAGCAUCAAUAUGAUAAGGUCUAUUUUGAUCAUCAACUUGAACUAAUGAAUUUGAUCUAACUUGCAUGAGGAUUUUUUUUUCUCAAAAUAAAUAAUGUAUGUAUCGACGAUAAGUGCUCGCUAAUAUUAAUUAUAUUUGGGGUUUCUUUGAUAAUGUAUUUAUAACCCAUAAAUGUUCAUUUAGCAAAUUUUAAAAUAAAAAUAUACUUAUGAGAAUGGUAUAAUUUUUAUAAUUAUCAAUUUGCUUAAAGAAUUUGCUUCAAAUAUGCUCAACUGGUAGCACAUACUAAACAAGUGUUUUGCUCUCUACUGUAGCUAAUAUAGCCAAGUCCGGUCAGCAUUGAUUACAUUCUGUGUUGGAGUCCUAAUCGAUCAAAAAUAAUAUAUCUUUAAAAUUCUUAUAUUAAAAGUUUAACAAUAAUUUAUAUUAUGCGAUGUGCGCCGACUUGUUAUCCUCCCACCGUCAAGAGCGAGUGGUCAUCGCUGCUCUGUGAAGCCAGCCUGACGCGGUGCCCUCUGCUCUAAGAAUCAUGGGGCUUGGGCCUUCGCCCAGGCCGCAUGGCUCAGCUACCUGACUUGGAAUGGGCAGGCCAGGCUUCUACACGAUCGCAACCAACCCAUCUGUGGUUCCUUUGACCAUCCCAAACCUCACGUGCCCCCGCUUGGGUUACAAGCCAACGCUACCUGGCUCGGCGAUCGAGGCGCUUCCAAAGCUUAAGAUAAGGUUUAUACCUCUAAUUAAAAUGGCGAUGUGGGACAAAUACAACAUGCUUCCUCCCUGCCCUAUGCAGCGAUUCAUGCACCAAUUGCUUUGGAGAAGAGGCAAACUGCAUCGAUCGAUGCGUGAUCCUGUUGUGCAUUUAGAAUCUGUGAGAAGCUGGAAUCAGUUUUAUUUUUCGUAGAAAUUGAGGUAGAUAUUGGCAAAGCUUAAUUCCAUAACGUACAUAUACAUAUUUAAAUCUGGAAGAUUUUGAUCAGUAUAAAACUUAUGAAACUUUGAAUUGACCCGAGUUGAGAAACUUUAUGUAGUCGAUAAAACUGAGUAAAUUAUGUGACACUGUCUAUUGCGUUAAUUAAAGAGAAGAUGCAUGAUGAUUUUUAUCAUUCCGAUCAAAAUUUUGACUAAUCAAAUUAGGCCCAAGAAGGUUUUAGCAAGAACAAUAACUUGAACUAAAUUUAAGACAGGAAAAGAAAUACUAUAAUCACUCAAAACCUAUUAUUAGUAGUAUUGAUUAUGAAAUCGAUUGAAAUACUCCUAGGAAGAGGAAGGCAGAGGCCUCUUACAUUGUUAAAACAAAAGUUGAGAGAGAGGUUUGUUUACCAACAUAUUCUCUCAAGACUUGUUAUGUUUAAUUUUUUAGAUAUUGUCACUAGGAUUCUCUUUCUGGUAUCAAUAUGAUAAGGUCUAUUUUGAUCAUCAACUUGAACUAAUGAAUUUGAUUUAACUUAGAUGAUGAUUUUUUUUUCAAAAUAAAUAAUCUACGUAUCCCGUGUCUCUUAUCGCACUUUGGUUCAAGCCUAAUAAGUGUUCGGUAGUAUUAACUAUAUUUGGGAUUUUUUUGAUAAAAUCUCUGUCAAUGUGUAUAUAAACCCAUAAAUGCUCAUUUAGCAAAUUUCAAAAUAAAAAUAUACUUAUGAGAAUGAUAUAAUUUUUAUAAUUAUCAAUUUGCUUAGAGAAUUUACUUCAAAGAUACUUAUGAGAAUGUGUAUAUAAACCCAUAAAUGCUCAUUUAGCAAAUUUCAAAAUAAAAAUAUACUUAUGAGAAUGAUAUAAUUUUUAUAAUUAUCAAUUUGCUUAGAGAAUUUACUUCAAAGAUACUUAUGAGAAUGUGUAUAUAAACCCAUAAAUGCUCAUUUAGCAAAUUUCAAAAUAAAAAUAUACUUAUGAGAAUGAUAUAAUUUUUAUAAUUAUCAAUUUGCUUAGAGACUUUACUUCAAAGAUGCUCAACUGGUAGCACAUACUAAACAAGUUUUUUGCUCUCUACUGUAGUUAAUAUAGCCAAGUCCGGUUAGCAUUGAUUACAUUCGGUGUUAAGAGCCCUAAUUGAUCAAAAAUAAUAUAUCACUAGUCAAUUUUAAUUUAUUGACUAUAAUAUCUUUAAAAAUCAUCUAUAAAAGGUUUAACAAUAAUUUAUCAAUUUGCUUAGAGACUUUACUUCAAAGAUGCUCAACUGGUAGCACAUACUAAACAAGUUUUUUGCUCUCUACUGUAGUUAAUAUAGCCAAGUCCGGUUAGCAUUGAUUACAUUCGGUGUUAAGAGCCCUAAUUGAUCAAAAAUAAUAUAUCACUAGUCAAUUUUAAUUUAUUGACUAUAAUAUCUUUAAAAAUCAUCUAUAAAAGGUUUAACAAUAAUUUAUGUAUAUAUAUUUCUAAAUUUUAAAAUACUUUAAUUUUUUGGACUAAUAUCGAAAAAAAAUAAAAAAAGGUGGUGGUUUGGUCUAAGGAGCGAGGCGGGCGUGGUGGAUGCGAUGUGCGCCGACCUGUUAUCCUCCCACCGUCAAGAGCGAGUGGUUAUCGUUGCUCUGUGAAGCCAGCCUGACGCGGUGUCCUCUGCUCUAAGAAUCAUGGGGCUCGAGCCUUCGCCCAGGCCGCGUGGUUCAGCUACCUGACUUGGAACGGACAGGCCAGGCUCCUACACGAUCGCAACCAACCCAUCUGUUGUUCCUUUGACCAUCCCAAACCUCACGUGCCCCCGCUUGGGUUACAAGCCAACGCUACCUGGCUCGGCGAUCGAGGCGCUUCCAAAGCUUAAGAUAAGGUUUAUACCUCUAAUUAGAAUGGCGAUGUGGGACAAUUACAACAUGCUUCCUCCCUGCCCUAUGCAGCGAUUCAUGCACCAAUUUCUUUGGAGAAGAGGCAAACUGCAUCGAUCGAGCGUGAUCCUGUUGUGCAUUAGGAUCCGUGAGAAGCUGGAAUCAGUUUUAUUCUUCGUAGAAAUUGAGGAAGAUAUUGGCAAGGCUGAAUUCCAUAACGUACAUAUACAUAUAUAAAUCUGAAAGAUUUUGAUCAGUAUGAAACCUACUCGAGUAUAUACUUGCAAACUGAGCAGCAGAAGUACGAAGCUCAGCAAUACGGUCUGCUGCAUGAUUUAUAGGGAGCUUUGUUACAGGAAAAUGCUUGACAUCCUGUUAUAAACUUGGUGAGCUUUCAGAUGUUACAAGAAGACAACAGACAGUGUGAUAAGCCUUCUCUAGUACUUGACUAGAUCAAGCUCAUCCUAAGAGUUUGUGCAACCUACAUUAUUAUCAAGAGACCGAGUUCAGUUUCCGCAAUGAACUCGAGUGAUAUGCAUGGACUUUGUUUGGACGAAGGCAAGAAGCAUGAAAAGAAGGCAAAUACUGCAAACAAAUAUGGGAGAGAAGUGGUGAUAUGGUGAUAAUUAUAUCAGCUCGACUUAGUAUAGACGUAUGUUUUCACAAAAAGGUUGACGUGGCUGAAAAUUAGAAGGGAUAAGUUCUUGAAAAGAAAUUGGUUUCAGAGAGCUAUUGUCUACCUCUUUUCCUUUUUUUUUAUCUCAUGUCUCAUGUCAACAGGAUAUCUAUCUAUUGUUUUGAAUUAUUUAUAAAAUGCAAAAUUUUUCUUAUCAAUGAAAUAUGCUUCAGAUUAAGAUAGAGGUGAUUGAGGCUAAAUCGACUUAGCCUUUCUUAUCAAUGAAUUUUUCUUAGUGAUGCCCAAGGAGGGGUUUACGACGUUGGCUUAGUUGGUGGGACAACCGAUUGAAAUUUAUUAUGAAACUUUGAAUUGACCCAAGUCGAGAAACUUUAUGUAGUCGAUAAAGCUGAGUAAAUUAUGUAACACUGUCUAUUGCGUUAAUUAGAGAGAAGAUGCAUGAUGAUUUUUAUCAUCCCGAUCAAGAUUUUGACUAAUCAAGUUAGGCGCAAGAAGGUCUUAGCAAGAACAAUGACUUGAACUAAAUUUAAGACAGGAAAAGGAAUACUAUAAUCACUCAAAGCCUAUUAUUAUUAGUGUUGAUUUUAAAAUCGAUUGAAAUACUCGUAUGAAGAGGAAGGUAGAGGUCUCUUACCUAACAUCGAUUGUUACAACAAAAGUUGAGAAAGAGGUUUCUUUAUCUCCAUAUUCUCACAAGACUUCUUAUGUUUAAUUUUUUAUGAUAUUAUCAUGGGGAUUCUCUUUGUAGUAUCAAUACGAUAAAGUCUAUUUGAUUUUGAUUUAACUUAGAUGAUGAUUUUUUUUUCAAAAUAAAUAAUGUACGUAUCCCGUAUCUCUUAUAGCACUUUGGUUCGGUAGUAUUAACUAUAUUUGGGAUUUUUUUGAUAAAAUCUGUCUAUGUGUAUAUAAACCCAUAAAUGCUCAUUUAGUAAAUUUCAAAAUAAAAAUAUACUUAUAAGAAUGAUAUAAUUUUUAUAAUUAUCAAUUUUCUUAGAGAAUUUACUUCAAAGGUGCUCAACUGGUAGCACAUACUAAACAAGUUUUUUGCUUUCUACUGUAGUUAAUAUAGUCAAAUCCGGUUAGCAUUGAUUACAUUCUGUGUUAAGAGUCCUAAUUGAUCAAAAAUAAUAUAUCUUUAACAAUAAUAUGCAUUAUAUAUAUUUCUAAAUUUUAAAAUACUUUUUAAUUUUUUGGACAAAUAUUGACAAAAUAAAGAAAAAAGGUGGUGGUUUGGUCUAAGGAGCGAGGUGGGCGUGGUGGAUGCGAUGUGCGCCGACUUGUUAUCCUCCCACCGUCAAGAGCGAGGUGGUCAUCGCUGCUCUGUGAAGCCAGCCUGACGCGGUGCCCUCUGCUCUAAGAGCCAUGGGGCGUACCUGACUUGGAACGGGCCUUCGCCCAAGCCGCAUGGCUCAGCUACCUGACUUGGAACGGGCAGGCCAGGCUUCUACACGAUCGCAACCAACCCAUCUGUGGUUCCUUUAACCAUCCCAAACCUCACGUGCCCCCGCUUGGGUUACAAGCCAACGCUACCUGGCUCGGCGACCGAGGCGCUUCCAAAGCUUAAGAUAAGGUUUAUACCACUAAUUAAAAUGGCGAUGUGGGACAAAUACAACAUUCUUCCUCCCUGCCCUAUGCAGCGAUUCAUGCACCAAUUUCUUUGGAGAAGAGGCAAACUGCAUCGAUCGAGCGUGAUCCUGUUGUGCAUUAGGAUCUGUGAGAAGCUGGAAUCAGUUUUAUUCUUCGUAGAAAUUGAGGAAGAUAUUGGCAAGGCUGAAUUGCAUAACGUACAUAUACCUAUAUAAAUCUGAAAGAUUUUGAUCAGUAUGAAACCUACUCGAGAAUAUACUUGCAAACUGAGCAGCAGAAGUACAAAGCUCAGCAAUACGGUCUGCUGCAUGAUUUAUAGGGAGCUUUGUUACAGGAAAAUGCUUGGCAUCCUGUUAUAAACUUGGUGAGGUUUCAGAUGUUACAAGAAGACAACAGACAUAGUGAUGAGCCAUCUCUAGUACUUGACUAGAUCAAGCUCAUCCUAAGAGUUUGUGCAACCUACAUUAUUAUCAAGAGACCGAUUUCAGUUUCCGCAAUCAACUCGAGUGAUUUGUAUGGAUUUUGUUUGGACGAAGGCAAGAAGCAUGAAAAGAAGGCAAAUAUGGGAGAGAGGUAGUGAUAUGGUGGAUGUUGGUGAUGAUCAUAUCAGCUCGACUUAGUAUAGACCUUGUUUGCUCGAUGGUCGAUCUAUAUAAAGAUCAAGAUUAGAUGAAAUUUCUGAUAUGACUCCUCUAAUGAUCUCCUAGAACGAAAGACAAAAGUUUCAAGUAAAUAAUAAUUGAUCUCAAUUAUUAUAACACGAUGGGCUUAACCCGAAUGAAUAUUCUACCAUAUGAGUGAAAUAUUCCUUCAACGUUUUACAUUGAUUAAUAUCCAUAUAACUCAAUUGUUGAUCAGGAUUUGUUUUUUUUCUUACUGAUUAUGCUGUCAUAUAUCGUGUGGAAUAAAUAUUUUUCGAAACUUUUUUUUAUUCAAAGUGGGUGCAUAGCGAUAUAUUAUUACUGCCUUUGAUGUAUUCCAGGGGACAAAAUUUUCUUGCACUGUUACAUGUUUGGGAUGGGUUGAUGGCCGAAGAAGGACGCAGUACAUCUGCUCACGUCAGGUUAGGCAUGCAGACAGAAAGAGUUGCAUGGGAGAUGAAGCAAGCAGAAAGGACAAUUGAAGAGGUGAAGUCAAUAUACACGGGAUCUGCAGUUAAGAUGAUGCAAGAUUGGGCUUUGAGUUGAUCUCAUCUUGGAGAUCAUCAAUUGUGACUCCUGAAACCUAUCAUAUGAUCGGUAAAACACAUUAAUGCUUAUUGUAGAAACUUGGUAGUUUCUCUGUCACCUUCAAGAGGUUGGAGUAGAUUGACAUAAAUUAUAUGCUUGAGUUACGUUGCAUAGCUACGUAGGAGAAGAUAUUGUUGGUGGAAUUUGUCCUUUGCCUGCGUUCAGUUGCUGUGCACAUAAUGGCAAUAAGAUCUCCACAUCUCGAAAGCUAUAAAUAAUACUGUAGAAAUGUACAUAUCAAAUUUGCAAUGCUAAACACACAUAGAGAAAGAGAGAGACAGAAAUUGGCAACGACAUUAUCUUUUGUUUGUGGAUUGGGACUUCUCUCACGAUCAUUGCCAUGAAGAAAAGGAAAAGGCGUUCAGUGUAGUAGGUAUCCUAAACAAGCAGACCAAAUUUGCAAUGCUAAACUCACACGGGAGAGAGAGAGAGAGAACCAAAUUUUCUAUUGUUUGAGGAUGGGGUUUUCUCUCAAGGGCAUUGCCAUGAAGAGAAGGAAAGAAGUACCCUAAAUAAGCAACCAUCUUCUUUCUUUGGCACCGCAAGCGUCCACAGAUAACAUACUACAUGAACCAUGGACCUUAUCUUCCUGCAGUUAAGUAGGGUAGGUAAGGCUUGCACAUUAUUCAGCACUCACGGCUUUCAGUUUCAGAUAAGGCUCAAGAAUCUGGUCCUUUGCUUCAACUCUCCGCUCAAGCUCGAUCGACCGGUUCUUUUCCUCCAUUUGAGGACUACCACAACAAAUGGGAAAUAUAGUUGUCACCUUGUGCAUAGAGCAGCGACUUGGAAGUCGAUCAGUUCUUGUCAUGGAUUCCUCCAGAUUCUGGAAAGAAACAAAGGACCAUCAAUGCCAUGCAUUGAUUCUUUGGCAACUUAACAGAGUAACAUGCAUGCAAGUCACCGGUGAACAAUGUACAAUCUUGAACCCACAAAUUGGCUGCUUCCCUUAUAUUUCUUUCACUACAAGCAAGCCAUCCAUCAUAGGCUCCACAUCUGACCAUUUGUAGCUCCACAUGUGACGGGUAAGAAAGGAUCAGCUGUUUACUUUUCCUACUAAGAGCAAGGGGAAAGAAUUCCUCGCAGAAUUGUUAGAGGGAAUCUACUUGGAAGUCUUGUGAGAUGGAAAGCUAACAUUGUUCUAUCAUUGGCAUGCAAGCUUAUUAAUUGCAUGCUCUUUUGAAGCAAACUGUUUAUUGGAAAAUCUGUUAAUGAUAGAUUAAUACAUCUUUAUCGAGUGGAAGUGAUGCAAACUGUUUACUCGUAAGGAUAGGCGAUACCAUUUCAAAUUGAGUUGGACGUCAAUUUAAUUCAAAAUUUUAAAGUUAAUAAAUUAUAGGUUAGACUCCAAUGUAUAUCAUUCGGCUUUCUUGAUGUUUAUCAAUAUGAGACUAUUUUCUUCGUCAUCUUUUUCAAUCUCUCCUCACACAUGAACAUCUUCUUUGAACAUAAUUACCUGAAAUGAGCUUGCAUCAGAUAACUAAAACCAGAUGACUCAUGUGGCAUUUUCUUGACAGUGUUCCAAGAUGUGUUCUUUCCGUAAUAGAUGCACAUCUUUGUCUUGUAUGAUGGAACAGUAGAAAGCCCGAUGAACUGCUACUGAUGCUUUCCUGAUUUGCAUAAGAUGGCAGAAGAAAUAAGUGUGAAGUUACUGAGAACUAUCAAAGAAAUUUUGGCAUUGACUUUUCUCUUCCACCGUGACUUUUGUCCGAACAUUGAGAGUGUGUUUCCUCAGUUUAAGAGCCCCAGUCAAAUUAUAGCUUUCAUGUCUUCCUGACAUUUCCUUUAAUUUGAUCAUGAUCUACAUAUUUUCUCUUGCUAAUUCUUUUGUUUCUGUUGAUGACAACUUUUUCUCUUGGAACAAAGUUUUCUGGAGGAAAGAGAAACAGCUUCUACCAUGCUAUCUGUAAUGUAUUCAUAUAGCAUCAAGACAUUCUUUUUCUGAUAGAAAGAAACGUUGCCUCGCUUCAUUAAUGCGGUAUUAAUACUUCGAAUGAGUGAGCUGAGAACGGCAAAACAGCAGAUGAGAGCUAUAAAGAAAGCAGGGAAGUAGGUAAGACCGUGUCAUGAGCAAAGCAUACUCUCUAAGCAAUCAUCACUCGGCUGACGAAGGAGACCAUGCAGCAUUAAGGCAUCCACCUGUUGGAUGAUGACUUGUCAGCGGAGUGUCAUUUUUGAUCCGGAUGUAGCAGGCUUCAUGUCAGUUAGAAGUGUCAGCCCAUCCAUUCCUGCAGAUACUGACCAAAUAAGAAUGAAGUAAUGAGGAAAAGAACAACGACAAGAUGAACGAUGAGAACUCACGAUCAAUGACACUGUGUUCAUAUCUGAAGAGGAACAUGCCAAAUGCUCCCAAGUGUAUCAAGUCUAGAUGUAUAGAAAAAAGCCAAGAUUUUGAUCCAAGAAGCACUUAAUGUUCCGCUCCGCAAGCAUUGAUUCAUUCGCCACAUCGAUAACGUAGAAGUGUCGAUAGCCAUAAGUUUGCAGUGAUUUCAUGCUUAUUGCUGCAUGUUUUCCAUCAAAAACAGUAAGGAAAGAGAAGAUUAAACGCAGGUAACUGUGGGAGAGUUCACAAGGAUUGGAAGUUGAGGCCUCACAUCUGUUGAAGGUGGGGAAGGCAGGCCACCGAGGAGAGUGUGCGGUGUCCCCAUCCCUACUCCAGUGAACUGCUGACAGUACUGGCUUGCUUGCCAUUAGAAGGCGAGCUGUGGCCCCAAAGUAUUGAAGCCAGCAACAAGGACACAAGACCCUUAAAACCUCCUCUCUCUCUCUCUCUCUCUCUCUCUCUCUCUCUAAGGGGAUCUCACUGUAACGUAUUCGUCUUGUUUCCUUCUCUCGUUUCCUUCUGCAUGGCCCAUGUAUUAUAGGAGACUGUUGGUGUGCUGACGCUGGCAAGCCGAGGGCUGCAGAGUUGGAGAGGUUCCUGAUCCUAUACUUGGCAUGGGGCAAAAGUCAACUCAUAAAAAGAGAUUGAUUCUCGCAAGAGAACCCAUCAAUUGCAGCACUCUUUAGCUCUGCUGAUGCAAUGCAACAAAAUUACCAGAGCAAGUGUUGCAAGACAAUCCCAUUGACUUCUUUUACCAGAAUAUAUAAAAAGUACAGUGUCAGAUAUAUAAGUUGUCAGCAAGCAAGCAAACUAUUUUUACCUGUUCUUGGAACUCCUUUUCUCUGUGAAGAUAGCAUUGCCUGUUACUACAAUCUUUUGUGGUUGAUUCUUAUCAUUUUUGUCUUUCAGCAUCUGAGUCAAUAGUCUAUAACUCUAAUACUUGUAGGAACUAAUGGAGAUUCUCUUUCUACUUAUUUUAGUUGCUUGAUCUUUUUUCAUGUUAAUAGAAAAGGAGAGAUCUAACUCACGACUAGAGCUGUGUAGUUUAUGCCACAUUGUACUCCAGUCCAGAGUAGGUCACCACCUACCUAACUAUAACAAUGCAAGAUAUAAGAUGGAUGCAUAUGUAGGUAAUGCCACUGGUUGCACUGGUGGCACCUUUCUAUCCUCUUAGGAACUCCAGAUCUCAUUUUCACUGAGUUAUGUACCCUAGAAAGAAUGUAAGAAAGAACUGAAACUAAGAUCAUACAAAGGAAAGGUUAGAAUAAAAAGAUAUGAGCACCAGAGCUCUGAAAUAGCAUGCUAUGAGGACUCUAGCCUAGUCUGUAGAACUUCCCCAAAAAAUUAACAUUGUUGUUUUGCUACUACAAGCAUUGAAUCCUUUUGACAGAGGGAAGCUACCACAUUGUUCAUUCCUCCCUCUUAAAGGAGUCUCUUCAAUAAACAAUGUCCUCCCACAGUCAAACUGGCAAGCAGUUGCUGCCUCAUCUAGGUCUCCAUAUUGAGUCAUCCUAGUACAACCACUCCACAUUAAAUUCCUCACCAGGGUAUCCAUCUCCUGGCACUACUGCAGACCUGCAUGGGGGUUUCAGUGAUAAGGCUAGACCCAUGACUCUCUCUCUCUCUCUCUCUCUCUAUUUUUCUUCAACAUCCUUUUCCCUCUAGUUGGGUGAUGUUUGGCACUUGACACAGUGUCGUUUUUUGGCAUGUGUGGCAGGAUCACAGGAGGAGAGGCACUCAAGUUGAAAGGUAGGAGAAGGGUGGGGGAAGAAGUUGGCAACUAAUAGAUGGGCCAUCACUCAUGCUGCAACAAGCAAAAGGUCAGAAGGGGCCUCUGGUCACCUGAGGAAGAUGAGAAGCUCAUAAAGUACAUUUCCACCUACGGUCAUGGUUGCUGGAGCUCAGUCCCGAGAUUAGCAGGUUCUUUUCUACAUGACAACAUCUGAUUUAGAACUUGACAUCUUAGUUUCUUCCACCUUCUUCCUUUUCUACUGUGUGUGCGCGCGCGUGUGUGCGUGUUUGGUGUGUGGGACUUUGCAAGAUGUGAAUGAAUUGGCAAUGGCUCAGGGCUGCAAAGAUGUGGCAAAAGCUGCAGGCUUAGAUGGAUCAAUUAUCUCAGACCUGACUUGAAAAGAGGGAGCUUCACUCCCCAAGAAGAAUCUCUAAUAAUUGAGCUCCACAGAAUGCUUGGCAACAGGUAAUAGGGUUUACGGUCUUCUCCUUCCUACAGAAAACUAGGCAACAGUAUCUGAUUUCCCAUUCCAAGUGUGUGGUUCACAAUGUCAUCAUCAUAGGAUCAUAUCGUCUCUUCUACAGAUGGUCACAGAUAGCCAAGCAACUCCCAGGAAGAACAGACAACGAGGUCAAGAACUUCUGGAACUCCACCAUAAAGAAGAAACUCGUCUCUCAGGCCAUGGAUAACCUCAACCCCAUGCCUUGUGCUGAUGAACUGCUACCAUUGAGCACGUAUCGAAAUCAGCUCUUCUGUGGCCCAGAGCAGUAUUACUUCCUGAAUGGAAUCAACCUACCGGUAGGCUACGACAGCCCAGACCUGCCCGGCUUCGUCGCCGAUGGUGUAACUUCCAGCUCGACGUGGUCUUUGGAUCCUCGCCAUCAGAACCAGCUGCAACACAACAACAACAACGGCAACAAUCUCCUGGUGUUCAACGAAGAACUCACGCUUCCUUUGCAUUACACAGAAGCCAUUAAACAUGCAACCACAAGUUUCGCAGUCAACUGCAAUCAAUCCCUGGAGACCCAGGACUCGAUCAUCCAGUGUUUUGCGGCACCGAAUGAGUGCCCUAACGCCCGGCCUCUCUCGAACAACCCUCAGGGUUCCAUGAACACGGUGAGGUUCAAGGAUGCGAUCAUGGCGUCAUCGUCUGCACCAGCGGUGGUGCUCGGUGACAGCCUCGCUGAUAUCUCUGGUGUGCAAACUCAUUGGAUAGAGUAGGGCGUAGGUUCUCCUGGACAAGAAUAAAGGUCGUAUAAAUCUGGAUAGAAAAUUAACAUGGAGAAGAGAAGAUCGAGUUGCUGCCGCUAUCAUGUAAGCGUUAAAUAUGCAUACAUCAGUGUGGGAGCCUUCUUAGAACUGUCAGAUCGACAUAUAUAUAUAUAUAUAUAUAUAUAUAUAUAUAUAUAUAUAUAUAUAUAUAUAUAUAUAUAUAUAUAUAUUGGUGGCAGUCUAUGCCUUGUAAUGGAUAAUGGAUACAAGAGAAGUGCAACAUCUAUGGUACGUCAUGCAUCGCUGUCUUUCUGUAAUGUUUUCUUGGGUUUUAUGUCCAAUAUCUUAUUACGGUACACUUCAAUUCAUCUUUUUGGUCCAUAAAUACUUGGAGGAGAACAUUAUAAUACUAAUCCUCGAACUUGGGAGAACAUUUUAAUUGGGUUUUGGUUUAUGUCUUUUGACACUUUCAAGAUUAUUAAUAUUUCAUCUCAAUUUUAUUGUUAGGUUUCUUAUAUAAAUCUUGCGGUCUGAGUUGAACAAUAAGGGGAUUAUCGAUCCGACAUAAAUAUUAAUGACAAACAUUACCUAAUGUACCUAUAUCAAAAUUGGCCAAUCGUAGUCUGCAUAUAUUGAAUCUUGAUAUUUUAACCAAAAAAAUUUCAAUUCUUCAUUCCCUUUUUCCUACAACUAUCACAUUGAGUUUAAUUUUCAAAAAUCAAGCAAACAUUAUUUUUAUUAAUUUAAAUUAGGUUAAAGAGAUGAAUCAAAUUAUUUAGUGAAAUUAGCUUGCUAUCAAUGAUUAUGAAUCGAAAGCUAACCUCAGAAUUUGAUUGGAAUAAGAAUCAAUCGACAUAUACAAGAAUCUAAAAGUCUAAACAAAGUUUGCUCAAAAGAAUAUUGAUGUGAUUAGAAUGCUUGGUCUCAUCAACAAGUAUUUAUCUCUCUCUCUCUCUCUCAUCCCAUCUCUCGAGUGAUGACCAGUACAGUGAAUAGUCCAACUCAAUUAAAGCACCGAGACCAAAAGCAUGACGAACUGAAACCACUGCACCGGGAAUUUACCAGAAGUACCUCCUCAUAGAAUUAAAUGCCAGCAUCGCAUAAAUCCCCCUCUGUGCUUUUGCCUCCUCUCCUUUCGAGUUUGCUGGCAUUUGGAGGAGGCACGUACAUAUGGACAAAUGAUAUAAGUGUCUUACUGCAUACUGUUCAACAUUGCAUGUGAUCGGUGAGGGGGAAGACAGACCCUUGCAAUGGAGGAAGCCUGGUCUGCUUCCACUGGGCAAACCAUUAAGUUAAAACAGUGACAUAAUAGAUAGAACAAGAAACAAGGCGUUUAGUUCAUGUUGUGUCUACUACCUUUUACCUUUAUGAUUCCAACUCAGAUUGCUGGGCGAAGCCUCGAUGCAAGCAUAUGCAACAUAGGUUCGUAAUCUCAGAUUACUCUAUGAAUGAGAUCAGUUGGUGCAAGCGUAGGUUUCCACAAAUAUGCACAGUACAUGAAUCCUAGUAUAAAUUUUUUUGGAGACACUAAUAGUCUCUACAACACAAGAAUUUUUCUUCAUCAACUUUGCUGUCAUUCUAGGGGGGAAUGCAUUGAUUUACAUGAUGAAAACAAAUUGGCUGAUUGAACAGUCACCACCAAUCUCUUAAGAGGAUGGCUGCUUGGAAAAUUGUACUUCGUCAGAGAAAAGUAGAGUAGCAGAAGGACCAGUCUAAUCCAUGAAUCAAUCAUCAAGAGAAGCAAAUCAUCAAUCGGCUGAGAGCUUGGCUGCUUGGAGAAAGGUAACUCUUUAUCAGAGAGAACUAUCAUGUUAGGCCAGUCUAACUGUAAAUAUGUUACAAUGCAUAAAGUGUACCUACCAUCAGACAACCUGUUCCACAAAGUAAAGCUAGGAUAGCGAUUGGCACCCUUAGCUGUCAUUUACUGGUAGUGGCUGGAGCAGCUGCAAAAUUCAUAUUAGUGAAACAAGACUGACUGGGUAGCAUGCAGAGAAUGGCUCACUGACCAUAAAUAAUCAUGUGCCAAGAGCUGAACGGUUUGUAAAGAUAAAGUUAGUUGACAAGGAAAAACAAAAAGUGGAAUUUAAAAUUUUGACAUUUAAAGUGCACCAUAUAAAUGGAAAAUAUAUCGCUUCUUUAGUAAUCAACUUAAAGGAGCCCAGUGAUGAGCAGGUGAUCUUCAAGAGCACAUUUGCCAGAAACGAAGAACUCACUCGCUGUUGCUCAUUGAAACCCAGUGUGCAACUUGUGGAGCAUUAGCGGAAUUCAUCAUGAUAAUCGAAAUCAUCAAAGUCUUCAUCUUCAUCAUCACUAAAGAUAGAACUAUAGAACACAUACGGGUGUUCUAUCAUCUCCUUCAAACUUAGCUGGCUGUCUCUAUCUGAAUCAGCCUGAAACAUUAGAAGAGGAAAAGAACAAAAGGAAAACGUCACUUCAAACGCAUUGCAACUUUAUACCAUGUUAGUACAAACAAAAAAUCUGAUUGCUGAAAGCACAACCAUAUACAGUUUAGGGCAUAAAAGAAACUGUAAAUUGCAGACCAUGGCAAUUUUCAAGGGUUAGAAGCAGUGCCAUGAAUGAAAUAAAAUAACACUUUUCUGCUGAGAAAUAUGGUAUGUGAUGAUACUUAAUUUAGGAGGAUAUGUUCAUUUAUAUGCAAAGGAAAUCUGCAAUUUCCUAUUCUAGUUUUUCCCUAUACAACACAAAUCUAAUUCUUAAUGACCAACCAACAUGAAUCAUAAUUAUCACUAGUACAAAAACAACGGGUGGAAGAGGAUAUGGAAUAGCUAAUACUAACAACAUAAUCUGAAGACCAUAAGCUCGACAAUAUAAUAACAAGAGAAUGGUGAUUCCAGCAAGCCAUUUUUUGAUAAUCAUGUUAUGGGGUUUGCCUAAAGGCAAAUCCCACAGACAAGAAGCUAAAGACAUGAACUUGCAUGAUGAAAAAAAAUGAAAGAGUUAAUGCUGACAUUUCAAACGCCUGUGACUUUGACAAUAUCAAGUGAAAAUUGUCUGAUCUGCAUCACGAUAUCCAAGGAUAUUACUUUUUAAGCAUAGAUGAUCCAGGAUAUAGGAAAUCCAAACCUCUGAAAGUGCAUAAUCAGCUUGUUGUUUUGCAUAGUAGCGUUCAGAAUGGUGAAUUUUACCAAUCACACCAACGAGGUCAUCUCCCGAUAAGAACCUAUACCAAGUACCAAAUAUAAGCACUAUUAAUAAGCUUCCAAUUGCUUAGUCAAUAGUUUUCCAGAUUUAUACCCAUCAUUGUCCUGGUCAAGCCUUGAAAAUAACAUUUUUUCUUGUCCUAAGGUGGCAGAAUGAUUGUAGGGUCCAUCAUCAUCUCGUAUCGAGUCAAAUAAUCCAACAAAGUAUUCUUUGAAGUUAAGCUUCCCAUCUUCAUCUCCAUCUUUUUGCCUGGAAGGAUAUAUUUAGGAGCCAACAAACAUUAGAUUACCAACAUAUAGUUUCAGAAAGUAACAAAAAACUACAACAUGCAGAUUAUCACAUAGCUCAAUCUGCCAACUCUAUUUUCAUGUAAGAAACAAAGGAGAAAAGAAAUUUGUUAAAAAGCUUCUCUAAACAUUUAUUAUUCUGCAUAGUGUAUUCUUUUGGUUGCUAGGUGAUAUGGGGAUGAUGACAGAAUCUGACUUAACACUAGAUAACAUGAAAGUUGACAUUUCAAUGCCAAUUCUGUACUGAAUUGUGUAAAAGUAAUUAAGAUUUAUCUUAAUUAAGUGACUGAAACUCUACACAACGAAAUCCAAAGAAAGAAGAAUGAAGCAACAUGGAACAGUCAUAAAAACAAAUAUCAUAGAGUUUGGCCUUACCUGGACAGUUAAAAUCGAAGAAUGUAAGAAAGAAACAUGGAAUAGUUGUAAUAAAAAAAUAUAUCAGAAUUUGGCCUAACACCAAUUCUGUGUCAAUAUAUCAAAUAUCUAAAAAUAAAUUAAUAUUUGUGACCUAUUCUACACCUUUGAGGCUAAAGAGUGUUUCAUGAAUUAUUGCCUUGACAUUGCAUUCAUCAUUUUUGGGUCAUCCACAUCUUAUUUAAUAAGGAUAUAAGUGUUCCACAGAAUUAUAUGAAACAUCACUCUUUAGUGUAGUGACAUUGUAAGCAGCACAUCGUCAUUCAAGUUCUUUACAUGCAGAGACACACAGGUAUGUAUAGAUGCAUGUGCAGAAAUGCAUAUAUGCAUGUACAGAACUGUCAGUUGCAUCAUCAAUCAUGUUAACAUCAACACUGCAACACAUCAUUGCGCAGCAUAAAAAAAUUUCAGAACCAAUAGGUGAGCUUCGGAUGGUUUUAGCUGUAUCUCAAUUAUAAAGGUGGACUCUGCGUAAUGGCAAACCUAUGAAAUUAUCACUCUAGAAAAUAUAUACCAACUUCCAAUUCCUCCGUUCAAAGACAACAGAUUGUUCCAUGCACAAAAAAGAACUUCCUUUAUCUUGGAUGUGAACAACUUCUGAUUGGGCACCAUAAUUGUUGAUUUUCAGUAACCAACAACUGUAUCCUGGUUAGUAGCUGAAAUGACCCUUUUAUAUAUUCUUAUCUUAUUAAUUUAAACAUGCCAUCACACUUAUAAUAGAUUAAUACCACCAAUUGACUUGUUUCAUUACUAUCUGCUGAAUAAGUGAAAAGAGAAAUUCCUAAACCCCUUUUUCCACCAGGUGGCCAAUGCAAGUGAUAGCCCAUCAUUGUCUCUGGCUGCUUAUAUUUCCAUUUCAUCUUUGUAUGCUGCAAGACCUUGUAGCACUAUGAGGCAGUGCCACACUCAAGUCUCCCACGAUUUGGCGGUUGCAGGUGCAUUAUGUAUAUGCAACCCUGCCUGUGCACAGGCUAAUUUUGUUGCUUGGAUCCUUGAUAUCUAGGUUGCAAAUGAUGUUAGGGGGCUAACAAAUGGCAUCAUAUAUUUCAAUUAUAUAACAUUGUGGUAGAUCUUAUUCACACUAUCAUGCAGGACAUGAAUCGCAAAAACCCCUUUGCAGGAGUUUCGCACAAAGCAAAAAUUUUGAUAGUUUAUGACAAAAAGCUGAGAGGAGUAGCUGAAUUUAAAGAACAAAGUUUUGUAUUGGAUCGUGAUAAAUAAAAGCAGACAACAAUGAGUGGAGCUUGUUGGUCAGAUUAUAGGUUUUCCAGAAAACUAUGUAAAUCAUAAACUAAAGACAUGAAAUUGAAAUUAAAACAGAGUCUAACAAACUAACAUAACCCUAUGUUAAUGCAAAUUUUUAUUUCUUGGAUCCAUACUAUGCUAGCUUCGCAAUAGUUAAAUGGAUAAACUAUAUACAAACAACAUGAAAUAAGUAAUUGAAAGAUUGCACAAGUAUCUGCUUAUGUUGUAGAUAACUGCUUGUACCUAAAGAGACAUUAGAUUGAUAAAAUAAUGAACCUCAAAAGUUCAAAGAUAAAGGAAAGAGUUGCACCUUAUUUCUUCUUUGCACAGCCACUGGAUCAGUUUUGGGUUGCCACUGUCAGCAGGGUGUAGGAAGCUGAAGAAGCAGAAAUAGAUUUAGAAGAAAGGUAAAAAGGAUAGUACAAGAACAACAACAAAACCAUAAAUCCCAACUAUUUGGGGUCAGCUAGAAAGGUAAAAAGGAUACAAGUCAAAAAUAACAAUUCUCAAUAACCUACUCAUUGAAUUCGGUCAAAUUCAAAAGUCCAUUUCCAUCAGUAUCUGAGGCAUUGAAGUGAUCCUCCUUCCACCAUCCUGUUUCAUCAACAGGCGAAGCUUUAACUGGAGAAUGUUACAUCUAACACCCACUUAGGAUUAUUAGAUCAUCCUUGGCUAGCUAUAUUUAUGCAUGCUUUAAUUUUUGACUUUGGAAAUCAUGCACAUUAUCAAUUGUAAACAACAAACUUCCAGAAAAUAGAGAAAUUUUGCAUUAAUUAACAUUAAUAAGUGUUGCAAGAAUAAUGCAAAACACUGUGAUCAACAUAACCACAUAAUAAAUUUUGUCCAUUUACACCGGAAUGUUGAGAAAAUAUAAAUAUUUUGGAAACUCAAAAGCAUGAAGCAAUGUUAAUAUAAAACUAAAAUUCUUAGUAAUUAUAAGAAUCAUACAAGCUCCUAAAAAAUAUAAAGCCAAGUUUUUACACGGACAUUGGGAAAAUAUUAGAGAAUUAGGUAGGCCUCAAAGAAUAUAAUAUGAAUAAUAGAUGUUGUACAGGAUAGUAGUUAACUUGUGUAUGUCAGCUCAAAUAUGAAGCUGUCCUAGGUAAACCACUAUAAAUGACAAAGAACUCAACAGCGAAAAAGGAGUCUGAGAAGGCUAAUGACCAUAAUGCUUAGACUUAGAUGUGGGAACAGAUUAUUCUCCACAUGGUCCCAAGACUGUUACAGUAAUUUACAAAAUUUGUCUAGUAGAAAUAACUUAAGAUCUCACCAUUAGGGUUUACUAAAGUUCCUUGAGAAAAUAGUAAUGUGACAUUUAUGAAUCUCGUCUUAGAUAAAUACUUUCUCAUAAUGUCAUGGCUAAUUGGCACAAAAAUGAAAAAACAUUUGUGAAACUAAGAAAAGACAUCUAUAGAAAACUCCCUAUAUUAUUCAAUCCCACCACUACAUCUUACAUAUCUUAUGCAAAAACAGAAGACUAUGUCCCAACCAUAUAGGAAACCAUAAGUUAAAUAAAAGAGUUAGGAGUUGGAUAUUCCUCCAGUCAGUGGCAUUUAUGAGAAAGGGUUUAAUUCACAGCUAUAAAUGACAAUAAAAUGACAAGUUCCAGCUGAUGCUUGAUAUUGAUAGAACAAGCCGCCUUCUUGUCAUGGCUAAACAGUACAAAAAGCGCUUGUGGGACAGGUACAGAAGAAGAGCUGAUUCUUCCUCCUCUUCCAAGAUGUGAUGGUUCUGUGAUCCAAAAAGAUCUCUAAAUAGUUAGUAUAGAUUGCUACCAAAACUCCCUGACUAAACAUGAUCUGAGUCAGCGCAAGAAAAGUGAUCUUUUGAUAUUGAGAAAGAAAUGGAUAUUUUUGUCUAAAGAAGGAUAAAGUGGAUACACAUUUCAUCACAGAUAUGAAAUUAUAAUAGGUUAAAAAGUUGCUCAAAGAUGGACAAGCAGAAGCAGUUUCCUAUAUAAGUUUUGACAAUUGGAACUCGCAUGUGGUAUCACAAAGUAGACAUGAUUUAUCAAGAAUUUUUUUUUAUAAUUGAAAGGGCUUAGAAGAUAAAAUUGCAAUAAUUUUCAAACGCCAUGAGUUGUCAUGUGUUAUGCAGCAAAUAGAAGCUUGAGACUUGUAGAAUUAACUUCAACAUUUGCAUGAUUAGGAAACACAGUAGGACUUCAACCAUGUUACAUACAAAGAUUAUAUAAAAAUAAUACAAAGAUUAUGUAAGGAAGGUUAUUAAGCUUGUUAUCAAAAUAAUAAAGCCUGUAUUAGUUACACAUACUGCUAUUUCACUAUCUUCUUUUCAUCAUUAAUAUCUUGGCAAGGAAUCAAAUGAACAAGAAUCGAUCAAUUGCAACAGGUUCCAUAACUUGCUUCUCUUAAGUUUGCGAUCCACCUCAUGACAAACCAAACCCGGUGAAAAGUAGUGGAUUAAAGAAGCACUAUGUUUCUUUGGAAAUAACAUAUAUGAAUUUAGGAACAACCUACCUAAAGAUGGCAUCUUUCUUCUUGUAAAUACUGGCAGUCAAAGUAGUAACUAUUAAUGGUCGAGACUUGCGAUUGAAUGAAACCACAAUACAAAGAAGACAAAUCAUAUGAGGGAUCUCACCGACCAGAUUGUCGAUACUCUUCAAACGAGACAAAUCCGUCCCCGUUGCUGUCGCAGAGCUCCAGCUCGCGGCCGGACCGGUGGAUCGCCUGAUGGGCGGCCUGCUGGAAGUUCCACUCGGCAAGCUCCGUCGAGCUCACGAACCCAUCGGCGGGGCCGACGUCGAUGCGGGGGAAGAGGACGACGAUGCGGUGGGUGAUGUUGAAGCGAUCCUCGCCGUCGACGUAGUCCUUGGGGUCGAAGAAGUCGUCCCAUUCCGGCUGGGACUCCUCGUGGUGAGGGAGGCGGAAAUGGUCCCCUUCCCACUGCCGGGCCUCGCGUCGGCGCUCGAUGUCUGCGAUGAUGGGAUCGAAGGGGAUUUGAUGGUGGGAGGAGGCGGAGGAGGUGUUGUGGCUAAGCUUGAGGCGGCGGUGGUGGUGCUGGCGGUGGCGGCGGGGGGUCCUCGGGGGUACGGAGGCGAGAAGCAGGAGGGUGAGGAGAGCGGCGGUGGCGUAGAUUAGUAUUGUGGCGGCCGACGGCUUCGCCAUCGACCUUCGAUCGAAAGGAGGAAAAAAAGCACAGGUGUGGGUGAGCGAAAGGGGGUGUUGGAAGAUCUAUUUCACCGCGGAGGAUAGUAAGCCAUGGAUUCGCCGUUCGCAACAAUGCUCUCGGAUAUAUUUAUGAUCGGACGGUUCACGUUUGAAAUGAUGGGUGGGAGUGGGAUCCACGUAACUGUACGGCUCUGAUAAGAACUGGACGAUACCGAUUACAGUAGAACGCGCUCGAUGUGAUGACGCGGUUUGUGUGUCUCGGCCGCGGUACGAAACACAAAAAGUCUUUUAUAACAACCGGGCCCCACAUAAACUUCAUAUAACUCGGCGAAUGGGUUACCAAUAGAAAGUAGCUCACCCGUGUCGCGUGAAUUAGUAUAGACGGCAGAAGCCGCGACGGUGGGAACCGUCCGAUUAUAUGCCCUUCCUUGUCUAAACCGUUCAUUCAUAUAACGAGGUUGAAUACCAUAUCAUAGAUACAUAAAAGAAAAGAACGACAUAUCAGAAGAAUUAACAAAGACUCAAUGGAGUUACAAAUGAUUUUGCCUUUAGUAGGUUCACACAAGUAUGAUAAUACACUAACUAAAAGAUGACUCCUCACAAGUAAAUUUCUCGCUUAGGCUCAAGAAAUUUUAGGAGUUUUCAGUUGGUGAGGUAAUUAUAAAGGUUCCAAACAUCAUAAAACAUAAAGUAAAUCAAGCAAAUGAUUUUAUUGACAAUUCUGCCACCAAAUCAUGGCAACGAUAUUGCCCAAACCAUUUAGGACUUACCAGGUGGUAGGUACUAGGGCAGUGUUAUAAUCAAGUCUAAGGCUUUUCCUUGCUACCUAUGUCCCACCACAACCUUCAUCUAAGAUAGAUAGCCCAAUUUUAGUCCAUUUAAUAGUCAAAUCGUAGCCCAAUUUACUUUGACCAAGGCUUUAACUCAUCGAUCAUUCCUCGUGUGUCAUCAAAUCUUUCAGCACAUUGAUAGAUUUUUCUAACAUAUUAUUAUAUCUUCCCAUGUAUUGACUUAUCCUCUAAUAAUCAAUCGAUUCUCUAGUAUGAAAUUUAUUUUUCUAACAAGACAUCUAAUAAUCUAACAUGAUAUCUGUUUCUUCGAUGGUUCGUACACUAUAGUCAAAGUAUCUCUUGUAUCACUAGACUUAAUUAUAAUAUUAAUUAUUUAAAUUUAUUAAUUAAUUUUAUCAUCAAAAUAUAAAAUUUUAUAGAUGCUUUUGUGUAAGGUAGACAACUUUACAUGAUUAAAGCUGUUUCUUUAAGACAUGUUACCUAAUUUAGAUUUAUCGAAUGCUUGAAAUGCGACUCUUUUCAUGCUUUUAUCUAUUAGGUGCUAUGCAUGAAAUUAUCUAAAGAGAUUACAUCAUGCAUUGAGAGCUGUCUUUGUAGGAUUAGAACACAUCAUAUGUCCUGAGUGAAUACAUUAUUAUAAGCAUAGAAAGUUAAUUUAUCCAAUUACGACAUGUGAAGUGCAUUGUAUGUUUUUUGUCUCGGUAGACGUAUAAAACAUAUGAACAUCUUUUAUUUGACUAACUAAAGGAGAUGAAUAGUUUUUUUCUUCUCUCAACCAAUGGGUUUUCUUAUUUUUAUUUGUUAUUAAGAUUAAUAUUAAGGCAUGAAUUGUGCUGUGGUAAAGGAGUGGUGGUCUACAAACGCAAAGACAGACGAUGGUUUGAGUUAGUGCUGCUGGUGGAUGCAUAUUUUAAGGAUCAUGCAGGGGCCCAAUUUGUUCUUAGAUUUGUCUUGUUCUUGGAUUUUAAAGCUUUUUGCUUCCUCAGAGGGUCAGAAUUUAUUUGCUACCAGCUUUAAGAUUUGUCUUGUUCUUAGAUAUUUGUGACUUUCCUUUCUCACAAGGUCAAAUUUUAUUUGCCAAUAGAUCUUCAGUCAACAUUUAUUUAUUUGCUAGUAGAUCUUCAAGACUCAAUUAUGGUUGAGGAAGAGAGCUUGGCCACUUUGUCUGGGCCUUGUUUAAACUUUGUGUGCUUAGCAAAUCUUCAGGAUUUGUAUUGGUUCUCACAAAUGAUCAAUGUUCAAUUUGCUAGUAGAUCUUUGAGACUUGUCUUUCUCAAAGGAUUAUAUAUAUUUUGACAGCAAAUCUUUGGGAUUAGAUUUUCUUUUUGCACAUGAUCAGAUUUGAUUUUGCCGGAAGAAAAGCUUGGACACUUCUUAAAGCUCUAUAAGUAGUUUGCAGAUGCCACAGCUCCCCUUCGUUCAGCUCCUGCUCCCAUAACUCUUCACUGAAAUCCAUGUUGGUCUUCCCCUCCCAAGAGGAGGAGAAGAAGAGGAUGACAAUGCCUUGAGAAAACUGCAGCAGCAAAAGUUGGAGUGGCUGAGCCUGAGGUAGUGGUGGUGCUGGCUAUGCCUGUGGGGGUUAAUCGAGGGGAUGGAAGGGAGGAGGAUGAGAUGAGCAAUGGUGACGUAGUUAGUAUUGUGGCACCCGAUGGUUUCGCCAUCGUCCUUCAAAUGGAAGCCAGGAGAGAAAGGUCGAUGGCGAAGAUGUCGGUUGCCACAAAUACUAAUCUACGCCACCAUCUGUCGCCUCAUCCUUCUCCUUCUCACUUCUCAACUCAGUGGUGGAGUGGCUGAGCCAGAGGUAGUGAUGGUGUUAGGUGUGCCCGUGGGGAUUACUCGAGGGGAUAGAAGGGAGGAGGAUGAGAUGCGCGAUGAUGACGUAGUUAGUAUUGUGGCACCCGAUGAUUUCGCCAUCGACCUUCAAAUGGAAGCCAGGAGAGAAAGGUCGAUGGCGAAGACGUCGAUUGCCAUAAAUACUAAUCUACGCCAUCAUCUCUCUCCUCAUCCUUCUCCUUCCCAUCUCUCAACUCAGUGGUGGAGUCGCUGAGCCAGAGGUAGUGAUGGUGCUAGCGGUGCUAGUGGGGGUUACUCGAGGGGAUAGAAGCGAGAAAGAUGAGGCGGACGAGGGUGAUGUAGAUUAGUGUUGUGGCACCCGAUGGUUUCACCAUCGACCUUCGAUGGAAGCCAGGAGAAAAAGGUCGAUGGCGAAAACAUCGGGUGCCACGAUACUAAUCUACGCCACCAUCUCCCGCCUCAUCCUUCUCCUUCCCACUUCUCACGGAAGUCGUCAUCAACAUCUCCAUCGCCUCUAUAAACCCUCAACUCUCCUGAUUACUAGAUAGAUACUCAUGAGAUUUCAAAAAUGUACAUAAAUAAAAAUGAGGCAUCGAGCACAUUUUUUCCUUUUCUCUCUCUUAUUCGAUUCUAAAACCUCUUUCCUCUCGCCAUGCACCAACAUCAAGCCCAUGGCGCGGUGUAGUGUGUCAUUCUUUCCUUGUUUGGUUUUCUUUUCUCUUUACACAUCUCUUCCUCUCUUGCUGCAAUAUCUUUUCACACACGGUGGAGAGCUCGAGGCGACGGUGGUGAUGCCGGUGGUGGCGAUGCGGGUUGCUCGGAAGGACAGGGUCAUAAAGAGGAGGAUAAGGAGAGCGACGAUGAUGUAGAUAUUGUGACGUCCAAUGGCUUCGCCAUGGACCUUCAAUGGAAGUGAGGAGGAAAAGGUCAAAGACAUCAGACAUCACAAGAGUAAUCUGCGCCACCGUCGCUAUCCUCAUCCUCCUCUUCCUGCCUCUGUCCAAGAUGACUCCCCACCACCUAAACCGCUAGCACCACCACCACUACCUCAAGCUCCACCACAACACCACCGCCUCUAAAAUCCCUCAGCUCUCCAACAAAAUCCAUAAGGAUUAAUAUUAAUUAAUCUAUAAUCCUAAAUAUUUUUUAUUAAUAAAAAUAAGAUUAAUCCUCCGGCCAGACUAAAUGUUCAUACCUUGCAGUGGAAACAAAUGGUGAAUGUGUUGUGGUAGCUCUAAAUGUUCAUGUCAUGGAUGAACACGUACAGGUGCAAAGAGAUGCUUCGUACAAUUAGGAUGCAAGGAGAUACAAGUUAUUUUCCCAGUUAGGGUGCAUCAGAUGCAUUCGGCCAGACUAGAUCAAGUGGCACGUGUGGUAUUCAAAUUGCUAGUGGGUGCAUUUUCUUGACCUGGGUCAUGUUCGAAUUUGCUUUAAUUUUCAUGGAAUUAGCAAAUCUUUAGGAUUUCUCGUGAUUCUCGCACAUGAUAAAAAUUCAAUUACCCAAUAUAUCUUUGGGAUUCUCCUUUCUCGUAAGAUUUGCUAGAAGAUCUUUGAGAGAGCAAGCUAACGACGAGGCCACUAGGGGUCGAGGUAGUUGUUGAGUAACAACGAGAAAUGAGGGUUACUCUGUAUCUGAAUCGAUGCCGAUGCAAUUGCCGAGCGACUCUUUCAUCGCUUUGCAUCUGCAUCGAUAUCGACGCAGUCACCGAGCGGCAAAAGGGUCACUUGGCAAUUGCAUCGGCAUCAAAUGUAGUUGUCGAGCGACUCUUUUAUCGCUCUGCAUCUGCGUCGACGUCGAUGCAGUUGUCGAUUGACAAAAGGACCAUCGAUGUAGAUACUGAGUGGGCCUUUCGUCUCUCGACAAUUACAUCAACAUCGAUGCAAUGAACAACUAUUUCAUCACUCUGUAUUUGCCUCAGCGUCGAUGCAAUUGUCGAGCGACUAAAAAGUCACUCAGCAUCUGCAUCGGUAGCCCUUUUACCGUUUGGCUACAGUGUUAACGCCGAUGUAGUGAGCGGCCCUUUUACCGCUUUGCAUUUGUGUCAACGUCGAUGCAAUUAUCGAAUAGUAAAAAAGUCGUUCGACAACUACAUCGACGUAGAUGCAAAGUGACCCUCAUCUCUCGUCGUUGCUCUCCUCAUCCAUGAUAGUUACUCAUGACUCCCAAUGGCGUCAUCGUUUGUAUUUGUAUUUGAAAUUACUUUUUUACCUAUUAUUUUCGUAUUUGUAUUUGUAAACCCGAUGACAUUAUGGUAAACAGAUCUAGAUAUUUCACUUUUAUAACUAGAAUUUUAAUAUAAUUUUUUUAAGUCUAAAGAUCCAGAUAUUAAAAAUAUUAUACAAGAGAUAUAUAAUUAGCGCCAAAGUAAACGACACUACUUCAAGAAUACUGCAGCAACUUAGGUUGCUCCGAAUGAGAAAAAAAAGGAAACCAAUGAGAAAAAGGAUGGGUAGAGAGCUGCAGUGAAGGGAAUCGAUGUCCAGCAUUGUAAAUUACUUCUCAAGAUAUAUAUAUAUAUAUAUAUAUAUAUAUAUAUAUAUAUAUAUAUAUAUAUAUAUAUAUAUAUAUAUAUAUAUAUAUAUANNNNNNNNNNNNNNNNNNNNNNNNNNNNNNNNNNNNNNNNNNNNNNNNNNNNNNNNNNNNNNNNNNNNNNNNNNNNNNNNNNNNNNNNNNNNNNNNNNNNNNNNNNNNNNNNNNNNNNNNNNNNNNNNNNNNNNNNNNNNNNNNNNNNNNNNNNNNNNNNNNNNNNNNNNNNNNNNNCUUUACUUAGACAAGUAAGCUAGCAUGUUCAAAAUUUAUCAGAUGAGAUUUUAACCCUCGGACAUGGAGUUGAUUUACCAACAAACUAAUGCUUAAGAUAUAAAAAAUAUAUCGAUGAAGUUUGAACCUCAAUCAUCGUUAAGUGGGCCAUCGUAUGGGUGAUUUGAUUCACCAUCAAACUAAUGCUUAAGAUAUAAAAAAUGUAUGGAUGAAGUUUGAACCCGAACCAUUAGUAAGUGGGUCAACACAUUGGUAAUUUGAUUCCCAUCAAACUAUUAAGAUAUAAAAAUGUGUCGAUGAAGUUUGAAUCUCAAUCAUUAUAAGUGGGUCAACACAUCCGUGAUUUAGGUGUGAAAAAUAUGAGAAGUGUUGAUGAAGUUUGAAUCUUAACAUUUAGUAAAUGGGUCACAUAUUUGUGUUUUAAGUGUGAAAAUAUAUAGGAUGAUAUUUCAAACUGAGAGUAUGAUAUAUUAUCACCCUAAAAUAUGUUGAAUAAGAUUUUGAAAUCUCUAACCUUUGGUAAGUUGAUCCCCUACACCUAUAUCAAAUCAAUAUUUUACAUAUACAAAAUAUGUCAGAUGAGAUUUUGAAUCAUCUAACCUUUAGUGAAUCUAUAAAUCAUCAUUUUAGUAUAUUAGCAUAUCUUUAAAAAUAAUUUAGUUUAGAAAUUUAGAAAAUAUUAUCAAACUAACACUCAUCAUUUUAGUAUAUUAGCGUAUCUUUAAAAAUAAUUUAGUAUAGAAAUUUAGAAAAUAUUAUCAAACUAACACUCAUCAUUUUAGUAUAUUAGCGUAUCUUUAAAAAAAAAUUUGGCAACCAAAACUUCUGGACCUAAUUAUAUUUUGUCAUUUCUAAUUAUAAUGAUAUAGUUGACCAAUAAUUGACCUCAAUGAAGACGAUGAUCAAAAAGUCUGCGAAAAUAUAUAAUCAAUAUCGUGUGUAAAAUAUUAAAAUACACUAGUUUAAAUAACACCAAAUAGUUGAAACAUUACCACUUGUUACUUAUUUUAUACUCUCUCUUUAUGGGGAAGCAUGAAUCAUGAAUUGUGACCUUAUAAAUGCUUUAUAGUUUGUGAUUGAUGAACAACAUUCGGAAUUGGAUGUAGAAAGAUAAAAGCAAAUCCUUUUUUUCAGCCAACGAUAAAAAAGAAUUGAAUAAGCAGCAAAAGGAAUUCAAGUUCUCUAAAAUAUUUGACUACAUUAUUUUGUAGGAGAUACCGGACACAGCAGUUCAAGAAACUUAGUAAUCUGGAAACUACAAGUGACAUUUUGUUGAAAGAACCAAUAAGCAGAAGAAAGAAAAAAGACUGCACUCAUAUUGGCAAAACGAAAGCUCUAUUUGUGAUGUACAUCGACAUUGAGCACUGAACAAGAGUGCAACACCAGUCGAGACGAUUGCUGCUUCCUAAAAUGCAGCUGAAGUAAUGCCCCUCUUAUCAUCCUAAUAUAUGAUUUCACAGUUCAAGAACAUGUACAACAACAACCUGAUUUCCAAUCGUUUAUUUGAGCCGCAAGCUUCAUCGAUCGAUCGCCAUACCUUGCCACGGCUGGAACUGCAAUGCUAGCUGCAUCAGUGGAUCACCCUGGACAAGAUGAAUAAGCAACACUCUACACCCACUGGUCACCAGCCUCCAAUCCUUUGUCAAAAGUUCCAUGCUCACUUGCGCUUCCUGAUGUCAAGCCUCUCGCUCGAUGCCAAAACUGCUGGCUGCUACCUGGUCUCAGAGGGCCUGAGCUGGAAUACUGAUGAAAAGAACCAGAAGCAUCCCUCGUAAAUCUUGCUGAUACAUUAAGUAUCACAGAUUCUGAGAGCACUCUACCUGACCCCAAGUCCCACCCUCCGCUGAUACUUGGCUCCUUGUCUAGUGUGGAUGUCUCCUCCGGGCUAAAGUUUCCCGAAACUCUGCAGUCAUCUCCCUCGUUGUAUACUAAUUUCAAGGCUUGUACUACUUCACCCAUGAAAGGACGUUGGUCCACUUCGGGCUGCACACACAUUGAAGCAAUUGCUCCUACCUUCGCCAAACUGUCAAAUGGAAUGUCAUUGCCAAGAGAUGGAUCUAUUAUUGAUUCUAAUCCAUCCCUACUUGUAAGGAGUGGGCGAGCCCAUGUGACUAGAUUUUCUUGCCCAGGAGGUCGUAACAUGUCUACUGGUUUCCUUCCUGUAAGGAGCUCCAGAAGAACAACCCCAUAGCUGUAGACAUCACUCUUAACAAGAAGAUGCCCGGUCAUGGCAUAUUCAGGUGCUACAUAGCUGAAGGAAAAAAGAACAAUAAAUUUGAACAUUAGUCCAUGAAUCAAAGUUUAGAAACAAACCUAUUCCAAAGUCCAAACAAAAAAAAGGAAAAGAAAUUAAGUUUACAAAAAAGAGGAGUGAUAUCAUGAUAUUUGUAGAGUGAUGUACCCAAAAGUUCCCAUAACACGUGUGGAUAUGUACUCAUUUCCUUCUCCCAUAGCUGUUCUUGCUAGGCCAAAAUCAGACACUUUGGGGGUGAAGUCAUCUUCCAGUAAGAUGUUGCUCGACUUGAAAUCACGAUGUAUAACACGAGGGCUUGAAUCUUCAUGCAGAUAGGCAAGACCUCGAGCUGCACCAAGUGCAAUCUUCAGCCUCGUAUUCCAAUUAAGCGGAGUAGUUUCCUUGUCGGCACCUGAAUAGAAGUUUUUCUUCAUUAUCUCACUUUGGAUUCAUACAAGGAAUGUCUUUAACAAGAAGCAUUUUAUCCAUAUUUAACCAUACCUUACUAUAAGUUUCCAAUAAAUGGCAACAAAAAAUCUAUACUACAUGGACAAGUCUCUCAACACCGAAAGGCCAAAGCCCAAACUUUAUCAUAGUUAAAAAAGCAUUUAAACCAAAAUCAAAGGUCAGCAGAUGUAUGCAGAAAAAUUUCAUCCGCUAUUACCAAUUUCAAGAAGGCAUUACCAUUUAACAAGACAAGAAAUCCUUGUUAAAGUCAAUGUGACUGGAUAUGGUAAUGAAAGAAUUGCUUGAUUAUGGCCAUAAAUCAUAUAGAAAAUCAUAUUUUAGAUGGUUCUUACCAUGUAGAUGAGAUUCUACGCUGCCAGAUGGUACAAGUUCAUAUACCAGACAGUUGUGUUCCUCGGUGCAUAUACCAAUCAACUUAAUUAAAUUCCUAUGAUGCAAUCGGCUCAGCAUCUCAACCUCGGCUAAGAAUUCUCGGUUACCUUCUUGGUCAUCUCUCUUAAGAACCUUUAUGGCCACCCUUGUGCCAUCUUCCAGAGUACCUUCAUAAACACGUCCAAAACCACCUUCACCGAUUAUUUUCAAGUUGUCAAACUUGUUUGUCGCCUUUUCCAUCUCAGCUAGGCUAAACGUUUUAACUGAUCCUGCAUAUGUUCGCAUGCUAGAGCUGAAGGACGCUGAUGCUGAUGUUUGCUUGCUUCCAAGCAUAGUGGGGCCAAUACCUACAUGCAUUUUGAUAUAUAAUAGACAAAGGAUUAAAACAUAGAAGUUAAAUGGUUUAAAACCAAAAGGGAGGUGAAGUUCAGGAAAAGAGAACUCAUAUCAUUAACAAUUGGUAAAGAGGUUUUGGAACUGGAUUUAACACAUUGUCUCCAUAAUCCUUCUCUUCAACAUUAAUAAUUGUGACAUAAGUUUAUAUCUCCAGACUGAUCAUUGCUCAAAUCAUUACCUGUGUUACAAGCCAAAAGUUCUAUGCUUUUAUUAUCAUUGGCAAAUGUGUUCACUACUAUAAAAAUCUUUAAUGCCAAGUGAAAAAUCAAUCCUUUUUAGAUUCCAUAUAUUAUUUAAGCACCUCAAAUAAAAGUUUAUAGCAUUUAGCUAGCCCUUAAGGUUGCAACAAAAGAUUUAGACAAUGAAUUGAUUAGACAGGCAAAACUGUCUGCAAUGUUAUAAUCAUGCAAAGUCCUACUUUCGGGCAACUGUUUGCCCUUGGUUGCCUACAAUCCUUGUAAUUAAGAGAAAGAAUGUCUAUGAGGAUUGCUGUUAAAUGUUUGCAGCUUUUCAGUUUGCAGUUUUACUAGAAAAAAAAUAACAAAGUUUUACCAACAAUGGCCAGUUAAGAUGAUCAUAAAACCUAAAAUUCAACAUAGUCAAAUAUUGCAGUAAUUUUUCAGACUGGAUCUUUUACCUGAUGCCUUUGCGAGUGGGCGUGUUAAAGCCUGUGGAGUUUGUGGAAGAUGAGAACCAGCUCUGAAUUUCAGUAACAAAAGCCAUACUGCUCCAACACAUAAGAUGAAAGCUAUAACAGCAGAGAUAGCUAGGACAGCUACUAAGCUGUGAUUUUGCUUUUCUUUUUGCCUUCUCACAUCAACCGCAAGUGGAUGUAUUGUCCUAGGAUUAUUGUCAUUGCCAUAUGAUCCAUCAUUAAUAUUUAUGUUUCCAGGUGCUGUGGGUGGUGAUGGAGGAAGACCUGCAUAAAGAAAAAGUAUGAUUUAAGCAUCAUCUUUAGCUUCACAUCUCAUGUUUGUGUGGAAUAUUUGCAUUUAGACUUAUUUUAAUUGCCACGUCCAUGAUGUAUUGUUAACCAAAAGUCAUAACAAAGCAAAAGAAUAUUUCUAAUGCUAAAAAUGUAUAUUUCUUUACAAGCCAAAAAGACAAUGAAGAUCUUUGGAACGAUCUCUAGCCAAACAAUUGGAGGUUAUGCUCACAUAUCAAUAUAUACAAUCAACAAAAUACAAGAGAAUAUUCUCUGUCAUGGCAAGUACGAAAUAAAAUAAGAAAUAAGAUAAACUUGAAAAUUUAUCAGGGAGAAAUGACCAACCUGGAUAGCGGACAUACAGUACUUCAUAGUCCCCAAAAUAAGAUGAGUUUAUGAACACCUGCUUGUGCCAGAACCUUUCAUAAACUAAGAACACUGUGCUGUUCUCAAAUAUGUCUCCAAGUGGUAGCAAAUCAAUGAGGACAUCGGUCUUAUCAGGCUCCUCACUGGCAGCAUUUGCUCCCAUGAUGCGCACCUGACUUUGAUCCAUAAAUGUACCAAAUGCAAUUUCUUGAGCAAAUUCAAAGACCAAGGGAAAGAAUGUGAACAAUGCAAUGCUUAGGCGAAGUCCAACUUUUAUUGGCAACACACAAGCACAGGGUGAUCCUGGGCGGCUAUUUGUUAAAGGAUCAUAACAAGUUGGAGGGGUACAAUCUGCACAUAGACCAGAACUAAACAUCAUAACUUUAUAUUAUAUGUUACUUGAAAAUACCAAUAAGAGUAUCAGAAUUCAUAAUAAGGAUGGAUUAACAUUAAAUGCAUAUAUUUUUCCUGCCAAUAAGCAGAAUAUUUAAUAAAAAUUAUAUAGCCUUUAUGCAUUGCUAAGUACUUGCCUAAACUAGGAGGUGGGGGCGGUAAUGCAUGAAUAGGUUGCAUCUUUGGUGCCAUCGGUUUUGAAUGCAUUGGUCCAGAAGGAGAAGCCACAGGAAAUUGGACAUGCCCUGUCAAGAUGAGAAUGAUCCCAAACAAAUAAAUCAUAAUAUAUAUAUGUGUGUGUGUGUGUGUGUACCUCUGUUAUAUAUAUACCUCUGUUAUGAGUGAAUGGAGCCACAAUUGAUUGAGUAGGUGCCGGCGUUCCUUGACUAUCUAUUGAAUGAAAUGGAACUUGGAAAAAGAAGGGACAACAAGAAAGAAAGAAACAGGAUCAACAUUUGAAGAAAGAAUAUCCGUCCUUCAAUUAUUUUACACUGAUAUACCUGGAGCAUAUGGUGGUGGAGAAUGAACCUUCGGCCUGAUCCUUGCAGGCAGUGCUGGAGGAUAAAAAGAAACUAAAAUCAAGCCUUUGAAUUAACAUAACAGAAGCUUAGAAAAUAGUCUUUGUAUCAUCUAACCAGGAUGAUAUGGUUCGGGAGGAAGCAGUGGCGAUGGAGCAGAUGAGGGGUUUCCUUUCCCUUUCCCAGGUGUAAAUUGGUGAGAUGGAACUACAGGCAUGGGUGAAGGACUAUCAGGUACUUUUUCUGUCGGAGGUUGUGGAUGAGAACUAAAAGGAGCAUGUGUAUGAUCAGAAGGCACCUCGACUUCAUGUGGUGCAGGGCUUAUCACAGGAAAAGAACCUUUAAAAAAAUUAGCCACCGAAUUAAUUUACCUCCUUUUCACAUGCCAACAUUUUGAAUUAAAUGAAAAUACCUCUCAGGUGUGGAUGAUUUACAGGAGAAAUAUGACUGGAUCUCUCCUUGGGAGGUGAAGCAACUGGCAUGCCAUGCCUCUCACUGGUGGCAGGUGGCGCAGCUGUCAAUGGAGACAUAGCAGGCACUGCAUAUCAAUAUAAAAAGAAUAAUACAAUGAAAUGGUUUGGCUAACUUUCUAAUUGUGAACGUGAAAUAGGAAAUCAAAUACCUUUUGGAUGAGAGUAAUUUACAGAGGUUGAAUGGUUAGAACGAUCCUCUGGAGGUCCAGCAACUGGCAUAUUAUGAUUCUCAUGGAUGGCAGGAGAUAAUGCUGCUACCGGGGACAUUGCAGGUCCUGCAACAUCAUGUAUUGUCAAUAUUGAACAUCAAUAUUAAAAGGAUCAUGGUUGUAAAAGAUUGGUUAACUUUCCAAUUGUAAUUGUGAAAUACAGAAUUAAAUACCUUUUGGAUGGGAAUAGAUUAUACGGGUUGAGUGGUUGGAUGGAUUUUUGGGAGGUGCAGCAACUGGCACACCAUAACUCUUGUAGAUAGCAGGAGACAUGCUCGUUAAUGGAGGCGUAGCAGGCCCUGCACAUGUAUAUUGCUGCUAUCACACAUCACUGAAGAAAGAAUUACGGAUGGAAAAAGUUAGGCUAACUUUAUAACUGCAAUAGUGAAACACCAUUAAAUACCUUUUGAAUGGGAAUAAUUUACUGGGAUUGAGUGCUUGGGUCGAUACUUUGGAGGUGGAGCAACUGACUUCCCAUUGUUUCUCUCAUGGUUAACAGGAGAAAUAGAUGAUACCGGAGAGAAAGGAGACCCUGAACAUCAUAAAUUUUUCAAGACUGAGAACAAAUGCAAACAUAUGGACCUAAUACUAGUCCAUUUAUCUUAAUUUUAGCAGAAUCUAUGAAAGACAAUGUGAACCCUUCUGAUUUAAAUGGUUGUCUGGGGGUCCAUGGUUGGAUAACUCUUUCGGAGGUGCAGCAACAGGUGCUCCAUGUGAAUCACUAUGGCUGUUGGGUGAAGGGAUAAGUGAUGGAGAAACAGCCAAAACUGCAUACCAGAUAGAAAGACAUGAAAGCAAGAGAAGUGUCAGGUUCUACCAUGUAAAUGCUUAACAAGAUGCAAUUCCUUUGUUUCACCAAAAGAAGCUUAGAGAAAAUGUCAUGGAACUAAUCAUUAUAUUCUCUCUCCAAGAUCUUCCAAGGAGAAAAUUACCUUUUGGUUGUGAAUAAUUUGUAGGUGAUAAGUGGCUGGAUGAUUCCAUUUGAGGUGCAGGAACUGGUACGUUAUGCCUGUUCCAACUAACGGCAGGAGAAGUUAAUGAGGAUGGAGAAACCGCAGGGACUGCACAUAGAUAUUGCAAUAAAUUGAUAAACAAUUGGGUUCAUUGAGCAUCAAUCCAUUCGACUACUUUGUACAAACAUUUUCCACAUGAAAAGAUAAUACCUUUUGCAUGCGAAUAAUUUGACAGGGAUGUUUGACUAAUCUUAGGGGAUGCAGCAACAGGCAUGCCAUCCCUAUUGCCAUGAAUUGCAGGUGAACUGAAUGAUGUUGGAGAAACAGCAGGUCCUGUACAACAUUGUACCAAUAAAAGUGCAUCAGGAGAUGAAUUUCAAAAGCUUAUAAGCAAAUGAAUGCUCCAUAUGAGCAUGACCCCUUGAGCAAAUAACAGUGAGCAAUACUUGUCCAAUGUUUUUGCUGCCAACUGAGUUAUACAACUAUUGUCAUCUACUUAGUUAAAUGGCAGCGCCUGGAAGUUCCGCUGGUGCUUGAAGUGGAAAUUUAAUUGAUGGAAGUGAAACUAGUAUAAUAAUAUGCGAAAUUACAAAUAUCACCAACCUUGGGUUACAGUUGCCACGACCGGAGAAAUAUUAUCAGGUGCUUUUCCAUGAAAAUCAGCAUCAGGCACUCCUACACUAGAAAUUGCUAAUGAAGAGACAAUAGAGGAUGAGAAAUAAUGGCUACAAUAUGUAAAACAUCUCUAAUAGCAUUCCAAGAAUUUUUUUGGGAACAGAUGAUGAUAGAAAUUACAUGUCGAAACGGGAACAUCAGGAGCUGGACUUUGCACGGAAGGCCUCAUUCUUGGUUUCUCUGCCUUGGCAACAUGAUCAGGUGGUGCACUGGGCUGCGUUGAUGGUACUACUGCUUGGACGGUAGGUGGUAGAACCUCAGACUUAGGCAACACGGUUGGGGAAUUGAGGACAGAUCCUGGUACACACACAUUCGUUAUGCUUAAGAGUCCUAGGGAGCAUUGUGGUACAUUAUGAAUUGGUUACCUUGGGUGACUAUUGAAGGGCUAGGUGCAUAAUUAGUGAGUGGUUCUGACAGGUGCAUCGGAGGAGGUGCCUUUUCUUUGAUAUGAGGGACCAUGGUUGCUAAGUCUAGUGAAGGGGAUAUGUAGGAGCCUGCAUAUGUCAAAGUUUUCAUCCGUGAAAAGAUGGAGAAAUCAAGUUACUGGAGAUCACCCAUUCUCACUAACCUAAAGCUGGGGUUUGAAAAUCCAGCAUCUCCAAAGUCUUAAUUUCCAUCUUUAUAUUGGUGGUUGGCAAGCCAGGUCUCAUCUGUAGCAACAUUCUUUGAGAAACUAGUUGUCGUUUGAAGUAAGGACCUAUAAACCAUAAGCAAGAGCCGCAACAAAAUGAAUUAGCACAAUGGAUUAUCUAGAGGAAUUACAAAUAUAGUUUAUGCAUAAAGCAGCCUAACAAUUAUCUGGAUUUUGGUUAAAGCUUCCGCCUGACAUUCUUGCCUUAGUUUCUCUUCUUCUUUUUUUAAAUUAGUCUAAAAAUUAUAUUCUAACUAAGCAGCAUCAGGGAAAAUAAAAAGGCUAAAAUUCUGAUGAUGGUUCUCUAAGCUUUCAUAUUAAAUAUGUUCACUGAAAAUUUGUUUCCUUGAAUGGCCCAUUGGAACUUCGGAAUCAUUAACAUGUACUAGAUAGCUAUACAUCAUAACCAUUUAAAUGACAGCAAAAAAUUUAUGGUAUCAUAAAAAAUUGUAUUGAAAGACAGAACAAGAAACUAUUAUGUAUGGCAUAUUGUUAAGUGUGAUUAGUAUUUGUCAGGCACUCAAAUGACUAAUUAUAAACAGAAGGAAAUGCUCAGAACUAAUUCAAUUAACAUUAACCUAGAAUCUAAUAUAUCGAUCUCCUAUCAAUCAAAAGAACUUGUUAGCAAGUGUUCCAAAGCAUAUCACUUGAAACAUACCCAACAAAUGUAGAACAACAACAACUGGAAACUGUCGUGGAUAUUUAGAGCACUCCGGUGGCAAGAAAUCAUGGAAGUUUUCAUUAACAUCAUUCAUCUUGGAACUUGUACAUCUUUUUCUUUUAAAAAGUAAAGAUUCUGAUAAGCAAUACGAAUCAUAGAAACUAAACUCGAGGAGGAAAUUGUUUAAAACAUCCAAGUUAAUAAAUGAUCAAGCUGAUCAACUUUGGAAUAAUGGAAUCCUCAAGCAGAUUGUCGACAUGGGUAACAGAGACAAGGAAUCAGCUCCAUUCUGCUUAGUUAUUUUUUUCUCCGAUUUCACACAAUACAAGUAAUUUAGGACUUCGAGUUAAAAAUUCCAGAUGAAAACGAUCGGGUAUGGCAAAUUCUGUUGAAAUGAAUGCAAUACAGAAGAAUCAUCUUUCAUGUAUCAUGAUCAUCCGAUCCGGUUUCUUUCCAAAAAUUUCUCACAACAUGAAAGAUGUAAACACUGAUGAAUCAAUCUUUUAUCGUUCGGCGUACUUCAGUUCAGGUUCAGACCACAAUCAUCAAUCGGAGCAUACACGACAAACGAAAACUCUUCAGAAAAAGGUCACAACAACUAAGGACUAGAGACGAGGUGUCUAUUUUCAGCAAGAACAGAUCAAGAUCACGCAAAAGAAUACCUCGAAAACGAAUUCCCAGGCGAAUUCUAUUACCUUUCGAUCCAUGAAUAGAAAAAAGAACUACCAGCGCGCAGAGGAGCCACGGGCAUAGAACUCUCCGCCGCCACCGUCCCAUCCUGUUACUCCCGUCUCAUAGCAAAUAUCCAAAUCGAAUUGCGGGACCAAAACCAGCUUCCGCACCUUCCUCCGAACCAAUCAACUCGCACCUGGAUAGGUGCAACGAACGAACCAACGAAGGGCGAAGCGGACGCAGAGAGGAACAGAGCCAAAGGAGAGGUCUUUUAACCAAAUCCAGGCUGCAAGAUCAGAACUUUUGAUGCCAAAUCCCAACACAGAACAGCAAAGCAAGGGAACGAGGAGGUCCCUUCUCUCUUCCAGCUCUCAGAAAGAAACCCAACAGAGGUGCCCUGCCACUAUUGAACCCAAGAAAAGGCGGACUGCUCCUGCUGCCAUGUGAUGCAACGAACACUAGAAAAAGGGAGGGCCUUUGGUCCACUUCCAGUCCUCAGAGAUCAUGGAGGAGGAAAAGAUUCCAGGGCAUUAAAGAAGUGAUAUGUAGACCCCUGUCUCAUGUCCUAGGAGCGGGUUUCCAUUAAAUUACACUCGUGUUUAUGGGUAAUGGGAAGGGGCCAAACCAUUUUCUAGGGUUAGGUUUGUGAGUGCAACUUGGACCGACUCCAGAACCGAAAGCACGAAGAUGCGUUGUAGACUUUGUUUGGCAGCCUCUGAGCAAAUGAGUGUUGGACUGAAAGGGUGGGGUUGCGAUGUCUUGGGGUGGUAUGAUUCUGCAAUGCUGUCUUCUCUCUUCAAUUGAUUGUUCGGCUGCUUUCGACAGGCAUUUCUUGGAGGUCCAACUUUGGGUGCAGUGGGAGCUUCCUUCUUCGUUCCAAUCUCGCAUGGAUGGGUGUGGUCAAGAGUUCUCUGAUGAACAGCUUGGACAUGUCAGGGGAUGCUUAGCGCAUGUGAUGAAUACACAUGCUUCUUUGGGAUGCGUUGGAGAAACAGUGAAUCAUGGUUUAAUGUGUGUCAUAGCUGUCAUCUCACAGUUGUUCUCAAGAACAUGAUGAUCCACCAACAAGUUUCAGAUGGUGAAGAUGAACCAUUUGCAGAACAGAAUUUUGAUUGAUCCUCGAGGAUGAAGCGUGCAGCAUCGUGAACGGAGAAGGAUGGGGGGUGAUGUGGUGUGUGCACUGUGGCCUCAAGCAGAAAGAUGAUGAUCUUGAAUGCGGUGAUCUUUCCCAAAGACAACCAACCACCUGAAAAGGGAUUCAUUCAGGAGUGAGUCACCAUCACAUCCACAUGUUCCCACUGCCUCAAAGUUGCAGUGGUAACAAUUAAUGGAUUCAGGAGUUUGAAGACGAUGACAGAGGGCAGCAUACGAUGAGAACCAGAAAAGUUUAGUGACCAAAGCAACACAAACCAACCAAAGUAAGGGAUUUACAAGUUCAUAAUGGAAGAGCUUUUUGGCUUCCCCACUUCCGAAGGAUAAGGAGAGGGAUGACAAAGUCUUUUUGGAUGAAAAUAUCUGUCUGUGCAGCAUAUGUGACGCCAUUUGGGAGAUCCUUGAGAUGGAGACUGCCAUGAUGGAAGCUUGCGUAUGGUAGUCGAGUUGUAGCUUGUGCUUAUCUUGUCACCACUGUGUUCGAUGAGUCACAUGCCGCCGCAGCAGCAGUUGCUUCAGUGGAAUCCCAUUCCAGAAAGAACCAGUGGGAGCAAAUGGGAAAGAAACCAAAGAGUCUUAUCUUCACCUAAAACAAAAUCCAAUGCACAAACUUGGAAUCACUGUAAAGGUGGUCACAUCUUUUAGAUAGUUAAUCUUUUCUGCCCAAAGUUAAGUUGUCAUAUAUUAUAUGUUGUCAAGUUAUCAUUUUGCAUAUUUUAUAACACUUAAAAGUAAUCUCAUAAUAACAUUUUAAAGUUAUAAAUAUACAUACAUAAUAACAAUAAAUCAUAAAGUCUUUAUUAUUAUUAUUAUUAUAUAUAUGUAUAAAAUUGAAAUCUAAAUCCCAGCUUGAUCUCACGACUUCACCCGACUUGACCGGACCCGGAAAUUAUUUGGGUUUGGGUUUAAUUAGUCAUUCUAGAGUAUUCCUGCACGGGUCGAUCGGACCCAACUCUAUAAUCCUCAGUAUAGAGUUGCUUUAGCAUCCACAUGGCGAUGGAUUAUUGGUUCGAUGGGCUUUAAGAGUUGUGCCAGAGUCAAGAUGGUCAUGUGCUUUUCUGGUUUUCGUCCUUUAAUAGUCCAACCUUUCUUUGCAUCAAGUGUCAACUUAGCUGGUAGGACGGUCAAAAUUGUCGGCAGGCCUGAUAACUUGUAGUUCCAACCCGAUGCGGAUCCUCAAUCUAUUUAUCCGAUUCGAUAAGAAUUCUCAAUCUAAUUCCAGUGGCUGACCCUAUAUAUUGUAGUUCCGAUCCAAUAUUAGUUUCGGAUCAGCAUGCGUAUCCUCCAUACCCAUUUGGAUUUGGAUCUGAGUCAACACCGAACCUAACCCGAUAACACUCGAGUCUUGGAGCACAUCUUUGACCAGAGGCUCGUGUGCAUUUGACUUUUGACCGUCUCUCUUCCCGGUCUACAACAGCUCGUUUACUGGCUCUUCUAUUGCAUGUUGCAUGUCCAACUUGGAUUAAAACAACUAGAAGCUACACCCAAGACUUCAACCCUGGACUCCGUCUUCUCUCUUACGUUUGUUUCCUUCGUAGAUGUUAACUCCCAUCUGAUCAGCCAACGAUUGUUUUAGGUGUGCAUAAUUUAUUACAUGCAUCGAACCUUCUCCUUGUAUAUAACCUUCUUUUACAAGCUUGACUCGCUCGUUCCGAUUAGGUCUCCAUGGAUGGAUGGUGCUGUGACGAUGAAGAUGGCGGCCACUCCAUGGCAAUUCUCCAAUCUUUUGGAGGAUCCUUCUGUAGCACCAUCAGCGAGUAUGUCUAACAGCAUGUUCAUUACUCUCACGUGUUUGCUUAGCUUUUGAUGGUGACUUGGGUUUUGCUUGAUUUCCUCCUCAAGUGAUGUUCUCGGACCAGCUAAUCUGAAGUCGAGGGAUUCGGAUCUUGUCAACUCGGCUGCGUUUCUACUGCCCGGACAAAUCUACCAGGUGAAGGUCUUGGAUAUCUGAAGUCAACUGUGGUUUCUCUUCUUCUCUUUCUUCGGAAUGAUGAGAGAUCAGACAGCCCAAGCUCUUUGUAGUGUUUGCUGGGGUUCUAUCUUUGCAGUAAGCUGCAAAUGUUAAAGCACUUGUUUUCACAGGCUAAUCGGCAUCGUUUUGGUCUUCUGCAACAGUGUGCAGCGUUAACGGGAUGCAGAAAACAAGAGCACGAUGACCUGGGGAUGACCUCCGGAUCCAGUAAUGUAAGUAUUCUGCAGCUAACGAGCUCACGAAUCACUGAUUGAAUGAUGUUGAGAGUUUAAUAUGACCAGUGUGCUAAUUCUGUCGGCAGAACAUCGACGCACAAAUAGACGAACAAGACUUGUUCAUGGAACAGCAGUUCUUCCUCCACGAACACUGUCGGUCUUCGUCCUCGUCCUCGUCGCUGCAAUCCUUGUCGAUGGACAAUAUCACUGAUUCUUAUGUUUCCAACACUAUGCAAACCUACAACCAGCAUCGAAGUGUUCGGUUCCCAUCUUCCGAGAGCGAGGACGCUGCGAUCACCAGGGCGAUGAUGGCGGUGCUCUCUUCUUCCAACUCCUCGUCUUCUGCUGCGUCUCCUCCUUCGGUGAUGUCAAACCCACAACAACAAGGCCAAGCGAGUUUGCCACGGCGGGCGUUUAGGUCCUACGACUCGGUCCUCGCUCCACACUUGGAACUCAGGAAGAGCUCAUCCGGGCAGAAGAUGUUAAGGAACUCCAUCCUCAUGCUGAGAAGUAUCAGUUCGGUGAAGAGCGAAGAGCAAGUAGAAGGGCGUCGAUCCACCAGCAACCAAUUGCAUCAUGUGAUAUCGGAACGUCGACGUCGAGUGAAGCUCAAUGACAGCUUUGAUACACUCAGUACGCUGCUUCCUCCUGCAUCAAAGGUAUGCAUAACAGUGUCAAUGCAUCAUUUUUAGGAUCCGAAACAAGAUAAUGUUAAUCCUGUGGAUUUCAUCUCCUUUCUCUGUCUUGCUUUAUGAUAGAAAGACAAGGCUUCGGUGCUGAUCAAUACAAGGAACUACCUGAACACAUUGAGAACUCAAAUCACGGAGCUGGAGGAGAAGAACCGAAGUCUGGAGACGCAUCUUUGUACAGAUGAAGCUCGUCAAGGCGAUGGCUCCGCUAAAAGCGUGAAAGUUCAAAUCAUCAAACCCUCUGAGCCAACAUCCGAUGUGCAACAAAUCGACAUUAGGAUGACCGUAAGCGUAGAGUGCGACAUCAUCGAGUUGGUUCUCCAUGUCCUCGAGUGCUUCAAAGGGUUGAGAGCUGUAACUGUGGCAGCAGUAGAUGCAUGCACGUACUCUCCCCGAAUGCACAUCUAUGCAAGAGCAAAUCUCAAGUUACAGAUCAAGGUAUGGAACAUUUUUUACAUUCAAAUGAUGAGAGACUGAUUAGAUUUAGAGAGACUGAAAAGAAAUCUAGCCUAAUAAUUGUUUAUGGCAAAAUCAAAGAAAUAAAUCUAGCCAACUGAAUAUGACCUGGGAUGAUCAGGUCAAACAAGAAAGGACAAGCCAUACAACUUUGAUAUGACUAUUCUCUAGGUAGUAAUGUAUUACCUUGGAAGCCACCUGCCCAAAAGCUUAGACUAUGUGUGUCCUAUCUGGUCUCUUCAUAUACUUGGACUUUAUCUUUCAGUUUGAUAUAGUCUUGUCCGCGCUAAGAUGAUAGAUCAGUAUCACCUAAAGAAGCCCUACCACUUGCGGUAUGAUAUGUUGCUCAUGUUAACAAGACACCAUGACUUAGUCAACCACAAUUCCUUGUCAUACCUUAGUGAUGUUUGAAUCGAUAUCAAAUACGCAAGUAACAAGUGGGUAAUGUUUGCCGAUGGUGCAGAGCUGCGACUGGAACGAGGCAUCACUCCAGGAAGCCAUGAACAAGGCAAUAGAUGAAGUCAUAGCAACUCCUGAACCAUUCUGUCUUCUAAACUGAGAUGAGGCUCGCCAAUGUGUGAAUCGGUCUGCCGUCAUCGUGGACUCGUUAUGUACUUCAUCUUGAUAAUAAUAUUCGAUUAUAGUUCUCUUAUGAUGUGUUCAUCUUGUCAAUGGAAGACGCCAAGGUGCUAUAAUUGGAUGAAGUGGUAAGGCUGUUGCCUUGACUUUGAUUAAACUGCAGUUCUUUCAUUAAUGUUGACUUGUUCAGAUUCAAACAAACUAAGCUUCAAACAGAGCCAAAAUCCAAAACAAGCACACAAGUUGCCAAACAUCGUCUCUCAUCAAUCAUCCCCAUAUGAACAGUGCAUGUUGUGGCGAUAGAAUCGAAGAUGCCUGAUUUGUACUCAACAAGUAAAAGAUUUCUUCUUUACCCUUCUUUUUGAUAUGAGCUAUUAUCUCAUGUCAACUAACAUAUCAAUUUCAUCGGUUGCUAGUAUCAACACACGAAUCUAGAUUUAAAUUAGUAUAUCAUGUAUUGAGCAGAAUAGAAUAGGGAAGAAGUAAUACAUCUAAAAUGUCAAAAAGUAUCUUCUUCUAAUGGAGAUUAUUAUCAAAUGUAUAUUAACCAAAAAUAGCGAGUUUAUUGUGUAACAAGUGGAAUUCCUUGGGGUGAAAUCAAUUCCACUUUUAGAGAACAUGUAAUAUUUUUCUUGGGAUUAAAGGCAUUUGAUUAGUACAUGUGACGAUUCAUUAUGUUCCAUGUGUUUUGAUAAUUAUGAUCAUGCAAUAAUUCAUAAGAACAUAAUGUUUAUGUCGAUACCUUUAUUUGAUUUGUUUAUGUCGAAUCCAAAUGCCUUGUGCUAUCAUCGUCUCUUCUCUUGGUGAUGUCCAUUUCGAUCCAUCACCUCGUUCCCAUAAGAAGCUAGCCGCCCUCUUUGUCUCUCCCCUACUUCCCCUGUUAAGGCCAUUGUAAUUGAUAGAAUUAUACUUUUAAAUUGUCACAUAAUAAUAAUAAUAAUACAAAAGUCAUUUCUAUUUAUAGGCCAAAGGAGGGAGGGUUUAGAAAAGCAUCAUAUUCCCUUUCAUUAAAAUCAAUAUCCAAGAUUUGAACUUACAUAAAUAUUGGCAUUAUAUCUUUAAUUAGAAUCCAAUAAUUAUAUUUAAUACAUCUUACUAAUUCUAUUAUUUAAUACAUCCAAUAAUAUAUUAUUAACAUUCUCACUUGGCUCAUAACCCGAAAGAGAUAUAAAACAAACAUUCAAAAUCAUAAUAAAACAAAAUUUAAUUUUUAAAAUAAUUUUGCUUGAUUGGAUUUUAGGUUUUGAAAAAUAAAUCUUAAAAAAUAUAUUGAUAUAUUCAAUAAAUAUCAUAAUAUUAUACUAAGUCAGACUACACUUCUACUAACGUGAGUUAGAACAGUUAUAUGUCAAUUUUAUCGUACUUAUUAAUAUUAUUAAUCCUUCUUCGUACUAUAAUCCAUAAUGAUUCAUGUAAUUUUUUUUUAUCAAGAUAAUCAUAUUUAUUACAUACAAACAUAAUAUAUAUAUAUAUACAUAAACAAAAAAGAGAAUAGUAAAAAUAUUAACUUUAAUUAUGUACACAUAUAAUUAGGAUGAGGAGGAUGAUGAUAAGAAAGACAGGAAGGUACACAAGUAUUACGAAUUCAUUUAUUGUUACUUCCUCAUUUUAAUUUCUUUUUGGUUUGCAAAGCAGAAAAGAAACUCGAAAGAUACGCUCAUUUCUAUUUUCCAGUAGUGUUCCCACCUUAAUUUUUGGAAUUAGAUAGCUUUUACUUAUCGCGGAUUGCAAAUUGCCCAGAAAAUUAUUAUUUUUUGGUCGAGUCAAAAUCCGUCGACUUCGGUGCUGCUAUUCUCUCACGCGCGGUGUCCUGACGAGAAAUGUUGAGCGGUUUAAUCUCGCACAGGGAAGCGAGGCCAUGCAAUGUUAUCAAGGUUACCCCUUACGAGUAGCUUAAGCUCUCUUGCAGGAGAAACCAUUCCAUUGUGUCCUCCACUCUUUCUUCCUUUUUCCAUUGGAUCCCCACAACAUGUUGCCAUAUGUUAUAUGCCCUCGUCGGUGCAACAUUCUUUCUACUGCUGUCCGCUGAUACCACAGCUUGGCACAAUAUUUCAUCAUCUUCUUUAUGCCGAUACUAGAAACCUGCAAAUAUUCACCACCAUCAGGGAAAACCUAAAACAAAAACAACAAAAGGAGAGAGAAAUAAUAGAUAAGCAAGUUGAUGCAAUAUCACUAUCUCGUUUCCUGUAUCCUUUUUGAGUUGAAAAAUGUGGUAAAAGAAUCCUCCCUGUCAAAACCCACCCCAUUCCAUGAACUUCUUAAUCUCAUCGUACAAAACCAAUAUAGCAGCUGCUCCGGUGCUCCUAAACAUGUUAGAUACUGCUCCUCGGUAGAAGGAAGUUAGCCCCUCCAACCUAUAAAUCUUCCUCCAGCAAUCCAGUGUACCGUGAUACAUUUGUUCCUCCAAUCCAGACUGCAUCAUCAUCCUCCUCCGUACCGUAUCCAGUGGAUAGGAUGCCAGCCCUGCCAUGGUCGUUACAGCUUGUGCUGUCACCCAUCGCUUCCACAACGCAGAAUCUUGUGGAAGAAGCAAAUCUUUAGCCGUAUCGAAACCACCAAAGUAUAGGCCGCGGUGGACGAUCAUUCCAUGAACUGAUGCAGGUAGGCCUCGGUAGAUACCUCGAAUGCCAUCUUUCUUGUAGAUGGUGCGGAGGAAAUGGCAGAUGCCUCUGAAUUGCCGGGAGUCUGUUCUGCCAAUGUCAGCUGCAAGCCGCGUGUGUGCUAUAUCCAGUGGAUAGAUAAUAACUAAUGUUGUGCAGCCUGCUGCAGCCCCUGCCAUGAAAUUGGAAGCUGCGAUAGACAUGAACUGAUCCGCCUCUCCUCUCUUCAACAUGGUUCUGUAAAGAUCCUGAAAGAGUAUCAUGUCAGAGAACUUGAAAGCAAUCAGCCCAUGCAUGCUUUGUAAAUGAUAACCAGUACCUUUUACAAGGUUCAGCGAUAUCAGAAAUGCAGAGAAAAGCAAAACAUGUGACAAAGAAGAUGGAAAUAAUGUACAAUAUGAAACUAAUCAGAAUGACCGUGCUCUUAUAUGCAAGACUGUGCAUCGAAAAAGUUGUAAUAGUAAGAUAGAACAAGCACGCGUAGGACUUACAGGAACAAGCAUGCUAAAUCAGUAAGUUUUACAGGCAAUUUAGGGAUCCCUGCUUCUAGUUCAAGCUGGGGUCCUCACCCUACUCAGUAUACAUCUGAUGCUACGCCACAAAAAAAAGAUUCUUGUCGUUGAAAUUAUCCAUCAAUUUGUGUUCAUUUAACAAUUUAGAUUCAACAAUAUUAUGAAACUGCAGGAAAAUGAUCCCAUAUAUCUCCUACAGUUUGUAUAUAUCAUAGGGAAAAAGAUCCCAUAUAAUUCUUGUAGUAAAUUACCUAUAAGAUCCUGCAAAUGUUAUUCCAAGGAGACGAGCAAAGCACAGUCAAGAAUGGCUGACAGUACAAUAAGGUGCCAAUCCAUAGUGCACACUAAUAGUGUGCCAACACAUGUUACAGUGGCUAUGCACGGCACUAUGCCAUCUGGUAGAUAACGACACUGGAGCAAAUUCACAGAUGUCCUCCAAACCAGUACUCAAAUACAGGUCUGUGGCACAUACAGUAUAGUGGCUGGUUUGGUAUAUAAAGAUAUCGAUGGAGAAAAUAAAAAAGGUUAUUCUAUAUAUUUAUCCAUGAUUUAAUAUACUUUGUACUGGUACCAAGUUGUAUCAGACAUAUCAGUUGGUAGAGUUGACAAGUAAUAAGUAAUCAAAUUUGGAAGCAUUAGAUUGUAGAAGAAUUUGUGGUUCACAAGUAACAAAAAUAUCAUAUCCUUCAUGGUAUAGUUGUGGCUGUUAAUUGUUGCAUAGAGCAAAUCGCUUGAUUAAUAUAUAUUCAAGUGGACAUGACUGACAUAGAGGAAACCACAACCUUGCAUAACCAAACUAGCCAUUUCAUCUGAUGCUGGACCACUUUCUUGAGGUUGCCUUUCAGAGGAAUUAAGUAAUUCCAACCUACAGUUGUUAUCCAGGUCUUCUUGGCCUUCAUAUUGGUUCUUGACUUUAAAGUACGGCAUUAUAUUGAUGAUGGUAAGCUAUUAAAGAAUGCUUUUCCAUGGAUUAUAUAUGGAUAGGGCAAUUUUGAAUGUCCACAUGCAGCAGGCUAGAUAAAGUUGCUCCUUUGUGAUCCAAUGACGAGUGUUUGAGCUUGGAACUGACACUACAUAUGUUGAUCCUAACCAAAGAGUACAUUGGCAAAAGCCUCAUACAAUGGACCAUCCAUUUCUUCAUGUAGGCAAAUGGACCAUCCUUCUCUUCACGUAGGGGACAUUAACCUACAAGUGCAUUACACUGUUUACAACAUGAUCUUUCAUGUGGCUUAUGUAUCGG